rnacentral:lncRNA from 1 species
UUUCACAAGACAAAAAACAAUAUUCUCUUGAGAAUAUCUAUAGGGGAUGUGGUUACUUAUUCAUAAUUCGUGCUUAUUAGCACGAGAUAUUACAAGAGACAUAGAUUUUCACACAAAUGACAUACUUGUACAUUCCCUUACUUGGGAGGGAUUCAAGACAUGGCAUAUCAUGGCAUGGCAGGCAUAUAUAAUAAUUCUGCCAGCUAACAAAGGUGUCCCUGAUUUAUUUCACCAACACACAAUAAUAGUAGUAGCACGUAGGCCUCACGGGCUACUCCUUAUAGCGGAAGCAACUCGAUGCAUGAUGAUGGAUCAUGGAAGAACAUAGAUUCCAAUGGCGUCAAUGAGAUCCCCAACACGUCCAAAGAAACCGGUGAUCUGGCCGCCAUGAGUCNNNNNNNNNNNNNNNNNNNNNNNNNNNNNNNNNNNNNNNNNNNNNNNNNNNNNNNNNNNNNNNNNNNNNNNNNNNNNNNNNNNNNNNNNNNNNNNNNNNNUGUCACAUCCCUAACCCUUAAGCAAGAUAGCAUUGUGCUCAUGUCUUCUUUGCAUUUGCAUCUAAGAAGUUUCAACAAAAGCAACAAAGUGGCAAAGGAAAAACUCAAAACCCUAGCCACCAUUUCAAUUAAAGGAAAUCUCAAAUUAGUUCAAAAUCAAUGAACCCAAAAUGGCCUCAAGAAAUGUUCAAACUUUCUGAUAAAUCAUGAAAGUAAAUGAGCAUUGGAGAAAACUAUUUUCUUGACACCUUAAGCUUUUUGAAUAAAUGAAAAAGGCUACUGGUUUCAAGUUUUAAAUUUGAAAUCAGAAACUAUAAAUUUCCAAAAAUGUCGAAAAGCUUGAAAAUGGUUGGGGAUAUUAUAAGAAAUAUUUCAGGAGGUCUAAAAUAGUUUUUAAUUUUUGUUUUGGAGCUGAAUUAAUUAGCAAAACAGAAAAACAAAAACAGAAAAAAUGGAAAAACCUUACCUGUCGCCUAAGCCUGGCCCGGCCCAUCCCUGGCUCGUCCCCUCCCUUGCGCCAGUAGGCAGCAGGAGGUGACCGCCACCCCCUCCGGCACGGCCACGCACCUGCGUGCCUGCCUGGCCGCCGCCUCGCGCUGGCGACGACGGGGAUAAGCUCCCCAGAGCCUCCCCUAUCCAUUCCCCGCCUCGGUUCUCUUCCUCCUCCCGGAUCUCCUCCUCCUCCUUGCUGCCGCCAUUAGAGCCGAGCUCGAGCUCGAGCUGGCCGUGCCCCUGGCCAUAGGAUUCCCUCCCAGAGCACGCCAUUAACUCCGCCUCGUCGCCCUGGUCAUCUCUGCAGAAGCCGAAGCUUCCUCGAGCCCUGCAACGCCCGCAACGCCGUCGUCUUCCACCUCCGGCCGCCAGACCUCUCCCGUCGAUUCGCUUCCUCCGGCGCAUCCCCGAGCCCCUCUUCAGCGCCAUCGGAACCGCCGUGAGCUCGUCGUCGUUUUCCCUCUCGCCCCACGCUCUCCCGUGCAUCGUAUCCUAGUUCCCCACCAAGGCCGAGAGCUUCUCGCCGCCGGCCAUGUCGCUGUCGUCGCUGUGAUGACCGAUCCACGCGCCCGAGCUAGGAUUCGAGCUCCUGGAGCCUCCAGGAGCGUGUCGAGCCCUCCACCUGCCCUCCCCGUGCCCUAGAACCGCCCCUCAUAGAAGGCCGAGCUUCGGCCGCCGCUCCGGCUCAUCGCCGACGCCUCUUCCGGCGACCCUAGCCUCCCAGAUGAUCCUGCCAGAUCGGCCACUUCGCGAGCAUGCUGUAGUUGCAAACCGCGUGCGUUUUGGUGCUGUGCAGCGCCGUCUAGGUCGCCUCCGGCGAGCCCUCCGCCGCGGGCCUGGUCGCGGGCGACCACCCUCCGGUGGGGGUCGACGUGGCAAGCUAACCCAGCCGCUUAGUGACCUAAUCACUCGCUGACAAGUGGGCCCAAGGCCAAGUCANNNNNNNNNNUGGGGAGCCCUCCGCGGCGGGCCUGGUCGCCGGCGACCACCCUACGGUGGGGGUCGACGUGGCAAGCUAACCCAGUAGCUUAGUGACCUAAUCACUCGCUGACAAGUGGGCCCAAGGCCAAGUCAAACCUCAGUUAGGGCUGGUCAGCGCGGGAUUAGUCCCAGAGAGGCUGACCAGUGGGGCCCCCCUGUUAGGUUUGACCUGAACAGGUCGGCUGACCUGCUGACGUCAGCCUGAUGCAAUAAUUAGAAUUUCCAGUAUAAAACUAAUUCAGGAAAUUGCUAAAAAUUGUAAAAAUCAUAGAAUUAAUCUGUAACUCCAAUGAAAAUAAUUUAUAUAUGAAAAAGUAUCAGAAAAAUUCAAAGAUUCUGAUUAUGCUAUUUUCAACUANNNNNNNNNNGAAAUUAAUCUAUAACUCCAAUGAAAAUAAUUUAUAUAUGGAAAAGUAUCAGAAAAAUUCAAAGAUUCUGAUUAUGCUAUUUUCAACUAUGUUUGAAAAAGUUACAGAACCCUAAAUUGUGGAAUAAGGAAUAAUUCAAUUCUUAUAAUUACUUUUAAAAUGGAAUUUGAAAAAUUAUUCAAAUUUCAUUAUGAAUACAAUGAUCACACACUGUCCUACUUACAAAUCAGUACCAUAACAUGACAUUUCAUGCAUGCUAACAUCAAGUUGAUCUGAGCAUCAGGUCGAAUCAAUUAAAACGGUAUCCGAGAAUACCCCGUUUGAAUUGCUAUUUGAAUGUGAUUCAAAUCUACUCUAAACCUAAUACAUGUUGAAAAUAAUAACUUAUCACCUUGCAUUCUCAUGCCAUGCUCAUGCAUCAUUUUGAGUGCAUAUGAUUGUUAUUGAAUGUUGCCAUUCAUUUCGGUAGGCUCCGCACCCUCGGAUUCCAUCGAAUAUCCGUCUGACGGAUAUCGUUCCUCCUCUGAGCAACAAGGCAAGCAACCCUUUUGAUCAUCCCGAUAAAUCCCAUGUUCUCGCUCCUGCACCUAUUUAUUGCAUUUAAGAUCAAAUGCUUCAACUGCUUUUGCCACGAUAGUUGAACCCAUUUCCUUUGCAUGACUUAACCUUGUCACAGUAAAUAGCCGAACCUUGCAACCUAGCAUACCUGGUAGUUGCUUGAACUAUGAUGUGCCUUAUCCUGCUAUGCAUGCUAUGCUUAGAGUUGUGUAUGGUCCGUCAUCUGGGAUAUGAACAGAAAUGUGGAAUGUGUUCGGUGAGCAAAGGUUGUGUGUUGAACUUGAUUUGGUAAAGGUACCGGUGAAAGGCUGUGUAGGAGUACAUGGCGGGUUGUUUCAUUGGAACCGUCCUUAGGAACUGAGUUCCGUGUAUGCAUUCCAAGACUAGAUACUACCACAUACUGGGCCCUGAAAUAUGACCCCGCUCGGCCUAUUAAUCGCGUAGUACCCGGUCCAGGAAUUGCAAGUAGUUUCUGGUGUUUAUAGUAAUGCUGGAGGCCGUGCAUGGUGCUGACCUGAGAGGUGGGCCGUGAUGCGGUAGGCAGUGGCACGGUGUACCAAGUGGCACCCGGAUGGUGGGCUUGGGAACCCUGCGCACAUCGUUUGAGGCCGUGGCGGAAACCUCGGCCGGACUUCCGUACGGGUUACUCUCAGAUAGGCGAUAAACCUGGACUAGGUACUAGUGUGGUUAACGGUCGUGGCCGACUCCCUCGCUGGGCUUCCUCUUGAAGGUUGCCGAGGUGCAUGACGUGCACAUGGCGAUAAGUGGCGAGAGCGUGUGUGACGAAGUACACCCCAGCAGGGUUAUGAUCUAUUCGAAUAGCCGCGUCCGCGGAUAUGGACUACUUGGAGACAUAUGUUGUUCAUAGAUAACUUCAAUGGCUACUCAUAAAAUUGUCAAGAUAAGCGUGAGUGUCGUGGACGGCAUUUCCGUACGGAAACGGAAUGAUUCCACGAUAGUGUAUUGUUGUGGUGUUAGCGGACUCGUGUGCGAGAAAUCAAGUUGUCAAAAUAAUUUAAAAAUGCAAGUUGUCUAGCCACGAGUCAAAUGCUGGCUUUCCGCAUGAAACCCCACAAUACCUUUUGAUACCUUGCAUGAGUAGUUAGUUCUCCUAAAGUCUUGCUGAGUACCUUCGUACUCAUGUUUGCUUAAUAAAUGUUGCAGAGGUUGCUAAUGACCCUAAUGGAGGGUUCUUCGUAGACAUCGACGACGACGAGUAGCUGGUGUCCGAGCUACGAUCUGGCCCUACGUCGGCUCUGUAGUAUAGUCAGGCCAUGUGCCUUCUAGUUGCACUGCCUGUUCCGAGACAGUUUAUAACUCUUCCGCUGGCUUGUAUUGUAUGACUGCUAUUAUGGGUCGAGAGACCUUAAUGUGUNNNNNNNNNNUUUCCAGCUACGAUCUGGCCCUACUCCGGCUGUGUAGUAUAGUCAGUGCAUGUGCCUUCUAGUUGCACUGCCUGUUCCCAGACAGUUUAUAACUCUUUCGCGGGCUUGUAUUGUAUGACUGCUAUUAUGGGUCGAGAGACCUUAAUGUGUAAUAUUAUGUGUGUGGCUCUUCCGAGCCUCUUAAAUAAAGCUUGUAUGUUUAUGGUUAUGUUGUGAUGCCAUCGAUGUAUCUAUACAUAUUGAUAUGCCAUGCGUACGUGUGUCAUGCUUGAUAUGUAUGGGGUUCGAUUACCUAGUCGUGAUCUUUAGUAGCACUCCUUACAAGGAAAUGCCCCUUUGUGAUCCAACGAGCCUUGCUAGUUCGCUACUGCUCCGGACGCAUUGGUUUCCCGGCAUGUGUCCUUCUCAGCUGCUGUGUCUGUCCCCUUUGGGGAAAUGUCACGCGAUGUAAUGGAGUCCUUGUAGCUUGCUACGACUCGUCUACAUUCGCUGAUGACCGACACCUGCUUUGUUGGGUCAUGUAUGCCUGUCCUUGUGUGGUACUGCCACUUUGGUUUAUGACUAGACAUGUCGAUCCGGGUUCUUUGACAUUGGAUUGCUAGCGACACUAUCGCAUACGUGAGUCAAAAGACGCAAACGGUCCCGGCUAAGGUAAGGCUGCAGCCGUGGAGUUAACCGUGCGUGAGACCACAAAGGGAUGCGAUGUGUUACAGGCUGGAAUCCUAUGGCUUAGGAUCGGGGUCCCGACAUUUUGUAGGAAAACAAUUCAAUAAUGAAGUGUGCACGCGUGGACAUUNNNNNNNNNNCUGAGACCACAAAGGGAUGCGAUGUGUUACAGGCUGGAUUCCUAUGGCUUAGGAUCGGGGUCCCGACAGCGUUGGUAUCAGAGCCUGACUGACUGUAGGAUUACUAAGCCAAACUGGUCGAAGUUGAGUUUAGAAUUUCUUUAGUUAUAUAUAAGGGAAUUGUUUGUGGAAGGGAACGUCAGACUCUUGUUCUCUUCUCAAGUCAUUCUAUUCUGGUCAUCCUUGUCUUUUCUGCGGGAAUUAAGGACUAGGUUACUCAUCUUCUCCUAGGCUCGUGUUUCUCAUCGGUAGAUUAUAGGACUACGGGUCGAGAGAUAUUGGGUUUAUUUUAUUCCUAGGAAGCAUGAAGUAAGUUUGAUGAUCAAAAAGUGGAACUUGAUAGUUGAGUGGUUACGCUAUUCCAUUUUUGGGUUGUCUCAAAUUUGUUUUGAGCAUUUACAACCGUUAUGCUGCCCAAUUUUGCAUUCAGAGCUCUAAUGCUUUUGCAUUACUCUCUAUUUACAGAUGCCUGGCCGUCCUUCUCGUCAGGUGGUACGUCUGACCAGGUGCAUUGAUGUGCCGGGUCAUACGGCCAUGCUGGUCAGGGUGAUGUCGGUGUGCGGUUACCGCUGGUACCCCAAGUACACGGUAGAGGAACAGUACCGAGACUUCAACCAGAGCCAGUACAUCUACACUGUUAGGGUAUUUCCAGACUACCCUGGAACUGAGAAGCCAAUCCAUUGGUCCUAUGGGUUGGGGGUCACCGUUGACAUGGCAGUUCAGGAUGCUGCGUAUUCAAUGCUGACUAUUAUGAGAGCAAGACAUGCACUGCUGCAGAAUUCAGAGUUCUGCUAUGUUCCGGCCUCUCAGUCUGGUGAAGAGGGAUACCUCAGUGGAGUCUAUUUUGAUUCUUCUAUGGAGGAUCCACUUCUGCAGUCCACUGUUGAGAUGCUAGAGAACAGAGACAGGGAUGCUCGUGCUCUCCGCAUGGAGCUUUAUGCUACCCGUGCCCGUCUGUGGACAGCUUUGACGCAGCUGGCACCGGUAGUGCAGAGAGGGUAUGGAGAGAUGGAGAUGCUGAACCCUGUUAGAACCCAUCUUCCGGCCCACGUUGACUGGCCAGCUAUAGGAGGAGUCACACCUCUUCGGGGACCCCUCUUACCACCAGUCAGGGGACCAAGGCCACAUCCGUGUCCUUAUGGAUCCCAGGGAUCUCAGGCUAGAGUGUUUCCUGAUCCGCAGGUUGAGCUUCCAGGUCAUGGAGGUAAUCUCUAUGAGAUGUUCUAUGCGGAUGCCUGAGCUGUGAGCGGAAGGAUAGUAUGGUAGUAGUCGUACGUUCACAGUCCUGCGUGACUUGUGAAGUAUGGUAGUAAUGUGAAAUGAAUUCCGGAGGCCUAGAUAAAUAAUGUAUAGGAAGCCUGUAAGCCUCUAAUGAGUAGUUUCAUAAUUUCAGUAGUUUGCUCUUCGUUUAAGGUUGUACUGAACUAUGUAAGGGUGUGUAUGAACCAUGGUGUAUAUAUAGCAGUUGCUUGUUACCAUGCUGUUCGGAUAUUAAUUUCCGCAUUCCGUCUGUUCAGUACAUUCUUAAUCCAUAGCUAGUAUUGAUAUGAUGUUGGUCUAAGCUAUGAGUUUGUUUGUUAGGAUGGUGUUCACCAGGUUGAACCGUGCCCCUGCUCAUGAGCAAGGUGAGGGUAGUCAAGCGUCGCAGGAAGACCUGCCUCACCCACCUUCUCUGGUAGAAGUGAUGCUUGAGGCAGAAAGAAACAAAAGGGAGACCAACCGACUGCUAGAGCGUAUUGAGCAGAAUACGGCUCGACAGCCUAGGAAUGCUGCAGUGUCCCUCAAUGACUUUGUGAAGCUGAANNNNNNNNNNNNNNNNNNNNNNNNNNNNNNNNNNNNNNNNNNNNNNNNNNNNNNNNNNNNNNNNNNNNNNNNNNNNNNNNNNNNNNNNNNNNNNNNNNNNAAUUCUCAAAUAUGCAAAAAGAAUUUUUAAUAAACAUAGUUUUUAAUUCAAAAUACCAAAAUAGAUAAUAGUUUGGAUAGUCAAAAUUAUUAGUUAUGAAAAUAAAAAAUAGUUUUGCAUUAUUUAUUCAAUUUGAAACACUUCUCAUUAUCAUAGUUUUGUCAAAUUCUCAAAUAUGCAAAAAGAAUUUUUAAUAAACAUGGUUUUUAAUUGAAAAUAACAAAAUAGAUAAUAGUUUGGAUAGUCAAAAUUAUUAAUUAUGAAAAUAAAAAAUAGUUUUGCAUUAUUUAUUCAAUUUGAAACACUUCUCAUUAUCAUAGUUUUGUCAAAUUCUCAAAUAUGCAAAAAGAAUUUUUAAUAAACAUGGUUUUUAAUUGAAAAUAACAAAAUAGAUAAUAGUUUGGAUAGUCAAAAUUAUUAAUUAUGAAAAUAAAAAAUAGUUUGCAUUAUUUAUUCAAUUUGAAAGACUUUUCAUUAUCAUAGUUUUGUCAAAUUCUCAAAUAUGCAAAAANNNNNNNNNNNNNNNNNNNNNNNNNNNNNNNNNNNNNNNNNNNNNNNNNNNNNNNNNNNNNNNNNNNNNNNNNNNNNNNNNNNNNNNNNNNNNNNNNNNNAACUGAUGUUCAACCAUUCGUGUGUACCAUCUUUCGCGAAUAAUAUAUGACCUGCGACGUCAUGUGGAGGGCUUGGAGGUAAUGGAGGUGUAGGUGACCUGCGACGACUUGGAGGCGGUGUUGUCCUUGGGGCCGAGUCUGGAAGCUUGAUGUAGUUCUUGUCCCAUAGGAUGACUCCACCCAGUACUUCUCCGAGUGUCCUCUCAUCUUCGGGUCCAGCUAUGUCGAGCUCCAUAUCAUUGAACCCCGUCAUGAUUUCAUCCACCCCGACUUCAGCAAAGCCAGCUGGAAUCUCAUGGCCAUGCCAGCGUGCAUCAGGGCCAGAAGGUAAAGCUUGUCCGACGGCCACCUUCAUGGAUAUGUUCUUGAAUUUCUGAUGGAGUUCACAUGAUGUUGACUCCUUGAUUCCAUCCACGCGGUAUCCGGGACCACCCUCUAUCAUUCUUCGUUCAUCGUCGGGCGGGGCCUCAGAUUCAGCCACGCUGCUUUUCCGCUUAGAUGGGGCGCCGGUAAUAUCAAGUGCAGGAUCUUCCUGGCGCGGUACUCCUCUAAGCUCAUCAAUCUGCUUCUGUUGCUCGUUAAUCCUGGCAAGCAACUGGUUGAACUUGUCAUUCUCCUCAUCCUGCUGCCGCUUCUUUGCUCUCUCUCGGCUUCUGUAAGUGUCUUUGUCUCUGGCAAACCCAAGCCACCACGGGUAAGAAGGACCGAAGCCUCGCGUUCGUCCUCCAUGUUUGUCAUUGCCGAGGACCAGUGUAAGAAAAUCUUUAUCUCUAUCUGCAGAGAACUUUCUUUGUCCCUCCUUAAUUUCUUUCACUAUCCUUUUCCAAUUCUCCCUGGGUAUCCUAAGAUCGUCAUUGCAGAUGAGGUCCCCUGUUGUUUCGUCGUACGACCCACCAUGCGCAAGGAACCAAUUUCUUGCUCUCCAUUCCCACUCAUCACGGAGUGGUUCAGGUAUGAUGACUUUAUCUAUCAGAUCUUGCUCUUUCUUAUCCCACUUUGGGAUGGCAGUCUCAUAGCCCCCUGGCCCCAGCUUGUGGUGAUAUUUCUUCUUGUCGGCAUUUAUCUUGUUCUUUUUUGAUAAUGCCUGGGCAUCUUCUGACUCCUUGUACUCUUGAAAUGCCUUCCAGUGAUUCGCAUGCUUGGCUAGAUACCCCUCAAAUACUGACACUUUCUGUGUCUUCAGAUAGUUUUUCCAUAGCUUCUUCUUCCAGCUACGGAAUAGUUCGGCCAUCUUCUUCAGAGUCCACUGCUUGACUUUGUCCCUCAGUUUGUCUGCGGCGUCUUCAUUCUCACAUUCUGGCAGGUUGAAAUGUGACAUGAGAUCAUUCCAAAGAUUAUCUUUGUACCUUUUGGCGACAUAGUCACUAUCGGCUGCCCCUUUGCGCUUGUUCCACUCCCGAACGCUGAUCGGGACGUGAUCCCUAACGAGAACUCCGCAUUGCUUCUUGAAUGUGUCAGCAACAUUCUUAGGAAGCUUGGGUUCGCCCGUAGGCAAUAUCACCUCAAAGGUGUAAUGCGUCCGUGCAUCCAACUUUCUAGUCGGGCCUUGUUUCGUAGCUUUGCUCGAUGUGGAGGCCUAAGAGGGAGAAACAUUCGUCAAAUGAAUGUAUAUGUAUACAAUAUAGAGCUAUCUCCAAUAUUUUUCACAUAUUACAAGUGAUUGUCGAACUUCAUAUGUAUACCUCGCCGGACUUUAUUAUUUCUUCACCGGCUUCUCCAUCAGUGGAGCUAUCACCUUCUCUGUCAUUGGACCUAUCUCCUGCCCCAUCGGCUUCAUCUUCGUGUCGCUCGACCUCCAUUCCAACGUCCUGGUUUAGAUAUGACGACGGAGAUUCAGCUGGUUCAACGUCGGGGCCGUCUUUGAUUAUAUCUUCGAAAAGUUCUUCCUCUUCGAGGUUCUUGAUAUGUGGAUCCAUAGUUCUAUGAGGAACUCCGUUCCAAAACAACUUGAUAUGUGGAUCCAUAGUUCUAUCAGGAACUCCGUUCCAAAAAAAUGGAUUCUCUUAACGUUUGUACCAAAAAAGAAUUAUUCUAUCAGGAACUCCGUUCCAAAACAACUUAAGUCCCGGGUCAUGGCUCCACCCGGGACUCCUAGAUUUCUGCAUAGUAUUCAAAGUAGGAGUACUUUUCCAAUUUGAGCAUUCAAUAAGCAAAACCAAAUCGUAAAAUAAAGUAGUAUUCAAAUUAGCAUGCAUUCAAUUAUAAGCUAAUACAUCAUCACUUUUGUCCGUACACCAUCGAAUAUUAUCACUAAUACUCCUCGAAUACUAUCAUACAUAUAGCAUCACUAAUACAUCUAGAACCGUAGCGCCCGACGGGUAUCGGCGCGGGCGGUGGACACCCAAAGAGAAGGAACCAUCACAGGAUCAUAGCUCCAGUGAGAUCCCCGAAGAACCUGCCAGGUAUGCUCGAACCUGCCCUCCAACGCAACCAUGUAGCUGUUGGAAAUAUGCCCUAGAGGCAAUAAUAAAAUGGUUAUUAUCAUAUNNNNNNNNNNGGUCAUCAGUGUCAACCCUUGCAUGUCCACCCUUAAUGUCCUACUGGUCAAUUAAUGUUUUAUAGUACAAUGCCGACCUCUUAUACUUGUUGGAAAUAUGCCCUAGAGGCAAUAAUAAAAUGGUUAUUAUCAUAUUUCCUUGUUCAUGAUAAUCGUCUAUCGUUCAUGCUAUAAUUGUAUUAACAGGAAACAGUAAUACAUGUGUGAAUGAAUAGAUCACAAUAUGUCCCUAGCAAGCCUCUAGUUGGCUAGCUCGUUGGUCAAUAGAUGAUCAUGGUUUCCUGAUCAUGGACAUUGGAUGUCAUUGAUAACGGGAUCACAUCAUUGGGAGAAUGAUGUGGUGGACAAGACCCAAUCCUAAGCCUAGCACUAGAUCGUAUUGUUCGUAUGCUAAUGCUUUUCUAAUGUCAAGUAUAUUUUCCUUCGACCGUGAGAUUGUGCAACUCCCGGAUACCGUAGGAGUGCUUUGGGUGUAUCAAACGUCACAACGUAACNNNNNNNNNNNNNNNNNNNNNNNNNNNNNNNNNNNNNNNNNNNNNNNNNNNNNNNNNNNNNNNNNNNNNNNNNNNNNNNNNNNNNNNNNNNNNNNNNNNNGUGCUCCUCUCUGCAUGGUGUCCAUAAGUCCCUCAUACUCCAUAUAUAUAUACAUUUGUACUACUACCACCACUUCAACUUUCAUUUGUGUUGAACUAGCUUCAUCAUGGUACACACUUACACACACUCAUGCACAUUAUUCUUACUUCCAAUUUUCCAUUACAUGCAUGUAUGUAUACAUUCCAUACUUUGUGUGAUUUUACAUCUGUGUGAUGAUGCUUGCAGAGCAAGCCUGUGAAGAUUGGUCUAUGGGGUGGAGUAGGAGGCCAGCCUCGUGACGUCAGACACGCUCCCCACCGACUAACCCGGGUGGAAAUUUCUGGUGCAGACGCAAUCCACUCCACCAAGUUUACAUAUGAGGAUCAUGCAGGGGAUCAACAUGUAGAUGGUGUAUGGGGAGCUCCUAGUGGGAACAAGCACACGGUGNNNNNNNNNNCGGUGCAGACGCAAUCCACUCCAUCAAGUUUACAUAUGAGGAUCAUGCAGGGGAUCAGCAUGUAGAUGGUGUAUGGGGAGCUCCUAGUGGGAACAAGCACACGGUGUGUGAAUCAACUUAACCUUAUAAAAUACCUAAUAUAUACAAUUUAUAUAUGUAAGUAACCCUUAUCGCCAUAUGAAGUCCUAACUAUAGGUUAUAAAAAUGCAUGAUUGUUGUUUUACACAGUUGGACCUUGAAGACACGGAAUAUGUGACNNNNNNNNNNNNNNNNNNNNNNNNNNNNNNNNNNNNNNNNNNNNNNNNNNNNNNNNNNNNNNNNNNNNNNNNNNNNNNNNNNNNNNNNNNNNNNNNNNNNACAUCACAAAAUUUCAACAAUUUCUGACUUCAUUUGGUAUAUUUCAUGCAUUUACUUGUUUUUUGAGCUAGUUGACCCUAAAAUUGAAAAGCACUACAAAUGAACUCUGAAAAUGUUGAAAGUUGGCAUGCUAUCAUCAUUUCACCCACAUAGCAUGUGUUAAAAAGUUGAGAGGGCUACGACAAAAACUGGAUGCAGUUCGUGUACAAAACGGACAAUCUCUCUCGAAGUAGCAGGGUUUCGAAUGAGAACUCAUCUCUUACAAAGGGAUUUCAGUGUUUUGAACUUAUUUGAACUCCAUACUUUUUGUGUGUUCAAAAUGCACCAUUCAAAGGCACAUCACAAAAUUUCAACAAUUUCUGACUUCAUUUGGUAUAUUUCAUGGAUUUACUUAUUUUUUUUGAGCUAGUUGACCCUGAAAUUGAAAAGCACUACAAAUGAAUUCUGAAAAUGUUGAAAGUUGGCAUGCUAUCAUCAUUUCACCCACAUAGCAUGUGUUAAAAAGUUGAGAGGGCUACGACAAAAACUGGUGCAGUUCGUGUACAAAACGGACAAUCUCUCUCGAAGUAGCAGGGUUUUGAACGAGAACUCAUCUCUUACAAAGGGAUUUCAAUUUUUUGAAAUUAUUUGAACUCCAUAAUUUUUGUGUGUUCAAAAUGCACCAUUCAAAGGCACAUCACAAAAUUUCNNNNNNNNNNGAAAUUAUUUGAACUCCAUACUUUUUGUGUGUUCAAAAUGCACCAUUCAAAGNNNNNNNNNNNNNNNNNNNNNNNNNNNNNNNNNNNNNNNNNNNNNNNNNNNNNNNNNNNNNNNNNNNNNNNNNNNNNNNNNNNNNNNNNNNNNNNNNNNNGUUGACAUCACAAAAUGCUUCAAUCUAUAUCAUGCAUCUAUAAAACAGUGUUGAGAUUAAUUUUGUAGUACAAUAAUUCAAUAAUGAAGUGUGCACGCGUGGACAUUCCAUGAGCCUACAUGGAUGACAUCAAGAUAUGAUUACCUAUCAUUAGCAAUAAGAUACCUCCUCAACCCAACGAAACUUUUCACUGCCUUCCGAUUCCACAUGGCUAUGCUGUUGUGAUGAUGGAUCAAGUAAUGGAGGAAUUUGAGCAGCUCGAGCUUGACCACCCUACAGGUGAAGGGGAGAUUCAGUUGGUUCGUGCUCUGGGGAGUACAUGUCUAUGGCAGAAGGAGUUCAUCAAGCUUCCAAACUGGACGCCUCCGCCUCCUCCGACGACGACGACGAGUCAGGGCACUCUGCCUCCUCCGGCGAGUGAUCAGGGCACUUCGCCUCCUUCUCGAGCUCCUNNNNNNNNNNCACGAGUCAGGGCACUCUGCCUCCUCCCCCUCCUCCUCCUCCGGCGAGUGAUCAGGGCACUUCGCCUCCUUCUCGAGCUCCUUCGACGCGUGAGGGCACUUCGCCUCCUCCUUCGCCUCGUCGACGCGUCAGAGCAGUCCGCCUCCUUCUCUCAAGCAGAAGAGAUACACCUCCUUCUCUCCGGCGGCUAGCAGUACAAGCAGAGGCGGGAAAUACGGUCCAUCUAUCAAGCUGAAAAGUUACCAUAUGAGAGGACCAAGGAGGAAAACGAGGACAUAUGUCGUGCCAAAUUGAGGGCCCAUUUUGCAAAGAAAACUCCACCUCCGAAGGAGAAGCUAGAUCCGGUGAAAGUGGAGCACACUAUCAAUCAACUGCAGCGACCACCUGCGCCUCUGUCGGAUUCCAACUAUGACCGCAUUCUUAAAAAGACAUAUGCACAAGCGGUGCGGUCGGGAACUACUUCUAGUGAUGCAAGGUUAGCAGAACGAAGAAGUGAGAAAACAAUUCCCGAGCUCGAUAUCGUCGUCGCUAAUCAUUCGGAGAUGGUGCCUAGUACCAAUCAUGAUGAUUACUUGGGGGGCGAUGUAACAAAAGAAUAAUAUAAAUACGUGCAUGGGAAGCCUCUCAUCAAACCUGGUCAUCCUGCCCUAACAACGAUGAUGCACAGAUUGCAUGAGUGGUAUAUGAAAACCUGCAGGGAGUCCAGGAAAAACGCUAUGUAUGUGGCAGUGAAACGAGAGCACGAAUUCAUUGGACUUCCCGUGAUUACUAUUCAAUUUGAGGAGUUAUUUCAGUUAUACAAUCAACUGGCCCUUGACAAACAACUCAUGGCUUCCUACUGUCUGUAAGUAUUACUUCUAUAGUUAAGUCUCUAGCUCAACUCGUUCAUUGCAUGUAUAUAUUAGUUAUCCUCACUAUAUAUAUUAUGCAGAUUGAAGAUCGUCGAAUUAAAAAAACAGGAAUCGUCGACGUUGGGUUCAUUAGCCAAGAUGUCUUAAAUGAAUUGACGAUACGAAUCUCAAUCAAAGAGACCGAGGAGAACUUGCUAAACUCGUUCCUUAUACAUAAAAAAAGAGGAAAUAAUCUUUCCUUACAACUUCAAGUGAGUGUUGUUGUCUUAUUUGUAAACUCGGCUUCGCUUACUCGAGGUUAAUUAAGUAAUGUAAUUGAUGAGUUAUAUAUGCGUGCGCAGAGACCACUUUAUUCGGCUAUCCAUUGAUGUUGGCAGGGCAUUAGUAAAUGUAUUAGACUCGAGACGUAAAGCCGAAGAGGAUUAUGAGGACAUUACUGCAAUGCUCAAGAAGUAAGUUCAGUCAAUAUAUCGAGACCAUAUCGGCAUGCAACUUUCGUUAAUUUCCUGAUAUCAAGUAAUCAUUUUUCUUUGCCUGUUAGGGUUUGGACGAAGUUCGCCAAUAAGGUUUCCGGUAUAAACAAAGAGUUGCGAUUUACGCACCCCAAAGUAAGUAGUACUAUCUAGUUCCGCGCAUCUCUAAUUGAUUCAAAUUUUUAUCAAUAUAUCAUUACCAUGCUUGCUUAUCAAUUAAUUGAACUCUAUUCUUGUAAAGUGUAUGUACCAGAAAGAAGACAGUGUUUUAUGUGCAUACUACGUAUGCAAGUUCAUUCGCCACUCGAUCUCUGAGCGGGUCUUCUCUGAGAAACAAUUGCAAGUACGUAAAUAUUAUUCACAAUUCUAUUGAGUUUUAUUCAUAUAUAUGCAUGUAUUGACCCCUUCUUUAAAUUAGAUCUCGGAGAUGCGGGAUGAACUCGUACCAUAUGAUCGCAUACGAGCAAUUCAAGAGGAAUUGACGGGAUUCUUUCUUGAUCACGUCAUACCUAAAGACGGAGAAUGCCAUGUGGAUUUGUCAUUGGAUCUUAUUAGAUGAUGUUUUGGAUUAAUUAUAAAAGAUGUUAUAUUGUAUAUAUGUAAUAGCGUAGGAUAGAUGUACGAAAACUUGUUGUUCGACCAAGCACGGAGAGAGAGAGGACACUUCUCUCUAUUAACUAGCUAACACAAUAUGAAACCACUAAAUUAACCCUCCAACCCCCCCCCCCCAAUUUGGUCCCGGUUGGUGUGACUUACCGGGACUAAAGUUCCUCCUGCCUAGGCUCCCCGCAGCGGCCACGUGAAGCUUCUUUAGGCCCGGUCCAUAAGCCAACCGGGACUAAAGGUUUGGGCCUUUAGUCCCGACCCUUUAGUCUCGGUUCAAAAACCGGGGCUAAUGGGUCUCUGAAACUAGAACAAAUCAGCCUUUUUCUACUAGUGGAUACACGGGUUGACGACUAGUAACAAAUGUUUUUUGUCUUUUUCGCUGUAAAGUCAAUGUUGGUUUAUUUAUUGAAAAUUUAUAUACUAUAGUACAAAAGUAAGUCAAGUGUAUUUCCCCGGCUCCAAGGCCAGAAACUGGUGAAUCACAAACUUAAGUUUCAAGCUCUGAAUUUGAGACAAGAGAUAACACAAAUACAGAUUGCUUUUACUCCUUCCGAAUUCAGCUACGGAACAACAAGUAACAAUUCGAGAUGGCAAAACUAAACAAAUGUUUUAGUUGAGCAGCGAGUUGUGCACCACAGAAUAUUUCCCUCUCUGUCGAUUAGCCAGGAGCGAAAAUUCAGUAGCCGAAAAUAAAAAUGCAGGAACGAGCUUGAUAUAAAACUGCAGCAAAUUUUACCAACAUUAAGCAUACGGAAGCUGCACAUAACUAACGUACUGAUCAUGUCUGAUCAUACUAGUCAGGAGUCACAUAGGAAAGGUCCAACACUAGUACAUCAAAUUAGGACGACCACAAUCUAUACUCUAUACUCUUAUCUUAUACUAAUUAAAGACUCCCUAGAAAUUACCACGUUAAUUAGUAAAUAGGAGCCGUUAAUCUUGAUGGGACCGAGUUAUAACGGCCAGAUUUAAUCUAAUUAAUUGAAGAAAAAGAAAAAAAUCACAACCGUCAAUUUUAUGGGUCGAAACUAGAACGACUCAGAUUGAAAACCAUUGAACAAUAGUUAUAAAGAUUAAACAUUGAACAAUACGUACAUAUCCUCGGAAAAAAGAACAAUACCUACAAGUCACGACCAUUAAAUCUCUGAGUUAUUCAUAAACCUGCCCUGAAAAACUGCCCUAUCCCUAAUCAUUGGAAAAGAAAAGAAAAACUUUCUACUAAUCUCUCAUUCGCCGCCACACGAUACUCUCCUGCUCGAGUGAUACUCAUGCCAUCAAAUCCCACGUCGCCGGCUAUCCUCGCGCUGUUCUUGCCGGUGACCUUCAGGCAUCUUGCCGAAUCCAGUGAAAUCCACGCCGUCAACCAUCUUCACGCUGCUCUUGGCGGUGAUCUUCAGUCAAGAUACGGAAGUAUACAGGCUCAACACUUGAUUGAUCUCCCCGCCAGAUCUGAAAGUACACAAACCUGGCGGCUUAUCUGUCAUCCUCGGAUGCAGGCGCACAAAGGUGAUAACACCCGCACAUGGGAAACCUGUACAUGUGGAAACCUAUACUCAGAAGCUCUAUGCCCCUGAUCUCAGUUAUAUGCCCAGCCAACUCUCAGACUGAAAGAGAAAAGAUUCUUGUGGUUCUACCUGUACAUGUGGUCGUCAGUGCGGGAGGCAUCAAGGUCAGGUUUAAAGUAAUUAAGCAACUAUGUCAAGGAUGCUGCCAAGGGUUUCUGGAUAACCUUCAAGGCUGUAACCCCUUCUCCUAACGUUAAUCGAUAUUUUCUUCGAUGGCCUUUUCAUAAAGAAAGACAUUGAUGCCUAUCUUGCAUGAGGUUUUCGACUAAUUUCUCAUCUUUAGCAAAACUAUAUGUUGAUAUGAUUUCUUUUCUUUUUCUUUUUGAAUCUAUGGAGGGGGCAUGGAGAUCGGUUGCGAAUAUUUUUCUCCUUUUUGUAUAUCAAAUAAUCUUUCAGUAGAGGGCUAUUUCUUGGUUGAGGUGUGAAAGAUCUGAUUGUUGUCAUACAAUCUGUAUAUGGUAUGUGUCGUUGAAUAUGUUCUUAUUAUUCUUGCAUGUCUGGAAUAUAUACUCAUUAUGCUUAAACGCAUAUAAAGUGUAGGCAUAUCCAUAGAUUAUUUGUUAUUCAUCCUUUAGCUGCAGAUUGAGCAAUUUGUUCAUGAGUGAGAAAUAACAGUUAGUAUGCCUCAUUUCCUAUCGUAUUAUUGUUGAUAUUUCUUAAGGUAAUUAGAGACAAGAUUACCUAAGUUUCUCAAAAUCAUAUUUAAAAACUGAUGUUUGUUUCAGGUGAAUACAUAUCUUGUGAGACUCCUCGAGAAGAGAGAUUGCUCGGUUAAUAUAUCUUACAUUUGUUUGAUUCCUGUUUUUCUCGACUAGAUGCUGCCACCUGCUGGUCAUAUACAUAGCAAUGGUAAUUUAUGCCACAAAACCAUCGCUCAGUGUGGUGUAUUCUCUCCUUAGUCGACAUAACAAAAAUUGAGCCCCGACACUAGAAACAGAAAGUUCGUCGAUGAAGAGAUAAAAGAUGAUGCUGACAAAGGACCAUGGUGGAUAAUGCAGAGGUUUCAAACGGUCAAACUGGGCCAUGGGAGAAAGACAUGUGUGGCCAAUAGGCAUGCCCUAUAAACAACACGGCUUGAACCUCAUCAGCAAACACAUGGCCAAGGACGAGAUUGAUCUUUUACUAAGGCACAAACACUUGCGUUUGCUGCAUCCACUGAAAUAGGGAUCCAAUAUUUUUGUAAACUAAAGAGACUGCAGUACAUGUUUAUUUGUAACAAAAACUGAUAAGUACAGAUGCAGUAGACUAUUAUUUAGGGUUGUAAACUGCAGGUGCAGGCAUGUACACUAGAGGAAAUGAGGAAUAUUCGUAACUGUUAGUAAUAAAUAUACUUGCAUGUUACUAAUUUAUUCUCUUACACAGGUUUGUCAGGCUAUAUGGACCUAGGUUGUUGCACUUACCAUUAGCACUAUGCAAGUUUUCGGCAUGAUAGCCCUUUCCUUGCUUCAAACUGAUUGAAGUAUUUGGUGGAAGUGCCAAAAAAUUGUUCAUAUUAUAUCCAGCCGUCUAUCUCCUCAAUGACACAAUACAGAUGUUCCUCGCUAGAUUACGGGAAAGAAACUGCCAUGAAGAGGACCAUCCAAUUGGCUGUUCUUGAUCGUCAUUUUUAUGGGGUUUCGACAAAGCCACAGAAACAUGGGAAAUGCCGUACCAACAAGUAAUUUCUUGAUUUGUCAUUUAUUUGUCCCAUAUCUUCCAUGAUUUGAUUUGAUUUGAUUUUUUUCGUAUGUUCAGUCGGGUUCUUCUUUUUGAUAACAGCAGCCAUGCCCAUCAUAUCAUGUGACAAAUCAGUUGCAGAGCUUGGAUGAUGAUAUAUACCACCUGAUGUAUUUAUUCAUCACUGUGUUGUAUUCAUUUAUUUCUCUGUAUACACACUCAUGUACUGAUUGGGUUCCAUUUCUUCACAGUUUUAUACCCCAAUUUGCUUGCUGUUGUUCAGGUCUUCAUGUUCUAAUCAGUGGUGGAAGGAAAUUUGCACAUUCUUAAUACUAAGGAGUGAAAAUCACACCAAUGCCGGUUAGAGUAGCUAUCUAUUUAAAAUUUUGUUCAGUACAGUUUAGUUAUGCAGUUGGUACCAAAGAAAAAGAUAGACACUAUAAGGCACUUCAAAAACUUUGAAGUCCGUCUGCAAUAGCAACAUCAUUUCAGAGAUAUUUUAUAUGGUCUUCCUUUAACACAGUCUACAGCAAAAUAGAAAUGGAAACAACCUGCUAUUGUUUUUUUUAUCUAAUAAAUUUCAUGAGAAGGACGAGUGGAAAGUUUAGGUCUGAUCAAGCUUGUGUUUGGUUGACAUUACUAUUGAGACACUCUGCUGAAAUUCCACGUACAACAGAGAUAAACAAAUAGUAUAUUGUGACAAUUAUCCAGUAAGACUGAGUUACAAUGCCUUAUACAAAAAGGUUUCUUCUUUCAUUGCGACAUCAUAACAACUUAGAUCGAUUUGCAUUGAGGAAAAUGUUAACACAUAGAUGCAUUGAGGAUAAUUUACAGCUCAAGGACGAAGCCUACCAUACCAUUGGAUACACUGUAUACACUAGUGGAAAACGGGCCUUUGGCCGGGACCAUUUAGUACCGGCCUGCCUCUGGGACGGGACUAAAGGCCCGGCCACGUCGCCCCAAUUCUCAAUGCCUCCCUCGAGGCUUUAGUCCCGGCCCGUAAGGAGCCUUUAGUCCCGGUUCGUUUCCCAAACCGGGACUAAAGGGCUACGCGGUGGGCAGUGGUGGUGGCAACCGUUCGUAUCCCCCUUUAGUCCCGGUCGGUGGCUCAACCCGGGACUAAAGGACUAACACGUGGCCCGCCGUAGUGGUGGAGACCGUUGGUAUACCUCUUUAGUCCCGGUUGGUGGCUCAACCCGGGACUAAAGGCCUAACACGUGCCCUGUUGUAGUGGUGGCAACCGUUUGGUAUACCUCUUUAGUCCCGGUUGGUGGCUCAACCCGGGACUAAAGGCCCAAACGGUUUGCAUCCCGCGUCGUUUCGAGUGAUGAAAAGCACGAACCGAAGCGUACAAUCGCCAUUUCUCUGUUUCUUCUUCUCUCUCGCGUCGCCCUCUCUGUUCUUCUCCUCUCUUCUUCCCUUCUCUUCUUCCACCAUGCCAACUAGCUUUCAUGAGGUGCUCGCACAUGGCACGACCAAGCUCCGUGUCAUGUACACGAACCUGAGCAGGGAGGUGCCGUUUUUUCUUCAACAGUUGAAGGAACGAUGGUUUGACCACGUAGUGGAUCAUGAGAAGUUCUUGGGGCUUGAUCUGGAGUACACGACCGAUCAACGCGGUGUUGCCGUCAUCCAACUAUGCUUCGCACGCCAUGUCUUGAUCUUUCAAUGGGCGAGGUAAGUUUUGAGGCUUUCUUUGAUCCAAGAUAAUGGCAUUGUAAGUUUAUUUGUUUCAAUCAUAGUUGGUUCCCUUCAAAUAGUUGUAGUGAAACAAUUUUGAUUNNNNNNNNNNNNNNNNNNNNNNNNNNNNNNNNNNNNNNNNNNNNNNNNNNNNNNNNNNNNNNNNNNNNNNNNNNNNNNNNNNNNNNNNNNNNNNNNNNNNUAUAUGCGUAUUGCUAUCGAGAUUCAAUAUGAACAAUCCUCUCACAUUCGGUGCAUGACCAUAAAAGAUGUUACUCAUAGAAAUAGAACAACCAUUAUUCUCAGACUUAAAAGAGUAACCGUCUCGCAAUAAACAAGAUCCAGAUAUAAUGUUCAUGCUCAACGCAGGCACUAAAUAACAAUGAUUUAAGUUCAUCACUAAUCCCGAUGGUAGCUGAAGUGACACUGUGCCGACGGCGAUUGCAUCAACCUUGGAACCAUUUCCUACGCGCAUCAUCACUUCGUCUUUCGCCAGCCUUCGUCUAUUCCGCAGUUCCUGUUUCGAGUUGCAAAUGUGACCAACAGAACCGAUAUCGAAUACCCAGGCACUACUACGAGAGCCGGUUAAGUACACAUCAAUAACAUGUAUAUCAAAUAUACCUGAUUUUUCUUUGCCCGCCUUCUUAUCUGCCAGAUACUUGGGGCAAAUGCGCUUCGAGUGACCCAUACCCUUGCAAUAGAAGCACUCUGUUUCAGGCUUAGGUCCAGCCUUGGGUUUCUUCGGCGGAUUGGCAACAGGCUUGCCGCUCUUCUUCGAAUUGCCCUUCUUGCCUUUGCCGUUUCUCUUGAAACUAGUGGUCUUGCUCACCAUCAACACUUGAUUCUCUUUACGGAGUUCAGACUCUGCGACUUUCAGCAUCACAAACAACUCGCCGGGAGACUUGUUCAUCCCUUGCAUGUUGUAGUUCAACACAAAGCCUUUAUAGCUUGGCGGCAGUGAUUGAAGGAUUCUGUCAAUGAUAGCUUCUUGCGGGAGUUCAAUCCCCAGUUCAGCCAGACGGUUUGAGUACCCAGACAUUUUGAGCACAUGUUCACUGACAGACGAGUUUUCCUCCAUCUUGCAAGCAUAGAAUUUAUCGGAGGUCUCAUACCUCUCGAUCCGGGCGUUCUUCUGAAAGAUAAACUCCAACUCCUGGAACAUCUCAAAUGCUCCAUGACGCUCAAAGCGACGUUGAAGUCCCGGUUCUAAGCCGUACAAGACUGCACAUUGAACUAUUGAGUAGUCCUCCUUACGCGCUAACCAAGCGUUCUUAACAUCCUGAUCAGCCGUAGCGGGUGGUACAUCUCCUAGCGCAGCAUUAAGGACAUAAUCCUUCUUCCCAGCUUGUANNNNNNNNNNAUACAAGACUGCACAUUGAAUUAUUGAGUAGUCCUCCUUACGUGCUAACCAAGCGUUCUUAACAUCCUGAUCAGCCGUAGCGGGUGGUUCAUCUCCUAGCGCAGCAUUAAGGACAUAAUCCUUCUUCCCAGCUUGUAAGAUUAGCUUAAGAUUACGAGCCCAGUCUACAAAGUUGCUUCCAUCAUCUUUCAACUUAGCUUUCUCUAGGAACGUAUUAAAAUUCAGGAUGACUGUUGCAUGAGCCAUGAUCUACAACACAAAUAUAUUCAAAGUGGACUUAGACUAUGUUCAAGAUAAUUAGAGUUCAACUUAAUCAAAUUAUAUGCUAAACUCCCACUCAAAAAGUACAUCUCUCUAGUCAUUUGAGUGGUUCAUGAUCCACUUACACUAUCCCAAGUCCGAUCAUCACGUGAGUCGAGAGUAGUUUCAGUGGUAAGCAUCCCUAUGCUAAUCAUAUCAACUAUAUGAUUCAUGAUCGACCUUUCGGUCUCAUGUGUUCCGAGGCCAUGUAUGCACAUGCUAGGCUUGUCAAGCUUAACCCGAGUGUUCCGCGUGCGCAACUGUUUUGCACCCGUUGUAUGUGAACGUUGAGUCUAUCACAUCCGAUCAUCACGUGGUGUCUCGAAAUGACGAACUGUAGCAACGGUGCACAGUCGGGGAGAACACAAUUUCGUCUUGAAAUUUUAGUGAGAGAUCACCUCAUAAUGCUACCGUCGUUCUAAGCAAAAUAAGGUGCAUAAAAGGAUUAACAUCACAUGCAAUUCAUAAGUGACAUGAUAUGGCCAUCAUCUCGUGCUUCUUGAUCUCCAUCACCAAAGCACCGGCACGAUCUUCUUGUCACCGGCGCCACACCAUGAUCAUCCAUCAACGUGUUGCCAUCGGGGUUGUCGUGCUACUUAUGCUAUUACUACNNNNNNNNNNNNNNNNNNNNNNNNNNNNNNNNNNNNNNNNNNNNNNNNNNNNNNNNNNNNNNNNNNNNNNNNNNNNNNNNNNNNNNNNNNNNNNNNNNNNGGGUCUACACACUUAAGGUUCGAUGACGCUAGGGUUAUAGGGAAUUGUUAUACGAGAUUACCGAAAGUUGUUCGGAGUCCCGGAUGAGAUCCCGGACGUCACGAGGAGCUCCGGAAUGGUCCGGAGGUAAAGAUUGAUAUAUAGGACGGAUGGUUUCGGACACCGGAAGUGUUUCGGGCAUCACCGGUAACGUACCGGGACCACCGGGACCACCGGAGGUGGUCCCGGUGGACCACCGAAGGGGGGCUGCGACCCCAAGAGGUAAGAUGGGCUAAGUGGGGGUGGGAACCAGCCCCUAGUUGGGCUGGUGCGCCUCUCCACUCAGCCCAUGGCGCAGGGGAAAGAAAAAGAGGGGGGAACCCUAACUUAGGUGGGCCUUAGGCCCACCAGAGGGGUGCGCCACCCCCUCCUCCCCAUCUGGCCGCCACACCCCCCAUCUGGGAGGGCUGCCGCACCCCCUAGGGUGGGAACCCUAGGGGUGGCACCCCCUCUCCCCUUCCCCUAUAUAUAGUGGGCACUUUUGGCCUUUGGAGGACACAGUUUUCCUUCUCCCUCGGCGCAACCCCGCACUUCUCCCUCCUCCUCUCUGCCGGCGCUUGGCGAAGCCCUGCCGGGAGACCUCGNNNNNNNNNNGUGCGCCACCCCCUCCUCCCCAUCUGGCCGCCACUCCCCCCAUUUGGGAGGGCUGCCGCACCCCCUUGGGUGGGAACCCUAGGGGUGGCACCCCCUCUCCCCUUCCCCUAUAUAUAGUGGGCACUUUUGGCCUUUGGAGGAUACAGUUUUCCCUCUCCCUCGGCGCAGCCCUGCACUUCUUCCUCCUCCUCUCUGCCGGCGCUUGGCGAAGCCCUGCCGGGAGACCUCGUCUCUCCACCAACACCACGCCGUCGUGUUGCUGGUCUUCUUCCCCAACCUCUCCCUCCUUGCUGGAUCAAGGUGCGGGAGGCGUCACCGGGCUGCACGUGUGUUGAACGCGGAGGUGCCGUUGUUCGGCACUAGAUCGGAAUCGCUGCGAGUACGACUCCAUCAACNNNNNNNNNNCCUUGCUGGAUCAAGGUGCGGGAGACGUCACCGGGCUGCACGUGUGUUGAACGCGGAGGUGUCGUUGUUCGGCACUAGAUCGGAAUCGCUGCGAGUACGACUCCAUCAACCGCGUUCUAGCAAACGCUUCCGCUUAGCGAUCUUCAAAGGUAUGAAGAUGCUCUUACCCCUCUCUCGUUGCUGGUCUCUCCAUAGGAAGAUCUGAACAUGCGUANNNNNNNNNNNNNNNNNNNNNNNNNNNNNNNNNNNNNNNNNNNNNNNNNNNNNNNNNNNNNNNNNNNNNNNNNNNNNNNNNNNNNNNNNNNNNNNNNNNNGAAAUCAUAGAGAAAAUUCAAUCUAAAUUCUCAUUUGAAUUUAGAUUGAAUUUUCCCUAUAAUUUAUAAUAUAGUUACAAUUGUCAGUAAGUUUAGGCCCGUAAGCCUGCUUUAGAGAGGAGCUCGAUGGAGAAGCUGCAACGGGGCUUAUAAACAAGUGUUAGUCCCCCUCGNNNNNNNNNNNNNNNNNNNNNNNNNNNNNNNNNNNNNNNNNNNNNNNNNNNNNNNNNNNNNNNNNNNNNNNNNNNNNNNNNNNNNNNNNNNNNNNNNNNNNNNNNNNNNNNNNNNNNNNNNNNNNNNNNNNNNNNNNNNNNNNNNNNNNNNNNNNNNNNNNNNNNNNNNNNNNNNNNNNNNNNNNNNNNNNNNNNNNNNNNNNNNNNNNNNNNNNNNNNNNNNNNNNNCACCCCUUUUCGGCAGGCGAGGAGGCGGGAAAUGAGGGGCUUUAGUCCCUGGCCGUGGCUCCAACCGGGACUAAAGGGGGUCUUUAGUCCCGGUUCGAGCCACGCACCGGGACUAAAGUUCCACCUAUAUAAGCAGGACUUCAAAAAAUUCCAACCCAAAUCAUCCAUUUCUCUUCUUCUUCCUCUCGUUCUCCUACCCGGCGCGGCACAGCGACGAACUCGACGACGCCGUCAGGCAGCCCGACGUCCUGCUCGCCGCCGCCUGCCGUNNNNNNNNNNNNNNNNNNNNNNNNNNNNNNNNNNNNNNNNNNNNNNNNNNNNNNNNNNNNNNNNNNNNNNNNNNNNNNNNNNNNNNNNNNNGUCGUCCUCCUCGCCGCCGCCGUCCUCCUCGCCGCGCGCCGCCGUCAUCCUCGCCGCGCGCCGUCGACACCUCCGACCGGUAAGCCCCCCGCCCCGUCCUCCCCAACACUCCGGCUAGUAGAAGAAAAGAAGAAAAUGUGGGGGAACGUCGCAUGGGAAACAAAAAUUUUCCUACGCGCACGAAGACCUANNNNNNNNNNACAGGUGGUAUAUAUCUGAUGAGGAACGUCGCAUGGGAAACAAAAUUUUUCCUACGCGCACGAAGACCUAUCAUGGUGAUGUCCAUCUACGAGAGGGGAUGAGUGAUCUACGUACCCUUGUAGAUCGUACAGCAGAAGCGUUAGAGAACGCGGUUGAUGUAGUGGAACGUCCUCACGUCCAUCGAUCCGCCCCGCGAACAAUCCCGCGAUCAGUCCCACGAUCUAGUACCGAACGGACGGCACCUCCGCGUUCAGCACACGUACAGCUCGACGAUGAUCUCGGCCUUCUUGAUCCAGCAAGAGAGAUGGAGAGGUAGAAGAGUUCUCCGGCAGUGUGACGGCGUUCCGGAGGUUGGUGAUGAUCUCGUCUCAGUAGGGCUCCGCCCGAGCUCCGCAGAAACGCGAUCUAGAGGAAAAACUAUGGAGGUAUGUGGUCGAGCAGACGUGAGAAAGUCGUCUCAAAUCUGCCCUAAAAGCCCCAUAUAUAUAGGAGGAGGGAGGGGGACCUUGCCUUGGGGUCCAAGGGACCCUCAAGGGGUCGGCCGAGCCAAGGGGGGGAGGACUCCCCCCCCCCAAACCGAGUUGNNNNNNNNNNGGCAGCCGUGAGAAAGUCGUCUCAAAUCAGCCCUAAUUGCUCCAUAUAUAUAGGAGGAGGGAGGGGGGGGGCCUUGCCUUGGGGUCCAAGGACCCCCAAGGAGUCGGCCGAGCCAAGGGGGGGAGGACUCCCCCCCAAACCGAGUUGGACUUGGUUUGGUGGGAGGAGUCCCCCUCCCUUCCCACCUCCUUCCUUUUUUUCUUUCCUCUUGAUUUUUCUUCUCUUGGCGCAUUGGGCACUUGUGGGCUGUCCCACCAGCCCACUAAAGGCUGGUGUGGCUCCCCCAAUGCCUAUGGGCUUCCCCGGGGUGGGUUGCCCCCCCCCCGGUGAACUCCCGGAACCCAUUCGUCAUUCCCGGUACAUUCCGGGUAACUCCGAAAACCUUCCGGUAAUCAAAUGAGGUCAUCCUAUAUAUCAAUCUUCGUUUCCGGACCAUUCCGGAAAACCUCGUGACGUCCGUGAUCUCAUCUGGGACUCCGAACAACAUUCGGUAACCAACCAUAUAACUCAAAUACGCAUAAAACAACAUCGAACCUUAAGUGUGCAGACCCUGCGGGUUCGAGAACUAUGUAAACAUGACCCUAGAGACUCCUCGGUCAAUAUCCAAUAGCGGGACCUGGAUGCCCAUAUUGGAUCCUACAUAUUCUACGAAGAUCUUAUCGUUUGAACCUCAGUGCCAAGGAUUCGUAUAAUCCCGUAUGUCAUUCCCUUUGUCCUUCGGUAUGUUACUUGCCCGAGAUUCGAUCGUUAGUAACCGCAUACCUAUUUCAAUCUCGUUUACCGGCAAGUCUCUUUACUCGUUCCGUAAUACAACAUCCCGCAACUUAUACUAAGUUACAUUGCUUGCAAGGCUUGUGUGUGAUGUUGUAUUACCGAGUGGGCCCCGAGAUACCUCUCCGUCACACGGAGUGACAAAUCCCAGUCUUGGUCCAUACUAACUCAACUAACACCUUCGGAGAUACCUGUAGAGCAUCUUUAUAGUCACCCAGUUACGUUGCGACGUUUGAUACACACAAACCAUUCCUCCGGUGUCAGUGAGUUAUAUGAUCUCAUGGUCAUAGGAAUAAAUACUUGACACGCAGAAAACAGUAGCAACAAAAUGACACAAUCAACAUGCUACGUCUAUUAGUUUGGGUCUAGUCCAUCACGUGAUUCUCCCAAUGACGUGAUCCAGUUAUCAAGCAACAACACCUUGUUCAUAAUCAAAAGACACUGACUAUCAUUGAUCAACUGACUAGCCAACUAGAGGCAUGCUAGGGACGGUGUUUUGUCUAUGUAUCUACACAUGUAAAUGAGUCUUCAUUCAAUACAAUUAUAGCAUGGAUAAUANNNNNNNNNNCUUAUCCAGUUAUCAAGCAACAACACCUGGUUCAUAAUCAGAAGACACUGACUAUCAUUGAUCAACUGGCUAGCCAACUAGAGGCAUGCUAGGGACGGUGUUUUGUCUAUGUAUCCACACAUGUAAAUGAGUCUUCAUUCAAUACAAUUAUAGCAUGGAUAAUAAACUAUUAUCUUGAUACAGGAAUUAUAAUAAUAACUAUACUUUUAUUAUUGCCUCUAGGGCAUAAUUCCAACAGUCUCCCACUUGCACUAGAGUCAAUAAUCUAGCCCUCACAUCACCAUGUGAAUUACAUUGUAAUAAAUCUAACACCCAUACAGUUCUGGUGUCGAUCAUGUUUUGGCCGUGGAAGAGGUUUAGUCAGCGGGUCUGCUACAUUCAGAUCCGUGUCCACCUUGCAUAUAUUUACGUCCUCCUCCUCGACGUAGUCGCGGAUGAGGUUGAAGCGUCGUUUGAUGUGUCUGGUCUUCUUGUGAAAUCGUGGUUCCUUUGCUAAGGCAAUGGCACCCGUGUUGUCACAGAACAAGGUUAUUGGAUCCAGUGCACUUGGCACCACUCCAGGAUCCGNNNNNNNNNNGGGUCUUCUUGUGAAACCUUGGUUCCUUUGCUAAGGCAAUGGCACCAGUGUUGUCAUAGAACAAGGUUAUUGGAUCCAGUGCACUUGGCACCACUCCAAGAUCCGUCAUGAACUGCUUCAUCCAGACACCCUCCUUAGCCGCCUCCGAGGCAGCCAUGUACUCUGCUUCACAUGUAGAAUCUUUCAUGGCAGUUUCUUUCCCGUAAUCUAGCGAGGAACAUGUGUAUUGUGUCAUUGAGGAGAUAGACGGCUGGAAAUAAUAUGAACAAUUUUUUGGCACUUCCACCAAAUACAUCAAUCAGUUUGAAGCAAGGAAAGGGCUAUCAUGCCGAAAACUUGCAUNNNNNNNNNNGGAUCUGUGUCAAAGCUUGCAUCGACGUAACCUUUUAUGGCGAUCUCUUCGUCACCUCCAUACACGAGAAACAUCUCCUUAGUCCUUUUCAGNNNNNNNNNNUGAUCUGUGUCAAAGCUUGCAUCAACGUAACCCUUUACGGCGAGCUCUUCGUCACCUCCAUACACGAGAAACAUCUCCUUAGUCCUUUUCAGGUGCUUCAGGAUAUUCUUGACCGCUGUCCAGUGAUCCACUCCUGGAUUACUCUGGAGCCUGCCUGCCAUACUUAUGGCCAGGCUAACAUCCGGUCUAGUGCACAGCAUCGCAUACAUGAUAGAACCUAUGGCUGAAGCAUAGGGGACGGAGNNNNNNNNNNAUGGAACCUACCUGCCAUACAUAUGGCCAGGCUAACAUCCGGUCUAGUGCAUAGCAUCGCAUACAUGAUAGAACCUAUGGCUGAAGCAUAGGGGACGGAGNNNNNNNNNNNNNNNNNNNNNNNNNNNNNNNNNNNNNNNNNNNNNNNNNCACUGGCAAGAACCCUUUCUUGGACUGUUCCAUUUUGGACCUCUUCAAAACUUUAUCAAGUAUGUGCUUUGUGAAAGUCCUAUCAGGCGUUUUGAUCUAUCCCUAUANNNNNNNNNNCGCAUAUGCUCUCUAUCUUCAUCAGUUGCUGGGCACUGAGUUUUACUCAAUCUCAUACCUUGUAAAACUGGCAAGAACCCUUUCUUGGACUGUUCCAUUUUGAACCUCUUCAAAACUUUAUCAAGGUAUGUGCUUUGUGAAAGUCCUAUCAGGCGUUUUGAUCUAUCCCUAUAGAUCUUAAUGCCUAGAAUGUAAGGAGCUUCUCCUAGGUCCUUCAUAGAGAAACUUUUAUUCAAGUAACCUUUUAUGCUCUCCAAAAACUCUACGUUGUUUCCAAUCGGUAAUAUGUCAUCCACAUAUAAUAUUAGAAACGCCACAGAGAUCCCACUCACUUUCUUGUAAAUACAAGAUUCUCCAACCACUUGUAUAAACCCAAAUGCUUUGAUCACCUCAUCAAAACGUUUGUUCCAACUCCGAGAUGCUUGCACCAGUCCAUAAAUGGAUCGCUGGAGCUUGCACACCUNNNNNNNNNNGCUCUACGUUGUUUCCAAUCAGUAAUAUGUCAUCCACAUAUAAUAUUAGAAACGCCACAGAGCUCCCACUCACUUUCUUGUAGAUACAAGGUUCUCCAACCACUUGUACAAACCCAAAUGCUUUGAUCACCUCAUCAAAGCGUUUGUUCCAACUCUGAGAUGCUUGCACCAGUCCAUAAAUGGAUCGCUGGAGCUUGCACACCUUGUCAGCAUUUUUAGGAUCGACAAAACCUUCGGGUUGCAUCAUAUACAACUCUUCCUUAAGGAAACCGUUAAGGAACGCUGUUUUGACAUCCAUCUGCCAGAUUUCAUAAUUGAAAAAUGCAGCUAUUGCUAACAUAAUUCUGACGGACUUAAGCAUCGCUACGGGUGAGAAAGUCUCAUCGUAGUCAACUCCUGGAACUUGUGAAAAACCCUUUGCCACAAGUCGAGCUUUAUAAACGGUCACAUUACCGUCAGCAUCCGUCUUCUUCUUAAAGAUCCAUUUGUUCUGAAUAGCCUUGCGGCCCUCAGGUAGUAUCUCCAAAGUCCACACUUUGUUCUCAUACAUGGAUCCUAUCUCGGAUUUCAUGGCUUCUAGCCAUUUGUUGGAAUCUGGGCCCACCAUUGCUUCUUCAUAAUUUGCAGGUUCAUUGUUGUCUAACAACAUGAUUGAUAAUACGGGAUUACCGUACCACGCUGGAGCAGCGCGUGAUCUCGUCGACUUGCGUGGUUCAACAGAAACUUGAACUGGAGUUUCAUGAUCAUCAUCAUUAACUUCCUCCUCAACNNNNNNNNNNUCUGGAACAGCGCGUGAUCUCGUCGACCUGCGUGGUUCAAUAGCAACUUGAACUGGAGUUUCAUGAUCAUCAUCAUUAACUUCCUCCUCAACCGGCGUCGCAACGACAGAGGUUUCCCCUUGCCCUGCGCCACCAUCCAGAGGGAUAAGAGGUUCGACAACCUCGUCAAGUUCUAUCUUCCUCCCACUCAAUUCUCUCGAGAGAAACUCCUUCUCGAGAAAAGUUCCGUUCUUAGCAACAAACACUUUGCCCUCGGAUUUGAGAUAGAAGGUGUACCCAACUGUCUCUUUUGGGUAACCUAUGAAGACGCACUUUUCCGCUUUGGGUUCCAGCUUUUCAGGCUGAAGCUUUUUGACAUAAGCAUCACAUCCCCAAACUUUAAGAAACGACAACUUUGGCCUCUUGCCAUACCACAAUUCGUAUGGUGUCGUCUCAACGGAUUUUGAUGGUGCCCUAUUUAAAGUGNNNNNNNNNNACAUCCCCAAACUUUAAGAAACGACAACUUUGGCCUUUUGCCAUACCACAGCUCGUAUGGUGUCGUCUCAACGGAUUUUGAUGGUGCCCUAUUUAAAGUGAAUGCAGUUGUUUCUAAUGCAUAACCCCAAAAUGAUAACGACAAAUCAGUAAGAGACAUCAUAGAUCGCACCAUCUCUAACAAAGUACGAUUACGACGUUCGGACACACCAUUACGCUUUGGUGUACCAGGCGGUGUUAACUGCGAAACAAUUCCACAUUGUCUUAAGUGAGCACCAAACUCGAAACUCAGAUAUUCACCCCCACGAUCAGACCGUAGGAACUUGAUCUUCUUGUUACGAUGAUUUUCCACUUCACUCUGAAAUUGCUNNNNNNNNNNGUGGUGUUCCAGGCGGUGUUAACUGCGAAACAAUUCCACAUUGUCUUAAGUGAGUACCAAACUCGAAACUCAGAUAUUCACCCCCACAAUCAGACCGUAGGACUUGAUCUUCUUGUUACGAUGAUUUUCCACUUCACUCUGAAAUUGCUUGAACUUUUCAAAUGUUUCAGACUUGUGUUUCAUCAAGUAGACAUAACCAUAUCUACUUAAAUCGUCAGUGAAGGUGAGCAAAUAACGAUAUCCGCCGCGUGCCUCUACGCUCAUUGGACCACACACAUAGGUAUGUAUGAUUUCCAACAAGUCACUUGCACGCUCCAUUGUUCCGGAGAACGGAGUCUUAGUCAUCUUGCCCAUGAGGCAUGGUUCGCACGUGUCAAGUGAAUCAAAGUCAAGUGACUCCAAAAGUCCAUCAGCAUGGAGUUUCUUCAUGCGCUUUACACCAAUAUGACCUAAACGGCAGUGCCACAAAAAUAUGGCGCUAUCAUUGUUUACUNNNNNNNNNNNNNNNNNNNNNNNNNNNNNNNNNNNNNNNNNNNNNNNNNNNNNNNNNNNNNNNNNNNNNNNNNNNNNNNNNNNNNNNNNNNNNNNNNNNNUGAAGAAUCCAGCGCCCAUUUCUUAUACUUUAUAUCACAUAAAGAUGUUUUUGUUGUACAAUGUAAAAAAUGGACCUUUUUCACAAGCCAAAAAUAGGAUUCCCUAGAGAACAACUCAGGGGAUGUGGUUAACAAUUGCAUGCUAGCUAGUUUUAGUAAAUAAUAACACAAGGUGAAGUGUGAAUUCAAAAGACGAGAUAUAGCAUGCCAAAUUCUUUAAGGGUGGGUUAGUUAGCCAGUACACUGGUUGACAAUUGGAGUUGUGGGUUAGUUAGCCAGUACACUGGUUGACAAUUGGAGUUGUUACACGUCGACAUCUAGUGAGCUCACAUUGUUUACCUGACAAAAUGUUUCUAUCUAUAUCGUGCAUGUAUAAAAAAAUGUUGAGAUAAAUUUUGUAGGACUACAAUUCAAUAAUGAUGUGUGCACGCAUGGACAUUCUAUGAGCCCCACGCAUGACAACAAGAUAUGAUUACCUCUCAUUAGCAAUAAGAUAUGUCGAACUAAAAAGUACCAUACUUCUGUUAUUCCAGUUUGCGUGCCCAUUCGGUUUUGUGGAUUUCCAUACACAUAUGAUGGAAAUAUCCCCAUUCGACCCAUUCGGUUUUGUUGAUUUCCAUACACAUAUGAUGGAAAUAUCCCCAUUCGUCGAUGCCAUGUAUUCUGUACAUUCUUUUGAAAAAAUGACUUUUUUUCCUUUUGCCCAAAUUUCUAGGGGGCGGGGCAUCAAAUAUUUGGAUUUCGAUGUCCGGAAUAAUUUUGAUGUGUGGAAGGACUCGAAGAAUACCAUAACUGUUAUUACGGACGAUCAUGUUAGUUACCCGUGUGCAAUAGUCUAAUAGGCUAAUUAAUCCCAAUAUGGCGAUUCACUAAAAGGAUGGCACAUUUUGCAAACGAUAAUCCCAUUAGUAUUCAAUGCGACCGCAAUGAGUUGCAUCCAGAGAAGGUGAAAUGUAAGUAGUGAUUGAUUACCAGUAUAAGAGGUCGGCGUUGUACUACAAAACAUUAGUUGACUAGUAGGACAUUAAGGGUAGACAUGCAAGGGUUGACACUGAUGACCUUAAAAAACACAUCUCUCGUUAUCAUCAAUAGAAAAAGGUGAAAAUAUAUGAUUCAUGAGUCCCAACAGUAAACACUCAUGACUGAAUGCCUGAUUCCUUAACUUCAUGAUACACAACCAUCAGUUAGUUUCUCUUUAACAUACGUGCGAGAAAACAAAUUACAUGCAUAUGCAAUGUCAAAAUAAAAAGUACGCACGAAAAUAUUUUCAUAAUUCUUUAGUGGUACACUCAAGACGAGUUUAUUUGUAAAAGUUUGGAAAAGAAAAACAUCCAACAUAUCCAUUAAGUCUGUCUCUCGGGACUUGAAUCUACCUAGCCGAGAGAAAUCAAAUUUCCUUUUUUGAAGAAUCAUGUGCCCAAUUAUUAUACUUUAUAUCAUAUAUAGAAGUAUUUGUUUUAACUGUUAUAUCCAUUAAGUCUGUCUUUUAGGACUUGAAUAGCCGAGAGAAAUCAAAUUCCUUUCUUGGAAGAAUCCUGUGCCCAAUUAUUAUACUUUAUAUCAUAUAUAGAAGUAUUUGNNNNNNNNNNNNNNNNNNNNNNNNNNNNNNNNNNNNNNNNNNNNNNNNNNNNNNNNNNNNNNNNNNNNNNNNNNNNNNNNNNNNNNNNNNNNNNNNNNNNCAAAUCUAGAAAAAUGAGUUACCUUGCGGGCCUCCAAUAAGUGAGGGAUGUUAGUUUUGUAGUGUGGCAUCUCACAUCGAUGAUGAAAAAUAAUAGUUUUUGGAUGUCUUAAGUGUGGUCCCAAAAUAUGUGCACGUAUCGCCACACCAUUAGCUAUUAUUUUUACGUUUUUCUAUUGAUGAUAACGAGAGAUGUAUUUUUAAAGGUCAUCAAUGUCAACUCUUGCAUGUUCACCCUUAAUGUCCUACUGGUCAACUGAUGUUUAAUAGUACAAUACAGGCCUCUUAUACUAGUAAUCAAUCACUAAUCAAUACAGGCCCCAACUGAUGUUCAACCAUUCGUGUGUACCAUAUUUCGCGAAUAACAUAUUCUUUCUCAUGCAAGACAUAAAAGGAAUCACAUUCGAGAUGUGGGUCGUGUGUCGACGAAAAGUACUAGUUUUAAAUUUAUUCCAUUUGUACCAUUAAAGAAACUGAAUUUUAUCGGUGUACGUGUUUAUUUCGUGGUUGGUUAUGNNNNNNNNNNNNNNNNNNNNNNNNNNNNNNNNNNNNNNNNNNNNNNNNNNNNNNNNNNNNNNNNNNNNNNNNNNNNNNNNNNNNNNNNNNNNNNNNNNNNNNNNNNNNNNNNNNNNNNNNNNNNNNNNNNNNNNNUUUUUUGCUUUUGGAAGAGCCUCAUAAAGGUCAAGAACCAUUUACUGAAUUACAAAUAAAUUAGAUUUUGUAAGUUAAUAUAUUUCAUGUAAAAAAGGAUGAAGGGAGUGCAUGGCAUAGAUUUAGCUCACGAUGUUCUUCUAACACAACUGUCGAAAUCCAAAAAAUGAGUUAGCUUGUCGGACUCGACCAAGUGAGAGAUGUUAGUUUUAUAGUGUGGGAUGUCACAUCGAUAAUGAAAAAUAAUAGUUUCUUGAUGUCAUAAGUGUGGGCUCAAAUUAUGUUCACGCAUCCCCACAACAUUUGUUAUUAUUUUCACCUUUUCCUAUUGAUGAUAACGAGAAAUGUAUUUUUUAGGUCGUCAGUCUCAACCCUUGCAUGUUCACCCUUAACAUCCUACUAGUCAACUCAUGUUUUAUAGUACAAUGUCGGCCUCUUAUACUAGUAAUCAAUCACUACUUACAUUUGACCUUCUCUGGAUGCAACUCAUUGCGGUCAUCAAAAUCCAAAUAUUUGAUGCCCCCCUCCCCCUACAGAAAAGGGCAAAGGAACAAAAAAAUCAAAAAUAAUGUAAAUAAUACAUCUCGUAGAAUGGGGAUAUUUUCAUCAUAUGUCUACGGAAAUCCAUAAAAGCGAAUGAGCAUGAAAGCUGGAAUAACUGAAUUAUGGCAGUUUUUAGUUCAACAUAUCUUAUUGCUAAUGAUAGGUAAUCAUAUCUUGAUGUCAUCCAUGUGGGCUCAUGGAAUGUCCACGCGUGCACACUUCAUUAUUGAAUUGUUUUCCUACAAAAUUAAUCUCAACCCUUUUUUAUAGAUGCAUGAUAUAGAUUGAAGCAUUUUGUGAUGUCAACAAUGUGAGCUCACUAGAUGUGCACAUGUAACAACUCCAAUUGACAACUGGUGUGCUGGCUAACUAACUCAUUCUUAAGGAAUUUGGCAUGCUAUAUCUCGUCUUUAGCAUUCACACUUCGCCUUGUUUUAGUACUUACUAAAACCUAGGUANNNNNNNNNNNNNNNNNNNNNNNNNNNNNNNNNNNNNNNNNNNNNNNNNNNNNNNNNNNNNNNNNNNNNNNNNNNNNNNNNNNNNNNNNNNNNNNNNNNNUAUCUUAUUGCUAAUGAGAGGUAAUCAUAUCUUGUUGUCAUGCAUCGGGGCUCAUAGAAUGUCCAUGCGUGCACACAUCAUUAUUGAAUUUAUGUCCUACAAAAUUUAUCUCAACCUUUUUUUAUAGACGCACGAUAUAGAUAGAAACAUUUUGUCAUGUAAACAAUGUGAGCUCACUAGAUGUCCACGUGUAACAACUCCAAUUGUCAACCGGUGUACUAGCUAACUAACCCACUCUUAAAGAAUUUGGCAUGCUAUAUCUCGUCUUUGGAAUUCACACUUCGCCUUAUGUUAUUAUUUACUAAAACUAGCUAGCAUGCAAUUGUUAACCACAUCCCCCUGAGUUGUUCUUUAAGGAAUCCUAUUUUUGUCUUGUGAAAAAGGUCCAUUUUUUACAUUGUACAACAAUUAACCACAUUCCCCUGAGUUGUUCUCUAGGGAAUCCUAUUUUUGUCUUGUGAAAAAGGUCCAUUUUUUACAUUGUACAACAAAAACUUCUUUAUGUGUUAUAAAGUAUAAGAAAUGGGCGCUGGAUUCUUCAAAUAAAGAAAUUCAUUUUUUUCUUGACUAGGUAGAUUCUAGAGCCGAAAGACGGAAUUAAUGGAUAUGUUGGAUGUUUGUCUUGUCCAAAGUUUUGCAAAUAAACUCGUCCUGAGUGUACCACUAAAAAAUCAUGAAAAUAUUUUUUUCCGUACUUUUUUGUUUUGUCAUUGCAUAUGCAUGUAAUUUUUUUUCACGCAUCGCAUGUUAAAGACAAACUAACAUAUGGUUGUGUUUCAUGAAGUUAAGGGCUCGUGCAUUCAGUCAUGAUUCUUUACUGUUGGGACUCGUGAAUCAUAUAUUCCAUUUCCAACUGCACGUACAUACCAUCUACAAGAUGCUCAUGAUUUGACAUGUCUUUCGGAUGCAAGAUCGGUAAGAUGACCCAUCCAUGAUGUUCAUUGUGCGUGUUGCGUAAAAUAGUACAAACGAUACUGUCACGGGUGUAUGCCUAGAGAAUAUGUUUUUUCAUGUAAUCGUUUUGUUCAUUGUGCGGGUUGUGUAAAAUAGAACAAACGAUACCGUCAUGGGUGUAUCCCUAGAGAAUAUGUUUUUUCAUGUAAUCGUUUCGACUAUGGUUAGAUUUGAAUUUAAAUUUAUUUUUUCUUUCACAUAUGCCACACCGACACAAAAUGAUUUGCACUUUUGUGAGAUCCGCAUUAAGAUUGAGAACACUUUCAUUCAAGUUGUAGUGUUCACUAUUGGGAAUAAUCAAUCGGUUAGAUUUUUGUGUGAUAAUAUAUGUCCUUUAUAAGAAGCAUUCUAUGAGGAAAAAUAGACUGCGGAUAGGAGGCUUUCGGGUGUAAAAUGGGGUUUUAAUACUUCUCGUAGCUUUAUAACCAUACGUAUGUACCAUCUGUCGGCAAUAAUAUAUUAUUGAUGUGCCCUUGCUUUCGCAUACAAGACAAAAAAGGAAGACCAUCCUGUCGGCAAUAAUAUAGCGCAUCUCUGUAUCAACUGAAUAACUCUAUCUAAGAGUGACGUCGAUGGAACCGGUGAACCACGCGAGCUGGAUAGAUGCGUGGGGCAGUGCAUCCCUCUCGGUCUCAGGGCUUGCUCAAUCAACCAGAAAAGAAGGCUGAGGAAAGUUGUUUGAUUGACCAUUGGUUUAAAAAAUGCGUAGAUGGUUUGCUAUGAUGAGGUCCCGGACCAGAUACAAAGCUGCAUAAAAUAGCUACUUCUUACUAGCCCGACUCGGCUCUGCGAGAAAACGGCUGCAGUCCUUGGUUUCCUAAACGGCGGCUACUUAUUGAUGUGCCCUUGCUUUCGCAUGCAAGACACAAAAGGAAGANNNNNNNNNNNNNNNNNNNNNNNNNNNNNNNNNNNNNNNNNNNNNNNNNNNNNNNNNNNNNNNNNNNNNNNNNNNNNNNNNNNNNNNNNNNNNNNNNNNNAACUGAAUUUUAUCGGUGUACGUGUUUAUUUCGUGGUUGGUUAUGGAUGUAAAUUUCUUACUUUGAUGUUCGUGAAAGAAAACUAAACGAAUCGAUACUUUGCUUUUGGAAGAGCCUCAUAAAGGUCAAGAACCAUUUACUGAAUUACAAAUCAAUUAGAUUUUGUAAGUUAAUAUAUUUCAUGUAAAAAAGGAUGAAGGGAGUGCAUGGCAUAGAUUUAGCUCACGAUGUUCUUCUAACACAACUGUCGAAAUCUAAAAAAUGAGUUAGCUUGUGGGACUCGACCAAGUGAGAGAUGUUAGUUUUAUAGUGUGGGAUGUCACAUCGAUAAUGAAAAAUAAUAGUUUCUUGAUGUCAUAAGUGUGGGCUCAAAUUAUGUCCACGCACCCCCACACCAUUUGCUAUUAUUUUCACCUUUUCCUAUUGAUGAUAACGAGAAAUGUAUUUUUUAGGUCGUCAGUCUCAACCCUUGCAUGUUCACCCUUAACAUCCUACUAGUCAACUCAUGUUUUAUAGUACAAUGUCGGCCUCUUAUACUAGUAAUCAAUCACUAAUCAAUACAGGCCCCAACCGAUGUUCAACCAUUCGUGUGUACCAUAUUUCGCGAAUAACAUAUUCUUUCUCAUGCAAGACAUAAAAGGAAUCACAUUCGAGAUGUGGGUCGUGUGUCGACGAAAAGUACUAGUAAUAAAUUUAUUCCAUUUGUACCAUUAAAGAAACUGAAUUUUAUCGGUGUACGUGUUUAUUUCGUGGUUGGUUAUGAAUGUAAAUUUGUUACUUUGAUGUUCGCGAAAGAAAACUAAACGAAUCAAUAUUUUUUGCUUUUGGAAGAGCCUCAUAAAGGUCAAGAACCAUUUACUGAAUUACAAAUAAAUUAGAUUUUGUAAGUUAAUAUAUUUCAUGUAAAAAAGGAUGAAGGGAGUGCAUGGCAUAGAUUUAGCUCACGAUGUUCUUCUAACACAACUGUUGAAAUCCAAAAAAUUAGUUAGCUUGUCGGACUCGACCAAGUGAGAGAUGUUAGUUUUAUAGUGUGGGAUGUCACAUCGAUAAUGAAAAAUAAUAGUUUCUUGAUGUCAUAAGUGUGGGCUCAAAUUAUGUCCACGCACCCCCACACCAUUUGCUAUUAUUUUCACCUUUUCCUAUUGAUGAUAACGAGAAAUGUAUUUUUUAGGUCGUCAGUCUCAACCCUUGCAUGUUCACCCUUAACAUCCUACUAGUCAGGUCAUGUUUUAUAGUACAAUGUCGGCCUCUUAUACUAGUAAUCAAUCGCUACUUACAUUUGACCUUCUCUGGAUGCAAAUCAUUGCGGUCAUCAAUAUCCAAAUAUUUGAUGCCCCCUCCCCCUACAAAAAAGGGCAAACGAACAAAAAAAUCAAAAAUAAUGUAAAUAAUACAUGUAGUAGAAUGGGGAUAUUUUCAUCAUUUGUCUACGGAAAUCCACAAAAGCGAAUGAGCAUGCAAACUAGAAUAACUGAAUUAUGGCAGUUUUUAGUUCAACAUAUCUCAUUGCUAAUGAUAGGUAAUCAUAUCUUGAUGUCAUCCAUGUGGGCUCAGGGAAUGUCCACACGUGCACACUUCAUUAUUGAAUUGUGGAACUACAAAAUUAAUCUCAACCUUUUUUUAUAGAUGCAUGAUAUAGAUUGAAGCAUUUUGUGAUGUCANNNNNNNNNNNNNNNNNNNNNNNNNNNNNNNNNNNNNNNNNNNNNNNNNNNNNNNNNNNNNNNNNNNNNNNNNNNNNNNNNNNNNNNNNNNNNNNNNNNNCAAACGGAAUACAUUUGUAAGCAGUACUUUUCGUCGACGCACGACAAACAUGUCGGAUGUUCUUCCUUUUGUGUCUAGCAUGCGAAAGCAAGGGCACAUCAAUAAUAUAUUAUUGCCGACAGAUGGUACAUACGUAUGGUUAUAAAGCUACGAGAAGUAUUAAAACCCCAUUUUACACCCGAAAGCCUCCUAUCCGCAGUCUAUUUUUCCUCAUAGAAUGCUUCUUAUAAAGGACAUAUAUUAUCACACAAAAAUCUAACCGAUUGAUUAUUCCCAAUAGUCAACACUACAACUUGAAUGAAAGUGUUCUCAAUCUUAAUGCGGAUCUCACAAAAGUGCAAAUCAUUUUGUCUCGGUGUGGCAUAUUUGAAAGAAAAAAAAAUAAAUUCAAAUCUAACCACACUCAAAACGAUUACAUGAAAAAACAUAUUCUCUAGGGAUACACCUGUGACGGUAUCGUUUGUACUAUUUUACACAACCCGCACAAUGAACAUCCUGGAUGGGUCAUCUUACCGAUCUUGCAUCUGAAAGACAUGUCAAAUCAUGAGCAUCUUGUAGAUGGUAUGUACGUGCAGUUGGAAAUGGAAUAUAUGAUUCACGAGUCCCAACAGUAAAGAAUCAUGACUGAAUGCACGAGCCCUUAACUUCAUGAAACACAACCAUAUGUUAGUUUGUCUUUAACAUGCGAUGCGUGAAAAAAAAUUACAUGCAUAUGCAAUGACAAAACAAAAAAGUACGGAAAAAAAUAUUUUCAUGAUUUUUUAGUGGUACACUCAGGACGAGUUUAUUUGCAGAACAAGACAAACAUCCAACAUAUCCAUUAAGUCCGUCUUUCGGAUCUAGAAUCUACCUAGUCAAGAAAAAAAUGAAUUUCUUUAUUUGAAGAAUAAAGCGCCCAUUUCUUAUACUUUAUAUCACAUAAAGAAGUUUUUGUUGUACAAUGUAAAAAAUGGACCUUUUUUCACAAGACAAAAAUAGGAUUCCCUAGAGAACAACUCAGGGGAAUGUGGUUAAUAAUUGCAUGCUAGCUAGUUUUAGUAAAUAAUAACACAAGGCGAAGUGUGAAUUCCAAAAACGAGAUAUAGCAUGCCAAAUUCUUUAAGAGUGGGUUAGUUAGCCAGCACACCGGUUGACAAUUGGAGUUGUUACACGUGGACAUCUGGUGAGCUCACAUUGUUUACAUGACAAAAAUUUUCUAUCUAUAUCGUGCAUCUAUAAAAAAAGGUUGAGAUAAAUUUUGUAGGACAUAAAUUCAAUAAUGAUGUGUGCACGUAUAGACAUUCUAUGAGCCCCCAUGCAUGACAACAAGAUAUGAUUACCUCUCAUUAGCAAUAAGAUAUGUCGAACUAAAAAGUACCAUACUUCUGUUAUUCCAGUUUGCGUGCCCAUUCGGUUUUGUGGAUUUCCAUAGACAUAUGAUGGAAAUAUCCCCAUUCGUCUAUGCCAUGUAUUCUGUACAUUCUUUUGAAAAAAUGACUUUUUUUCUUUUGCCCUAAUUUGUAGGGGGCGGGGCAUCAAAUAUUUGGAUGUCGAUGUCCGAUUUUUUUUCCUUUUGCCCUAUUUUGUAGGGGGCGGGGCAUCAAAUAUUUAGAUUUCGAUGUCCGGAAUAAUUUUAUGUGUGGAAGGACUCGAAGAAUACCAUCGCUGUUAUUACACACGGUCAUGUUAGUUACCCGCGUGCAAUAGUCUAAUAGGAUAAUUAAUCCAAAAAUGGCGAUUCACUAAAAGGAUCACAUAUUUUGCAAACGAUAAUCCCAUUAGUAGUCAAUGCGACCGCAGUGAGUUGCAUCCAGAGAAGGUGAAAUGUAAGUAGUGAUUGAUUACCAGUAUAAGAGGUCGGCAUUGUACUAUAAAACAUUAGUUGACUAGUAGGACAUUAAGGGUGGACAUGCAAGGGUUGACACUCAUGACCUUAAAAAAUACAUCUCUCGUUAUCAUCAAUAGAAAAAGGUGAAAACUUAUGACCUUAAAAAUACAUCUCUCGUUAUCAUCAAUAGAAAAAGGUGAAAAAUAUAUGAUUCAUGAGUCCCAACAGUAAAAACUCAUGACUGAAUGCAUGAGCCAUUAACUUCAUGAAACACAACCAUCAGUUAGUUUGUCUUUAACAAACGUGUGAGAAAGAAAAUACAUGCAUAUGCAAUGUAAAAUAAAAAGUACGCACGAAAAGAUUUUCAUGAUUCUUUAGUGGUACACUCAGGAUGAGUUUAUUUGUUAAAGUUUGGAAAAGAUAAACAUCCAACAUAUCCAUUAAGUCUGUCUCUCGGGAUUUGAAUCUACCUAGCCGAGAGAAAUCAAAUUUGUUUCUUUGAAGAAUCAUGUGCCCAAUUAUUAUACUUUAUAUCAUAUAUAGAAGUAUUUGUUUUAGCUGUAAACACAAAGUGAAAGUCAGAUGGAUCUUUUUCACAAGACAAAAAAAAUAUUCUCUUGAGAACAACUAUAGGGGAUGUGGUUACUUAUUCAUAAGUCGUGCUUAUUAGCACGAGAUAUUACAAGUGACAUAGAUUUUCACACAAAUGACAUACUUGUAGAAUCCCUUACUUGGGAGGGAUUCAAGACAUGGCAUAUCAUGGCAUGGCAGGCAUAUAUAAUAAUUCUGCCAGCUAACAAAGGUGUCCCUGAUUUAUUUCAACAACACACAAUAAUAGUAGUAGCACGUAGGCCUCACGGGCUAGUCCUUAUAGCGGAAGUAACUCGAUGGAUUAUGAUGGAUCAUGGAAGAACAUAGAUACCAAUGGCAUCAAUGAGANNNNNNNNNNNNNNNNNNNNNNNNNNNNNNNNNNNNNNNNNNNNNNNNNNNNNNNNNNNNNNNNNNNNNNNNNNNNNNNNNNNNNNNNNNNNNNNNNNNNACAUAUUCCGUGUCUUCAAGGUCCAACUGUGUAAAACAACAAUCAUGCAUUUUUAUAACCUAUAGUUAGGACUUCAUAUGGCGAUAAGGGUUACUUACAUAUAUAAAUUGUAUAUAUUAGGUAUUUUAUAAGGUUAAGUUGAUUCACACACCGUGUGCUUGUUCCCACUAGGAGCUCCCCAUACACCAUCUACAUGUUGAUCCCCUGCAUGAUCCUCAUAUGUAAACUUGGUGGAGUGGAUUGCGUCUGCACCAGAAAUUUCCACCCGGGUUAGUCGGUGGGGAGCGUGUCUGACGUCACGAGGCUGGCCUCCUACUCCACCCCAUAGACCAAUCUUCACAGGCUUGCUCUGCAAGCAUCAUCACACAGAUGUAAAAUCACACAAAGUAUGGAAUGUAUACAUACAUGCAUGUAAUGGAAAAUUGGAAGUAAGAAUAAUGUGCAUGAGUGUGUGUAAGUGUGUACCAUGAUGAAGCUAGUUCAACACAAAUGAAAGUUGAAGUGGUGGUAGUAGUACAAAUGUAUAUAUAUAUGGAGUAUGAGGGACUUAUGGACACCAUGCAGAGAGGAGCACCCUAUAUAUAGUCAAGCGCAUGAACAAUCCACUACCUAGCAUGGUUCACAAUUGCAUGCUAGCUAGGUUUUAGUAAGUACUAAAACAAGGCGAAGUGUGAAUGCCAAAGACGAGAUAUAGCAUGAGUUAGUUAGCCAGCACACCAGUUGUCAAUUGGAGUUGUUACAUGUGCACAUCUAGUGAGCUCACAUUGUUGACAUCACAAAAUGCUUCAAUCUAUAUCAUGCAUCUAUAAAAAAGUGUUGAGAUUAAUUUUGUAGUACAAUAAUUCAAUAAUGAAGUGUGCACGCGUGGACAUUCCAUGAGCCUACAUGGAUGACAUCAAGAUAUGAUUACCUAUCAUUAGCAAUAAGAUACCUCCUCAACCCAACGGAACUUUUCACUGCCUUCCGAUUCCACAUGGCUAUGCUGUUGUGAUGGUGGAUCAAGUAAUGGAGGAAUUUGAGCAGCUCGAGCUUGACCACCCUACAGGUGAAGGGGAGAUUCAGUUGGUUCGUGCUCUGGGGAGUACAUGUCUAUGGCAGAAGGAGUUCAUCAAGCUUCCAAACUGGACGCCUCCGCCUCCUCCGACGACGACGACGAGUCAGGGCACUCUGNNNNNNNNNNNNNNNNNNNNNNNNNNNNNNNNNNNNNNNNNNNNNNNNNNNNNNNNNNNNNNNNNNNNNNNNNNNNNNNNNNNNNNNNNNNNNNNNNNNNCGUCUUUUGACUCACGUAUGCGAUAGUGUCGCUAGCAAUCCAAUGUCAAAGAACCCGGAUCGACAUGUCUAGUCAUAAACCAAAGUGGCAGUACCACACAAGGACAGGCAUACAUGACCCAACAAAGCAGGUGUCGGUCAUCAGCGAAUGUAGACGAGUCGUAGCAAGCUACAAGGACUCCAUUACAUCGCGUGACAUUUCCCCAAAGGGGACAGACACAGCAGAUGAGAAGGACACAUGCCGGUCAACCAAUGCGUCCGGAGCAGUAGCGAACUACCAAGGCUCGUUGGAUCACAAAGGGGCAUUUCCUUGUAAGGAGUGCUACUAAAGAUCACGACUAGGUAAUCGAACCCCAUACAUAUCAAGCAUGACACACGUACGCAUGGCAUAUCAAUAUGUAUAGAUACAUCGAUGGCAUCACAACAUAACCAUAAACAUACAAGCUUUAUUUAAGAGGCUCGGAAGANNNNNNNNNNNNNNNNNNNNNNNNNNNNNNNNNNNNNNNNNNNNNNCGGAAGAGCCACACACAUAAUAUUACACAUUAAGGUCUCUCGACCCAUAAUAGCAGUCAUACAAUACAAGCCCGCGAAAGAGUUAUAAACUGUCUGGGAACAGGCAGUGCAACUAGAAGGCACAUGCACUGACUAUACUACACAGCCGGAGUAGGGCCAGAUCGUAGCUGGAAAACCAGCUACUCGUCGUCGUCGAUGUCUACGAAGAACCCUCCAUUAGGGUCAUUAGCAACCUCUGCAACAUUUAUUAAGCAAACAUGAGUACGAAGGUACUCAGCAAGACUUUAGGAGAACUAACUACUCAUGCAAGGUAUCAAAAGGUAUUGUGGGGUUUCAUGCGGAAAGCCAGCAUUUGACUCGUGGCUAGACAACUUGCAUUUUUAAAUUAUUUUGACAACUUGAUUUCUCGCACACGAGUCCGCUAACACCACAACAAUACACUAUCGUGGAAUCAUUCCGUCUCCGUACGGAAAUGCCGUCCACGACACUCACGCUUAUCUUGACAAUUUUAUGAGUAGCCAUUGAAGUUAUCUAUGAACAACAUAUGUCUCCAAGUAGUCCAUAUCCGCGGACGCGGCUAUUCGAAUAGAUCAUAACCCUGCUGGGGUGUACUUCGUCACACACGCUCUCGCCACUUAUCGCCAUGUGCACGUCAUGCACCUCGGCAACCUUCAAGAGGAAGCCCAGCGAGGGAGUCGGCCACGACCGUUAACCACACUAGUACCUAGUCCAGGUUUAUCGCCUAUCUGAGAGUAACCCGUACGGAAGUCCGGCCGAGGUUUCCGCCACGGCCUCAAACGAUGUGCGCAGGGUUCCCAAGCCCACCAUCCGGGUGCCACUUGGUACACCGUGCCACUGCCUACCGCAUCACGGCCCACCUCUCAGGUCAGCACCAUGCACGGCCUCCAGCAUUACUAUAAACACCAGAAACUACUUGCAACUCCUGGACCGGGUACUACGCGAUUAAUAGGCCGAGCGGGGUCAUAUUUCAGGGCCCAGUAUGUGGUAGUAUCUAGUCUUGGAAUGCAUACACGGAACUCAGUUCCUAAGGACGGUUCCAAUGAAACAACCCGCCAUGUACUCCUACACAGNNNNNNNNNNNNNNNNNNNNNNNNNNNNNNNNNNNNNNNNNNNNNNNNNNNNNNNNNNNNNNNNNNNNNNNNNNNNNNNNNNNNNNNNNNNNNNNNNNNNUAACCUUGUCACAGUAAAUAGCCGAACCUUGCAACCUAGCAUACCUGGUAGUUGCUUGAGCCUUGAUGUGCCUUAUCCUGCUAUGCAUGCUAUGCUUAGAGUUGUGUAUGGUCUGUCAUCUGGGAGAUGAACAUAAUUGUGAGAAUGUGUUCGGUAAGCAAAGGUUGUGUGUUGAACCUGAUUUGGUAAAGGUACCGGUGAAAGGCUGUGUAGGAGUACAUGGCGGGUUGUUUCAUUGGAACCGUCCUUAGGAACUGAGUUCCAUGUAUGUAAUGCAACACUAGAUACUACCACACGAUGGGAUACUUAAUUGACCCUCUCGACUUAUUAAUCGCUUAGUACUCGGUCCAGGAGUUGCAAGUAGUUUCUAGUGUUUAUAGUAAUGCUGGAGGCCGUGCAUGGUGCUGACCUGAGAGGUGGGCCGUGAUGCGGUAGGAAGUGGCAUGGUGUACCAAGUGGCACCCGGAUGGUGGGCUUGGGAACCCUGCGCGCAUCGUUUGAGGCCGUGGCGGAAACCUCGGCCGGACUUCCGUACGGGUUACUCUCAGAUAGGCGAUAAAUCUGGACUAGGUACUAGUGUGGUUAACGGUCGUGGCCGACUCCCCCGCUGGGCUUCUGCUUGAAGGUUGCCGAGGUACAUCACGUGCACAUGGCGAUAAGUGGCGAGAGCGUGUGUGACGAAGCACACCCCUGCAGGGUUAUGAUCUAUUCGAAUAGCCGCGUCCGCGGAUAUGGACUACUUGGAGACAUAUGUUGUUCAUAGAUAACUUCAAUGGCUACUCAUAAAAUUGCCAAGAUAAGCGUGAGUGUCGUGGACGGCAUUUCCGUAUGGAGACGGAAUGAUUCCACGAUAGUGUAUUGUUGUGGUGUUAGUGGACUCGUGUGCGAGAAAUCAAGUUGUCAAAAUAAUUUAAAAAUGCAAGUUGUCUAGCCACGAGUCAAAUGCUGGCUUUACGCAUGAAACCCCGCAAUACCCCUUUUGAUACCUUGCAUGAGUAGUUAGUUAUCCUAAAGUCUUGCUGAGUACCUUCGUACUCAUGUUUGCUUAAUAAAUGUUGCAGAGGUUCCUAAUGACCCUAAUGGAGGGUUCUUCGUAGACAUCGACGACGACGAGUAGCUGGUGUCCCAGCUACGAUCUGGCCCUACGUUGGGUCUGUAGUAUAGUCAGGCCAUGUGCCUUCUAGUUGCCCUGUCUGUACUCAGACAGUUUAAACUCUUCCGCUGGCUUGUAACUGAAUUACUGCUAUUAUGGGUCGUGAGACCCUUAAUGUGUAAUAUUAUGUGUGUGGCUCUUCCAAGCCNNNNNNNNNNNNNNNNNNNNNNNNNNNNNNNNNNNNNNNNNNNNNNNNNNNNNNNNNNNNNNNNNNNNNNNNNNNNNNNNNNNNNNNNNNNNNNNNNNNNUUGUUUUGCUAAUUCAUUCAGCUCCAAAACAAAAAGUAAAAACUAUUUUAGACCUCCUGAAAUAUUUUUUAUAAUAUCCCCAACCAUUUUCAAGCUUUUCAACAUUUUGGAAAUUUAUAGUUUCUGAUUUCAAAUUUAAAACUUGAAACCAGUAGCCUUUUUCAUUUAUUCAAAAAGCUUAAGGUGUCAAGAAAAUAGUUUUCUCCAAUGCUCAUUUACUUUCAUGAUUUAUCAGAAAGUUUGAACAUUUCUUGAGGCCAUUUUGGGUUCAUUGAUUUUAACUAGUUUGAGAUUUCCUUUGUUUAAAGAAGUGGCUAGGGUUUGAGUUUUUCCUUCACCUCUUUCUUUCGAUUUUGAACUAGUUUGAGAUUUCCUUUAAUUGAAAUGGUGGCUAGGGUUUUGAGUUUUUCCUUUGCCACUUUGUUGCUUUUGUUGAAACUUCUUAGAUGCAAAUGCAAAGAAGACAUGAGCACAAUGCUAUCUUGCUUAAGGGUUAGGGAUGUGACACAAAAUUAAUCUCAACCCUUUUUUAUAGAUGCUUGAUAUAGAUUGAAGCAUUUUGUGAUGUCAACAAUGUGAGCUCACUAGAUGUGCACAUGUAACAACUCCAAUUGACAACUGGUGUGCUGGCUAACUAACUCAUUCUUAAGGAAUUUGGCAUGCUAUAUGUCGUCUUUGGCAUUCACACUUCGCCUUGUUUUAGUACUUACUAAAACCUAGCUAGCAUGCAAUUGUUAACCAUGCUAGGUAGUGGAUUAUUCAUUCGCUUGACUCUAUAUAGGGUGCUCCUCUCUGCAUGGUGUCCAUAAGUCCCUCAUANNNNNNNNNNNNNNNNNNNNNNNNNNNNNNNNNNNNNNNNNNNNNNNNNNNNNNNNNNNNNNNNNNNNNNNNNNNNNNNNNNNNNNNNNNNNNNNNNNNNAUAUUUUUUUUGCGUACUUUUUUGUUUUGUCAUUGCAUAUGCAUGUAGUUUGUUUUCACGCAUGGUAUGUUAAAGACAAACUAACAUAUGGUUGUGUUUCAUGAAGUUAAGGGCUCGUGCAUUGAGUCAUGAUUCUUUACUGUUGGGACUCGUGAAUCAUAUAUUCCAUUUCCAACUGCACGUACAUACCAUCUACAAGAUGCUCAUGAUUUGACAUGUCUUUCGGAUGCAAGAUCGGUAAGAUGACCUAUCCAGGAUGUUCAUUGUGCGGGUUGUGUAAAAUCGAUACCGUCACGGGUGUAUCCCUAGAGAAUAUGUUUUUUCAUGUAAUCGUUUGGACUAUGGUUAGAUUUGAAUUUAAAUUUAUUUUUUCUUUCACAUAUGCCACACCGAGACAAAAUGAUUUGCACUUUUGUGACAUAUGGUUAGAUUUGAAAUUUUUUUCUUUCAAAUAUGCCACACCGAGACAAAAUGAUUUGCACUUUUGUGACAUCCGCAUUAAGAUUUAGAACACUUUUAUUCAAGUUGUAGUGUUGACUAUUGGGAAUAAUCAAUCGGUUAGAUUUUUUUGUGAUAAUAUAUGUCCUUUAUAAGAAGCAUUCUAUGAGGAAAAAUAGACUGCGGAUAGGAGGCUUUCGGGUGUAAAAUGGGGUUUUAAUACUUCUCGUAGCUUUAUAACCAUACGUAUGUACCAUCUGUCGGCAAUAAUAUAUUAUUGAUGUGCCCUUGCUUUCGCAUGCAAGACACAAAAGGAAGACCAUCCGACAUGUUGGUCGUGCGUCGACGAAAAGUACUGCUUACAAAUGUAUUCCNNNNNNNNNNNNNNNNNNNNNNNNNNNNNNNNNNNNNNNNNNNNNNNNNNNNNNNNNNNNNNNNNNNNNNNNNNNNNNNNNNNNNNNNNNNNNNNNNNNNNNNNNNNNNNNNNNNNNNNNNNNNNNNNNNNNNNNCGUUACUUCAAUGUGUGUGAAAGAAUAAUGAAUGGAUUAAUUUUAUUUUCUUUUGUAAGAGCCUCCUAAAUGUCAAGAACCAUUAAAUGAAUUACAAAGCAAUUAGAUGUUGCAUAUUGAUAUAUUUCAUGUAAAAAAGAAUGAAUGGACUACAUGACAUAGAUUUACCUCAUGAUGUUCUUCUAAUACGUUUGUUCAAAUCUAGAAAAAUGAGUUAUCUUGCGGUCCUCCAAUAAGUGAGAGAUGUUAGUUUUGCAGUGUGGCAUGUCACAUCGAUGAUGAAAAAUAAUAGUUUUUGGAUGUCUUAAGUGUGGUCCCAAAAUAUGUGCACGUAUCGCCACACCAUUAGCUAUUAUUUUUACGUUUUUCUAUUGAUGAUAACGAGAGAUGUAUUUUUAAAGGUCAUCNNNNNNNNNNNNNNNNNNNNNNNNNNNNNNNNNNNNNNNNNNNNNNNNNNNNNNNNNNNNNNNNNNNNNNNNNNNNNNNNNNNNNNNNNNNNNNNNNNNNCCCUCUUGUGGGCCUAAGGCCCACCUAAGUUAGGGCCCCCCCCCCCCCUCUUUUUCUUUCCCCUGCGCCAUGGGCUGAGUGGGGAGGCGCACCAGCCCAACUAGGGGCUGGUUCCCACCCCCACAUAGCCCAUCUUACCUCUUGGGGUCGCAGCCCCCCUUCGGUGGUCCCCCGGGACCACCUCCGGUGGUCCCGGUGGUCCCGGUACGUUACCGGUGAUGCCCGAAACACUUCCGGUGUCCGAAACCAUCCGUCCUAUAUAUCAAUCUUUACCUCCGGACCAUUCCGGAGCUCCUCGUGACGUCCGGGAUCUCAUCCGGGACUCCGAACAACUUUCGGUAAUCUCGUAUAACAAUUCCCUAUAACCCUAGCGUCAUCGAACCUUAAGUGUGUAGACCCUACGGGUUCGGGAGACAGGCAGACAUGACCGAGACACCUCUCUGGCCAAUAACCAUCAGCGGGGUCUGGAUACCCAUGGUGGCUCCCACUAGCUCCACGAUGAUCUCAUUGGAUGAACCACGAUGUCAAGGAUUCAAUCAAUCCCGUAUACGAUUCCCUUUGUGUGUCGGUAUAGAACUUGCCCGAGAUUCGAUCGUCGGUAUACCUAUACCUUGUUCAAUCUCGUUACCGGUAAGUCUCUUUAAUCGUUCCGUAGCACGUCAUCGUGUGACUAACUCCUUAGUCACAUUGAGCUCAUGAUGAUGUUCUACCGAGUGGGCCCAGAGAUACCUCUCCGUCACACGGAGUGACAAAUCCCGAUCUCGAUUCGUGCCAACCCAACAAACACUUUCGGAGGUACCCGUAGUGCACCUUUAUAGUCACCCAGUUACGUUGUGACGUUUGAUACACCCAAAGCACUCCUACGGUAUCCGGGAGUUGCACAAUCUCACGGUCGAAGGAAAAUAUACUUGACAUUAGAAAAGCAUUAGCAUACGAACAAUACGAUCUAGUGCUAGGCUUAGGAUUGGGUCUUGUCCACCACAUCAUUCUCCCAAUGAUGUGAUCCCGUUAUCAAUGACAUCCAAUGUCCAUGAUCAGGAAACCAUGAUCAUCUAUUGACCAACGAGCUAGCCAACUAGAGGCUUGCUAGGGACAUAUUGUGAUCUAUUCAUUCACACAUGUAUUACUGUUUCCUGUUAAUACAAUUAUAGCAUGAAUGAUAGACGAUUACCAUGAACAAGGAAAUAUGAUAAUAACCAUUUUAUUAUUGCCUCUAGGGCAUAUUUCCAACAAGUAUAAGAGGUCGGCAUUGUACUAUAAAACAUUAAUUGACCAGUAGGACAUUAAGGGUGGACAUGCAAGGGUUGACACUGAUGACCUUAGAAAAUACAUCUCUCGUUAUCAUCAAUAGAAAAAGGUGAAAAUAUAUGAUUCAUGAGUCCCAACAGUAAACACUCAUGACUGAAUGCAUGAUUCCUUAACUUCAUGAUACACAACCGUCAGUUAGUUUGUAUUUAACAUACGUGCGAGAAAACAAAUUACAUGCAUAUGCAAUGUCAAAAUAAAAAGUACGCACGAAAAGAUUAUUAUGAUUCUUUAGUGGUACACUCACGACGAGUUUAUUUGUAAAAGUUUGGAAAAGGCAAACAUCCAACAUAUCCAUUAAGUUUGUCUUUUAGGACUUGAAUAGCCGAGAGAAAUCAAAUUUCUUUCUUGGAAGAAUCCCGUGCCCAAUUAUUAUACUUUAUAUCAUAUACAGAAGUAUUUGUUUUAACUGUAAAUACAAUGUGAAAGUCAGAUGGNNNNNNNNNNNNNNNNNNNNNNNNNNNNNNNNNNNNNNNNNNNNNNNNNNNNNNNNNNNNNNNNNNNNNNNNNNNNNNNNNNNNNNNNNNNNNNNNNNNNAAGUACUGCUUACAAAUGUAUUCCGUUUGUACCGCUAAAGAAACUUAAUUUUCCCGGUGUGCUAGUUUAUUUUGUGGUUGGUUAUGAAUGUAAAUUUGUUACUUCAAUGUGUCUGAAAGAAUAAUGAAUGGAUCAAUUUUAUUUUCUUUUGGAAGCGCCUCCUAAAGGUCAAGAACCAUUUAAUGAAUUACAAAGCAAUUAGAUGUUGUAUAUUGAUAUAUUUCAUGUAAAAAAGAAUGAAUGGACUACAUGGCAUAGAUUUACCUCAUGAUGUUCUUCUAAUACGUUUGUUCAAAUCUAGAAAAAUGAGUUAGCUUGCGGGCCUCCAAUAAAUGAGAGAUGUUAGUUUUGCAGUGUGGCAUGUCACAUCGAUGAUGAAAAAUAAUAGUUUUUGGAUGUCUUAAGUGUGGGCUCAAAAUAUGUCCACGUAUCGCCACACGAUUAGCUAUUAUUUUUACAUUUUUCUAUUGAUGAUAACAAGAGAUGUAUUUUUAAAGGUCAUCAAUGUCAACUCUUGCAUGUUCACCCUUAAUGUCCUACUGGUCAACUGAUGUUUAAUAGUACAAUACAGGCCUCUUAUACUAGUAAUCAAUCACUAAUCAAUACAGGCCCCAACUGAUGUCCAACCAUUGGUGUGUACCAUCUUUCGCGAAUAAUAUAUUCUUGAUCUAGCCUUGCUUUCUCAUGGAAGACAUAAAAGUAAUCACAUUCGAGAUGUGGGUCGUGUGUCGACGAAAAGUGCUAGUAAUAAAUUUUAUCCGUUUGUACCAUUAAUGAAACUGAAUUUUAUCGGUGUACGUGUUUAUUUCGUGGUUGGUUAUGAAUGUAAAUUUGUUACUUCAAUGUGUCUGAAAGAAUAAUGAAUGGAUCAAUUUUAUUUUCUUUUGGAAGCGCCUCCUAAAGGUCAAGAACCAUUUAAUGAAUUACAAAGCAAUUAGAUGUUGUAUAUUGAUAUAUUUCAUGUAAAAAAGAAUGAAUGGACUACAUGACAUAGAUUUACCUCAUGAUGUUCUUCUAAUACGUUUGUUCAAAUCUAGAAAAAUGAGUUAGCUUGCGGGCCUCCAAUAAGUGAGAGAUGUUAGUUUUGCAGUGUGGCAUGUCACAUCAAAAAAUGAGUUAGCUUGUGGGACUCGACCAAGUGAGACAUGUUAGUUUUAUAGUGUGGGAUGUCACAUCGAUAAUGAAAAAUAAUAGUUUCUUGAUGUCAUCAGUGUGGGCUCAAAUUAUGUUCACGCAUCCCCACACCAUUUGCUAUUAUUUUCACCUUUUCCUAUUGAUGAUAACGAGAAAUGUAUUUUUUAGGUAGUCAGUCUCAACCCUGCCAUGUUCACCCUUAACAUCCUACUAGUAAACUCAUGUUUUAUAGUACAAUGUCGGCCUCUUAUACUAGUAAUCAAUCACUACUUACAUUUGACCUUCUCUGGAUGCAAAUCAUUGCGGUCAUCAAAAUCCAAAUAUUUGAUGCCCCCCUCCCCCCUACAAAAAAGGGCAAAGGAACAAAAAAAAUUCAAAAAUAAUGUAAAUAAUACAUGUCAUAGAAUGGGGAUAUUUUCAUCAUAUUUCUACGCAAAUCCACAAAAGCGAAUGACCAUGCAAACUGGAAUAACUGAAUUAUGGCAGUUUUUAGUUCAACAUAUCUUAUUGCUAAUGAUAGGUAAUCAUAUCUUGAUGUCAUCCAUGUGGGCUCAUGGAAUGUCCACGCGUGCACACUUCAUUAUUGAAUUGUUUUCCUACAAAAUUAAUCUCAACCCUUUUUUAUAGAUGCAUGAUAUAGAUUGAAGCAUUUUGUGAUGUCAACAAUGUGAGCUCACUAGAUGUGCACAUGUAACAACUCCAAUUGACAACUAGGGUGCUGGCUAACUAACUCAUUCUUAAGGAAUUUGGCAUGCUAUAUNNNNNNNNNNNNNNNNNNNNNNNNNNNNNNNNNNNNNNNNNNNNNNNNNNNNNNNNNNNNNNNNNNNNNNNNNNNNNNNNNNNNNNNNNNNNNNNNNNNNUCAUAACCAACCACGAAAUAAACACGUACACCGAUAAAAUUCAGUUUCAUUAAUGGUACAAACGGAUAAAAUUUAUUACUAGCACUUUUCGUCGACACACGACCCACAUCUCGAAUGUGAUUCCUUUUAUGUCUUGCAUGAGAAAGCAAGGCUAGAUCAAGAAUAUAUUAUUCGCGAAAGAUGGUACACACGAAUGGUUGAACAUCAGUUGGGGCCUGUAUUGAUUAGUGAUUGAUUACUAGUAUAAGAGGCCUGUAUUGUACUAUUAAACAUCAGUUGACCAGUAGGACAUUAAGGGUGAACAUGCAAGAGUUGACAUUGAUGACCUUUGGAAAUACAUCUCUUGUUAUCAUCAAUAGAAAAAUGUAAAAAUAAUAGCUAAUCGUGUGGCGAUACGUGGACAUAUUUUGAGCCCACACUUAAGACAUCCAAAAACUAUUAUUUUUCAUCAUCGAUGUGACAUGCCACACUACAAAACUAACAUCUCUCACUUAUUGGAGGCCCGCAAGCUAACUCAUUUUUCUAGAUUUGAACAAACGUAUUAGAAGAACAUCAUGAGGUAAAUCUAUGUCAUGUAGUCCAUUCAUUCUUUUUUACAUGAAAUAUAUCAAUAUACAACAUCUAAUUGCUUUGUAAUUCAUUAAAUGGUUCUUGACCUUUAGGAGGCGCUUCCAAAAGAAAAUAAAAUUGAUCCAUUCAUUAUUCUUUCAGACACAUUGAAGUAACAAAUUUACAUUCAUAACCAACCACAAAAUAAACUAGUACACCGAGAAAAUUCAGUUUCUUUAGCGGUACAAACGGAAUACAUUUGUAAGCAGUACUUUUCGUCGACGCACGACAAACAUGUCGGAUGUUCUUCCUUUUGUGUCUAGCAUGCGAAAGCAAGGGCACAUCAAUAAUAUAUUAUUGCCGACAGAUGNNNNNNNNNNNNNNNNNNNNNNNNNNNNNNNNNNNNNNNNNNNNNNNNNNNNNNNNNNNNNNNNNNNNNNNNNNNNNNNNNNNNNNNNNNNNNNNNNNNNUCCAGAGAAGGUGAAAUGUAAGUAGUGAUUGAUUACCAGUAUAAGAGGCCGGCAUUGUACUAUAAAACAUUAGUUGACUAGUAGGACAUUAAGGGUGAACAUGCAAGGGUUGACACUGAUGACCAUAAAAAAUACAUCUGUCUUUAUCAUCAAUAGAAAAAGGUGAAAAUAUAUGAUUCAUGUGUCCCAACAGUAAAAACUCAUGACUGAAUGCAUGAGUCUUUAACUUCAUGAAACACAACCAUGAGUUAGUUUGUCUUUAACAUAUGUGUGAGAAAAAAAAAUUAGAUGCAUAUGCAAUGGCAAAUGAAAAAUACGCACAAANNNNNNNNNNCCAGUUAGUUUGUCUUUAACAUAUGUGUGAGAAAAAAAAUUAGAUGCAUAUGCAAUGGCAAAUAAAAAAUACGCACAAAAAGAUUUUCAUGAUUCUUUAGUGGUACACUCAAGACGAGUUUAUUUGUAAAAUUUUGGAAAAGAAAAACAUCCAACAUAUCCAUUAAGUCUGUCUCUCGGGACUUGAAUCUACCUAGCCGAGAGAAAUCAAAUUUCCUUUUUUGAAGAAUCAUGUGCCCAAUUAUUAUACUUUAUAUCAUAUAUAGAAGUAUUUGUUUUAGCUGUAAAUAGAAAGUGGAAGUCAGAUGGAUCUUUUUCACAAGACAAAAAACAAUAUUCUCUUGAGAACAACUAUAGGGGAUGUGGUUACUUAUUCAUAAUUCGUGCUUAUUAGCACGAGAUAUUACAAGAGACAUAGAUUUUCACACAAAUGACAUACUUGUACAUUCCCUUACUUGGGAGGGAUUCAAGACAUGGCAUAUCAUGGCANNNNNNNNNNUAUCUAUAGGGGAUGUGGUUACUUAUUCAUAAUUCGUGCUUAUUAGCACGANNNNNNNNNNNNNNNNNNNNNNNNNNNNNNNNNNNNNNNNNNNNNNNNNNNNNNNNNNNNNNNNNNNNNNNNNNNNNNNNNNNNNNNNNNNNNNNNNNNNGAUAUGUCGAACUAAAAAGUACCAUACUUCUGUUAUUCCAGUUUGCGUACCCAUUCGGUUUUGUUGAUUUCCAUACACAUAUGAUGGAAAUAUCCCCAUUCGUCGAUGCCAUGUAUUCUGUACAUUCUUUUGAAAAAAUGACUUUUUUUCCUUUGCCCUAAUUUGUAGGGGGCGGGGCAUCAAAUAUUUGGAUGUCGAUGUCCGGAAUAAUUUUGAUGUGUGGAAGGACUCGAAGAAUACCAUAACUGUUAUUACGGACGAUCAUGUUAGUUACCCGUGUGCAAUAGUCUAAUAGGCUAAUUAAUCCCAAUAUGGCGAUUCACUAGAAGGAUCGCACAUUUUGCAAACGAUAAUCCCAUUAGUAUUCAAUGCGACCGCAAUGAGUUGCAUCCAGAGAAGGUGAAAUGUAAGUAGUGAUUGAUUACCAGUAUAAGAGGUCGGCGUUGUACUACAAAACAUUAGUUGACUAGUAGGACAUUAAGGGUAGACAUGCAAGGGUUGACACUCAUGACCUUAAAAAAUACAUCUCUCGUUAUCAUCAAUAGAAAAAGGUGAAAAUAUAUGAUUCAUGAGUCCCAACAGUAAACACUCAUGACUGAAUGCCUGAUUCCUUAACUUCAUGAUACACAACCAUCAGUUAGUUUCUCUUUAACAUACGUGCGAGAAAACAAAUUACAUGCAUAUGCAAUGUCAAAAUAAAAAGUACGCACGAAAAGAUUUUCAUGAUUCUUUAGUGGUACACUCAGGACGAGUUUAUUUGUAAAAGUUUGGAAAAGACAAACAUCCAAUAUAUCCAUUAAGUCUGUCUUUUAGGACUUGAAUAGCCGAGAGAAAUCAAAUUCCUUUCUUGGAAGAAUCCUGUGCCCAAUUAUUAUACUUUAUAUCAUAUAUAGAAGUAUUUGUUUNNNNNNNNNNNNNNNNNNNNNNNNNNNNNNNNNNNNNNNNNNNNNNNNNNNNNNNNNNNNNNNNNNNNNNNNNNNNNNNNNNNNNNNNNNNNNNNNNNNNUAUGUCAUGUAGUCCAUUCAUUCUUUUUUACAUGAAAUAUAUCAAUAUACAACAUCUAAUUGCUUUGUAAUUCAUUAAAUGGUUCUUGACCUUUAGGAGGCUCUUCCAAAAGAAAAUAAAAUUGAUCCAUUCAUUAUUAUUUCACACACAUUGAAGUAACAAAUUAACAUUCAUAACCAACCACAAAAUAAACUAGUACACCGGGAAAAUUCAGUUUCUUUAGCGGUACAAACGGAAUACAUUUGUAAGCAGUACUUUUCGUCGACGCACGACCAACAUGUCGGAUGGUCUUCCUUUUUUGUCUUGUAUGCGAAAGCAAGGGCACAUCAAUAAGUAGCCGCCGUUUAGGAAACCAAGGACUGCAGCCGUUUUCUCGCAGAGCCGAGUCGGGCUAGUAAGAAGUAGCUAUUUUAUGCAGCUUUGUAUCUGGUCCGGGACCUCAUCAUAGCAAACCAUCUACGCAUUUUUUAAACCAAUGGUCAAUCAAACAACUUUCCUCAGCCUUCUUUUCUGGUUGAUUGAGCAAGCCCUGAGACCGAGAGGGAUGCACUGCCCCACGCAUCUAUCCAGCUCGCGUGGUUCACCGGUUCCAUCGACGUCACUCUUAGAUAGAGUUAUUCAGUUGAUACAGAGAUGCGCUAUAUUAUUGCCGACAGGUGGUACAUACGUAUGGUUAUAAAGCUACGAGAAGUAUUAAAACCCCAUNNNNNNNNNNNNNNNNNNNNNNNNNNNNNNNNNNNNNNNNNNNNNNNNNNNNNNNNNNNNNNNNNNNNNNNNNNNNNNNNNNNNNNNNNNNNNNNNNNNNGAGAAUAUGUUUUUUCAUGUAAUCGUUUUGACUGUGGUUAGAUUUGAAAAAAAAAUUCUUUCAAAUAUGCCACACCGAGACAAAAUGAUUUGCACUUUUGUGAGAUCCGCAUUAAGAUUGAGAACACUUUCAUUCAAGUUGUAGUGUUGACUAUUGGGAAUAAUCAAUCGGUUAGAUUUUUGUGUGAUAAUAUAUGUCCUUUAUAAGAAGCAUUCUAUGAGGAAAAAUAGACUGCGGAUAGGAGGCUUCCGGGUGUAAAAUGGGGUUUUUAUACUUCUCGUAGCUUUAUAACCAUACGUAUGUACCAUCUGUCGGCAAUAAUAUAUUAUUGAUGUGCCCUUGCUUUCGCAUACAAGACAAAAAAGGAAGACCAUCCGACAUGUUGGUCGUGCGUCGACGAAAAGUACUGCUUACAAAUGUAUUCCGUUUGUACCGCUAAAGAAACUGAAUUUUCUCGGUGUACUAGUUUAUUUUGUGGUUGGUUAUGAAUGUAAAUUUGUUAAUUCAAUGUGUGUGAAAGAAUAAUGAAUGGAUCAAUUUUAUUUUCAUUUGGAAGAGCCUCCUAAAUGUCAAGAACCAUUAAAUGAAUUACAANNNNNNNNNNNNNNNNNNNNNNNNNNNNNNNNNNNNNNNNNNNNNNNNNNNNNNNNNNNNNNNNNNNNNNNNNNNNNNNNNNNNNNNNNNNNNNNNNNNNAAAGACGAGAUAUAGCAUGCCAAAUUCUUUAAGAGUGGGUUAGUUAGCGAUCACACCGGUUGACAAUUGGAGUUGUUACACGUGGACAUCUGGUGAGCUCACAUUGUUUACAUGACAAAAAUUUUCUAUCUAUAUCGUGCAUCUAUAAAAAAAGGUUGAGAUAAAUUUUGUAGGACAUAAAUUCAAUAAUGAUGUGUGCACGCAUGGACAUUCUAUGAGCCCCGAUGCAUGACAACAAGAUAUGAUUACCUCUCAUUAGCAAUAAGAUAUGUCGAACUAAAAAGUACCAUACUUCUGUUAUUCCAGUUUGCAUGCCCAUUCGGUUUUGUGGAUUUCCAUAGACAUAUGAUCGAAAUAUCCCCAUUCGUCUAUGCCAUGUAUUCUGUACAUUCUUUUGAAAAAAAUAUUUUUUUUCCUUUUGCCCUAUUUUGUAGGGGGCGGGGCAUCAAAUAUUUAGAUUUCGAUGUCCGGAAUAAUUUUAUGUGUGGAAGGACUCGAAGAAUACCAUCGCUGUUAUUACACACGGUCAUGUUAGUUACCCGCGUGCAAUAGUCUAAUAGGAUAAUUAAUCCAAAAAUGGCGAUUCACUAAAAGGAUCACAUAUUUUGCAAACGAUAAUCCCAUUAGUAGUCAAUGCGACCGCAGUGAGUUGCAUCCAGAGAAGGUGAAAUGUAAGUAGUGAUUGAUUACCAUUAUAAGAGGCCGGCAUUGUACUAUAAAACAUUAGUUGACUAGUAGGACAUUAAGGGUGAACAUGCAAGGGUUGACNNNNNNNNNNNNNNNNNNNNNNNNNNNNNNNNNNNNNNNNNNNNNNNNNNNNNNNNNNNNNNNNNNNNNNNNNNNNNNNNNNNNNNNNNNNNNNNNNNNNUAGUUGAAAAUAGCAUAAUCAGAAUCUUUGAAUUUUUCUGAUACUUUUCCAUAUAUAAAUUAUUUUCAUUGGAGUUAUAGAUUAAUUUCGAUUUUUACAAUUUUUAGCAAUUUCCUGAAUUAGUUUUAUACUGGAAANNNNNNNNNNGAUUAAUUCUAUGAUUUUUACAAUUUUUAGCAAUUUCCUGAAUUAGUUUUAUACUGGAAAUUCUAAUUAUUGCAUCAGGCUGACGUCAGCAGGUCAGCCGACCUGUUCAGGUCAAACCUGACAGGGGGGCCCCGCUGGUCAGCCUCUCUGGGACUAAUCCCGCGCUGACCAGCCCUAACUGAGGUUUGACUUGGCCUUGGGCCCACUUGUCAGCGAGUGAUUAGGUCACUAAGCUACUGGGUUAGCUUGCCACGUCGACCCCCACCGUAGGGUGGUCGCCGGCGACCAGGCCCGCCGCGGAGGGCUCCCCAGAGGCGACCUAGACGGCGCUGCACAGCACCAAAACGCACGCGGUUUGCNNNNNNNNNNGGCUGGGUUAGCUUGCCACGUCGACCCCCACCGGAGGGUGGUCGCCCGCGACCAGGCCCGCGGCGGAGGGCUCGCCGGAGGCGACCUAGACGGCGCUGCACAGCACCAAAACGCACGCGGUUUGCAGCUACAGCAUGCUCGCAAGUGUCCGAUCUGGCAGGACCAUCUGGCGAGGCUAGGGUCGCCGGAAGAGGCGUCGGCGACGAGCCGGAGCGGCGGCCGAAGCUCGGCCUUCUAUGAGGGGCGGUUCUANNNNNNNNNNACUACAGCAUGCUCGCGAAGUGGCCGAUCUGGCAGGAUCAUCUGGGAGGCUAGGGUCGCCGGAAGAGGCGUCGGCGAUGAGCCGGAGCGGCGGCCGAAGCUCGGCCUUCUAUGAGGGGCGGUUCUAGGGCACGGGGAGGGCAGGUGGAGGGCUCGACACGCUCCUGGAGGCUCCAGGAGCUCGAAUCCUAGCUCGGGCGCGUGGAUCGGUCAUCACAGCGACGACAGCGACAUGGCCGGCGGCGAGAAGCUCUCGGCCUUGGUGGGGAACUAGGAUACGAUGCAUGGGAGAGCGUGGGGCAAGAGGGAAAACGACGACGAGCUCACGGCGGUUGGCGCUGAAGAGGUGCUCGGGGAUGCGCCGGAGGAAGCGAAUCGACGGGAGAGGUCCUGUGGCCGGAGGUGGAAGACGACGGCCUUGCGGGCGUUGCAGGGCUCGAGGAAGUUUCGGCUUCUGCAGAGAUGACCAGGGCGACGAGGCGGAGUUAAUGGCGUGCUCUGGGAGGGAAUCCUAUGGCCAGGGGCACGGCCAGCUCGAGCUCGAGCUCGGCUCUAAUGGCGGCAGCAAGGAGGAGGAGGAGAUCCGGGAGGAGGAAGAGAACCGAGGCGGGGAAUGGAUAGGGGAGGCUCUGGGGAGCUUAUCCCCGUCGUCGCCAGCGCGAGGCGGCGGCCACGCAGGCACGCAGGUGCGUGGCCGCGCCGGAGGGGGCGGCGGCCACCUCCUGCUGCCUACUGGCGCGAGGGAGGGGACGAGCCAGGGAUGGGCCGGGCCAGGCUUAGGCGACACGUAAGGUUUUUCCAUUUUUUUCUGUUUUUGUUUUUCUGUUUUGCUAAUUANNNNNNNNNNGGCAGGCACGCAGGUGCGUGGCCGUGCCGGAGGGGGUGGCGGUCACCUCCUGCUGCCUACUGGCGCAAGGGAGGGGACGAGCCAGGGAUGGGCCGGGCCAGGCUUAGGCGACAGGUAAGGUUUUUCCAUUUUUUCUGUUUUUGUUUUUCUGUUUUGCUAAUUAAUUCAGCUCCAAAACAAAAAUUAAAAACUAUUUUAGACCUCCUGAAAUAUUUCUUAUAAUAUCCCCAACCAUUUUCAAGCUUUUCGACAUUUUUGGAAAUUUAUAGUUUCUGAUUUCAAAUUUAAAACUUGAAACCAGNNNNNNNNNNUCAUUCAGCUCCAAAACAAAAAGUAAAAACUAUUUUAGACCUCCUGAAAUAUUUUUUAUAAUAUCCCCAACCAUUUUCAAGCUUUUCAACAUUUUGGAAAUUUAUAGUUUCUGAUUUCAAAUUUAAAACUUGAAACCAGUAGCCUUUUUCAUUUAUUCAAAAAGCUUAAGGUGUCAAGAAAAUAGUUUUCUCCAAUGCUCAUUUACUUUCAUGAUUUAUCAGAAAGUUUGAACAUUUCUUGAGGCCAUUUUGGGUUCAUUGAUUUUGAACUAAUUUGAGAUUUCCUUUAAUUGAAAUGGUGGCUAGGGUUUUGAGUUUUUCCUUUGCCACUUCGUUGCUUUUGUUGAAACUUCUUAGAUGCAAAUGCAAAGAAGACAUGAGCACAAUGCUAUCUUGCUUAAGGGUUAGGGAUGUGACACAAAAUUAAUCUCAACCCUUUUUUAUAGAUGCUUGAUAUAGAUUGAAGCAUUUUGUGAUGUCAACAAUGUGAGCUCACUAGNNNNNNNNNNACUCACCCCCACUCAAAAGAAUCUCGUCCCGAGAUUUAGAAGUCGUCGGGAAUAACGCCGGAUGUUCAAGUCGGAGACGAUCCUCUCUUUCCCAAGUUGCCUCCUUUUCAGAAUGAUUUGACCAUUGAACUUUAAGAAACUUGAGGUUUCGACGUCGAGUGGUACGCUCAGCUUGAUCAAGAAUACGCACGGGGUAUUCUCGGUAUGAAAGGUUAUCUUGUAGAUCAAGCGUUUCGUGGUCCACUUCAUGGAUAGGAUCCGAAAAGCAACGCCUGAGUUGCGAGACGUGGAAGACAUCAUGAACCUUGGAAAGAUGUGGAGGAAGUUCCAACUGGUAGGCAACUUCUCCUCGUUUGGCAAGAAUGCGAAAAGGACCAAUGUAACGAGGAGCCAAUUUUCCCUUGAUACCGUAACGAUGGGUACCCUUCAAAGGUGUAACCCAAAGGUAAGCCUUCUCGUCAACUUCAAAGGUCACAGCCUUAUGAUGACGAUCAUAUUGGCUCUUUUGACGAGACUGGGCUGUUUUCAACUUUUCACGAAUAAUGCGAACCUGCUCUUCUGCAUCCUGGAUCAUAUCCGGGCCAAAGAGUUGCCUCUCUCCGGUUUCUGACCAAUUAAGAGGGGUUCGACAUCUUCGUCCAUAGAGAACUUCAAAAGGGGCUUUGCCCAAGCUUGAUUGAUAACUAUUGUUAUAAGCGAAUUCGGCGAAUGGAAGGCACUUCUCCCAAUUCAUACCGAACGAAAUAACACAAGCUCGGAGCAUAUCUUCUAUGAUUUGAUUCACUCUUUCUACUUGACCACUUGAUUGAGGAUGGAAAGCAGUGCUAAAAGAUAAGUGAGUCCCCAUGGCAUUCUGAAAACUUUCCCAGAAGCGAGAAGUAAAGAUACUUCCAUGGUCCGAGUUAAUUUCCAGGGGAACACCAUGAAGAGACACUAUUCGAGAGGUAUAUAACUCUGCUAGCUGGCUAGCUGUUAUACCCUCACGAACAGGAAGAAAAUGAGCCACUUUGGAAAGACGGUCAAUGACCACAAAGAUAGCAUUAUUACCUUUCUUGGUCUUGGGAAAUCCGGUAAUGAAAUCCAUGCUAACUUUAUCCCAUUUCCAUUCAGGAAUAGCUAGAGGUUGAAGGGUGCCAGCAGGCCUUUGAUGUUCUGCCUUAACUCGACGACAAACGUCGCAGUUAGCAACGAACUCAGCAAUUUCUCUCUUCAUCCUAGUCCACCAGAACCUCUGGCGUAGGUCCUGAUACAUCUUAGUACUACCGGGAUGAAUGGUGAGAGGAGAAUCAUGAGCCUCCUUAAGGAUUAACUGCCUUAGAUGUGGGUUCUUAGGAACCACUAAACGAUUCUGGAAGAACACAACACCUUGAUCAUUCAUGGAAAAUUCUUUAGCGUUUUCGCUAAAAAUAUUCUCCUUGAUCCGUGAUAUACCCUUGUCACGCUUUUGGCCAGCUAUAAUUUGAUCCUUAAGAGUAGGCUUCGCCACCAGGGUAGAAAGGAAUCCUUGAGGAACAAUAUGAAGAUUCAACUUCCGAAAGUCCUCAUGGAGAUGUGGUUGACCUUGUUGUAACAUCAAAUUGUUACAAUAAGAUUUAUGGCUUAGUGCAUCGGCCAUAACAUUGGCCUUCCCCCGGGGUGUAAGUUAUCCCUAAGUCGUAAUCCGAGAUCAACUCAACCCACCGUCUUUGCCUGAGAUUCAAAUCCGGCUGGGUGAAGAUAUACUUCAGACUUUGGUGAUCAGUGAAUAUUUCGCAACGAUUACCCAGAAGGUAAUAUCGCCAGGUUUUUAGUGCAUGGACCACAGCUGCAAGCUCAAGGUCAUGGGUGGGAUAAUUAUCCUCAUGUGGACGCAACUGUCGAGAUGCGUAUGCGAUCACAUGACGAUCUUGCAUGAGAAUGCAACCUAAUCCUUGUCGCGAGGCAUCGCAAUAGAUAACAAAGUCCUUAGAAAUAUCUGGUGGUAGCAACACAGGUGCGGAAGUCAGACGUCUUUUCAGUUCCUGAAAACUAUGCUCACACUGUGGUGUCCACUCGAACUUUUUAUCCUUCUUGAGGAGUUCAGUUAGAGUUGCAACCUUGGAGAAAUUCUCGACGAAGCGGCGACAAUAGCUCGCUAGACCAAGAAAACUCCUAACUUGCUUAACCGAUUCAGGUUGAGUCCAAUCAAGGACAGCUUGAACUCUCUCGGGAUUGACAGCAAUACCCUUGCCAGAGAUUACGUGGCCCAGAUAGGUCACUUCUGGUAACCAGAAUUCACAUUUUGAAAACUUGGCAUAAAGGCGAUGCUCUCGAAGUUUCAUCAAUACCAGCCUUAGAUGCUCGGCAUGUUCUUGUUCAUUCUUCGUGUAGAUGAGAAUAUCAUCGAGGUAUACCACAACGAAUUUAUCCAAAUACUCCAUGAAGAUUGAGUUCAUCAGCCGAGAGAAAGUGGCUGGGGCAUUGGUUAAACCGAAGGACAUAACGGUGUACUCAUAUUGUACAUAACGAGUAACAAAGGCCGUUUUUGGAAUGUCCCUGUUCUUAAUCUUGAUUUGAUGGUAUCCCAACCUCAAAUCCAUUUUGGAGAAGACUGAAGAUCCAGCGAGCUGAUCGUACAGAUCGUUGAUCCUAGGGAGCGGACACUUGUUCUUAAUGGUGACCAAAUUAACUGGUCGGUAAUCUACAACCAUCCGAUCCGUUCCGUCUUUCUUGUUGACGAAGAGGACGGGACAAGCCCAAGGAGAAGAGCUAGGACGAAUGAAACCUUUGUUCAAGGCCUCAUCUAAUUGCUUCUUAAGUUCGGCUAGCUCUAGGGGUGCCAUCUUAUAAGGUCUCCUGGCUAUUGGGACAGUUCCCGGAACAAGAUCUAUCACAAACUCUACAUCUCUGUCAGGUGGAAUUCCUGGCAGUUCCUCUGGAAAAACAUCCGGGAAGUCACGGACUACCGGAAUGUCUUCAAGUUCCGGAAGAGGGUUGGCAUUUAGGGAAUAGAGCUGGCAUUUCGCAACUCGAGUAGAGACAUUUACUAUCUCACCCGAGGGAUGGGUAAGCUGGACAUUUCUAGAAUGAGUAUCAAUCUUGGCAUAGUGAGCUGACAUCCAGUCCAUGCCCAAGAUGAUAUUAAUAUCCGAAGAUUUCAAUGCUAUCAAUGAGGCUAGAAAAACUAGCCUGUCUACUAGAAUUUCAUUGUCAUAGGUUAUCCUAGAGGUUUGCCAUUCACUACCAGGGGUUUGGACAACCAAUGGGAUUGGCAUAUCACAAAAAUACAUGUUAUGCAACUGUGCAUAACUUUCUGAAAUGAAGGAAUGAGAAGACCCAGUGUCAAAGAGAACGGACGCUGGGUGUUGAUUAACAAGAAGCGUACCCAGCAUGACGUCGGGAUCCUCUGCAGCUUCUUCUGCUGACACAUAGUUCACACGGCCACGUGCAGGAGUUGGCUUCACAUAAUAAGCUUUGCACGACUUGGCCUGCCCGACGGACUUUCCGGGUUGCUUGGCACCCACAUUUUGAGGACACUCACGGGAAUAAUGCCCUGGUUCUCCACACUUGUAGCAUAUCACCUGGUUGGCACGUGGUGCAGCAUUGCUAGCUGGACAACCAUAAGCUUUUGCUGGAGGGUUGGCCUGAUUCGUCUGAGGCGCCACGUAGGAUGGCCUCGGAGUGUAUCUUGGCGGCAGAGAACUGUUUGGAACCCACAGCCUGCGUUUUGGAAACGCGGAACCAGAAGAUGAGCCAAAGUCACGGGAGUGCUUCCUUGUGGCUUCGAAGUCAGUAUGACCAGUCUCCGCACUGAUCGCUUUGUUGACCAGGGCUUGAAAACUUGCACACUCAUGGAGGCGCAGAUCACGACGGAGCUCAGGGCUCAGUCCCUUACGGAAUCUUGCUUGCUUCUUGGCGUCGGUAGACACCUCCUCUGUUGCAUAGCGGGCGAGGUUACCGAAAUCGCGGCUAUAGGCAUCCACAGACAACUUGCCUUGAGUGAAGGCACAGAACUCCUCUCUCUUUCUGUCCAUCAGGCCCUCUGGAAUAUGGUACGGACGAAAAGCUACACUGAAGUCUGCCCAUGUGGCCACUGGUUCAGCGAGACGCAUAGCUUCAAAAUUCUCCCACCACAGAUUGGCGGGUCCUUCCAGGAAAUACGCCGCGAAGGUCACCUUGUCGGCCUCAGACACAUUCGCAGAGCGAAUCUUGCGUGAGAUGCUGCACAGCCAGUCAUCAGCGUCGAGGGGAUCGACGGAAUGAUGAAACUUUGGAGGAUUCAGCUUCACAAAGUCAUUGAGGGACACUGCAGCAUUCCUAGGCUGUCGAGCCGUAUUCUGCUCAAUACGCUCUAGCAGUCGGUUGGUCUCCCUUUUGUUUCUUUCUGCCUCAAGCAUCACUUCUACCAGAGAAGGUGGGUGAGGCAGGUCUUCCUGCGACGCUUGACUACCCUCACCUUGCUCAUGAGCAGGGGCACGGUUCAACCUGGUGAACACCAUCCUAACAAACAAACUCAUAGCUUAGACCAACAUCAUAUCAAUACUAGCUAUGGAUUAAGAAUGUACUGAACAGACGGAAUGCGGAAAUUAAUAUCCGAACAGCAUGGUAACAAGCAACUGCUAUAUAUACACCAUGGUUCAUACACACCCUUACAUAGUUCAGUACAACCUUAAACGAAGAGCAAACUACUGAAAUUAUGAAACUACUCAUUAGAGGCUUACAGGCUUCCUAUACAUUAUUUAUCUAGGCCUCCGGAAUUCAUUUCACAUUACUACCAUACUUCACAAGUCACGCAGGACUGUGAACGUACGACUACUACCAUACUAUCCUUCCGCUCACAGCUCAGGCAUCCGCAUAGAACAUCUCAUAGAGAUUACCUCCAUGACCUGGAAGCUCAACCUGCGGAUCAGGAAACACUCUAGCCUGAGAUCCCUGGGAUCCAUAAGGACACGGAUGUGGCCUUGGUCCCCUGACUGGUGGUAAGAGGGGUCCCCGAAGAGGUGUGACUCCUCCUAUAGCUGGCCAGUCAACGUGGGCCGGAAGAUGGGUUCUAACAGGGUUCAGCAUCUCCAUCUCUCCAUACCCUCUCUGCACUACCGGUGCCAGCUGCGUCAAAGCUGUCCACAGACGGGCACGGGUAGCAUAAAGCUCCAUGCGGAGAGCACGAGCAUCCCUGUCUCUGUUCUCUAGCAUCUCAACAGUGGACUGCAGAAGUGGAUCCUCCAUAGAAGAAUCAAAAUAGACUCCACUGAGGUAUCCCUCUUCACCAGACUGAGAGGCCGGAACAUAGCAGAACUCUGAAUUCUGCAGCAGUGCAUGUCUUGCUCUCAUAAUAGUCAGCAUUGAAUACGCAGCAUCCUGAACUGCCAUGUCAACGGUGACCCCCAACCCAUAGGACCAAUGGAUUGGCUUCUCAGUUCCAGGGUAGUCUGGAAAUACCCUAACAGUGUAGAUGUACUGGCUCUGGUUGAAGUCUCGGUACUGUUCCUCUACCGUGUACUUGGGGUACCAGCGGUAACCGCACACCGACAUCACCCUGACCAGCAUGGCCGUAUGACCCGGCACAUCAAUGCACCUGGUCAGACGUACCACCUGACGAGAAGGACGGCCAGGCAUCUGUAAAUAGAGAGUAAUGCAAAAGCAUUAGAGCUCUGAAUGCAAAAUUGGGCAGCAUAACGGUUGUAAAUGCUCAAAACAAAUUUGAGACAACCCAAAAAUGGAAUAGCGUAACCACUCAACUAUCAAGUUCCACUUUUUGAUCAUCAAACUUACUUCAUGCUUCCUAGGAAUAAAAUAAACCCAAUAUCUCUCGACCCGUAGUCCUAUAAUCUACCGAUGAGAAACACGAGCCUAGGAGAAGAUGAGUAACCUAGUCCUUAAUUCCCGCAGAAAAGACAAGGAUGACCAGAAUAGAAUGACUUGAGAAGAGAACAAGAGUCUGACGUUCCCUUCCACAAACAAUUCCCUUAUAUAUAACUAAAGAAAUUCUAAACUCAACUUCGACCAGUUUGGCUUAGUAAUCCUACAGUCAGUCAGGCUCUGAUACCAACGCUGUCGGGACCCCGAUCCUAAGCCAUAGGAAUCCAGCCUGUAACACAUCGCAUCCCUUUGUGGUCUCAGGCACGGUUAACUCCACGGCUGCAGCCUUACCUUAGCCGGGACCGUUUGNNNNNNNNNNGUCGGGACCCCGAUCCUAAGCCAUAGGAUUCCAGCCUGUAACACAUCGCAUCCCUUUGUGGUCUCACGCACGGUUAACUCCACGGCUGCAGCCUUACCUUAGCCGGGACCGUUUGCGUCUUUUGACUCACGUAUGCGAUAGUGUCGCUAGCAAUCCAAUGUCAAAGAACCCGGAUCGACAUGUCUAGUCAUAAACCAAAGUGGCAGUACCACACAAGGACAGGCAUACAUGACCCAACAAAGCAGGUGUCGGUCAUCAGCGAAUGUAGACGAGUCGUAGCAAGCUACAAGGACUCCAUUACAUCGCGUGACAUUUCCCCAAAGGGGACAGACACAGCAGNNNNNNNNNNACAUCCCUUUGCGGUCUCACGCACGGUUAACUCCACGGCUGCAUCCUUACCUUAGCCGGGACCGUUUGCGUCUUUUGACUCGCGUAUGCAAUAGUUUCGCUAGCAUUCCAAUGUCAAAGAACCCGGAUCGACAUGUGUAGUCAUAAACCAAAGUGGCAGUACCGCACAAGGACAGGCAUACAUGACCCAACAAAGCAGGUGUCGGUCACCAUCGAGUGUAGACGAGUCGUAGCAAGCUACAAGGACUCCAUUACAUCGUGUGACAUUUCCCCAAAGAGGACAGACACAGCAGCUAAGAAGGACACAUGCCGGUCAACCAAUGUGUCCGGAGCAGUAGCGAACUACCAAGGCUUGUUGGAUCACAAAGGGGCAUUUCCUUGUAAGGAAUGCUACUAAAGCUCACGACUAGGUAAUUGAACCCCAUACAUAUCAAGUACGACACACGUACGCGUGGCAUACCGAUAUGUAUAGAUACAUCGAUGGCAUCACAACAUAACCAUAAACAUACANNNNNNNNNNCUGAGAAGGACACAUGCCGGGAAACCAAUGCGUCCGGAGCAGUAGCGAACUAGCAAGGCUCGUUGGAUCACAAAGGGGCAUUUCCUUGUAAGGAGUGCUACNNNNNNNNNNAUGAGAAGGACACAUGCCGGUCAACCAAUGCGUCCGGAGCAGUAGCGAACUACCAAGGCUCGUUGGAUCACAAAGGGGCAUUUCCUUGUAAGGAGUGCUACUAAAGAUCACGACUAGGUAAUCGAACCCCAUACAUAUCAAGCAUGACACACGUACGCAUGGCAUAUCAAUAUGUAUAGAUACAUCGAUGGCAUCACAACAUAACCAUAAACAUACAAGCUUUAUUUAAGAGGCUCGGAAGAGCCACACACAUAAUAUUACACAUUAAGGUCUCUCGACCCAUAAUAGCAGUCAUACAAUACAAGCCAGCGGAAGAGUUAUAAACUGUCUCGGAACAGGCAGUGCAACUAGAAGGCACAUGGCCUGACUAUACUACAGAGCCGACGUAGGGCCAGAUCGUAGCUCGGACACCAGCUACUCGUCGUCGUCGAUGUCUACGAAGAACCCUCCAUUNNNNNNNNNNGUCUCACGACCCAUAAUAGCAGUAAUUCAGUUACAAGCCAGCGGAAGAGUUUAAACUGUCUGAGUACAGACAGGGCAACUAGAAGGCACAUGGCCUGACUAUACUACAGACCCAACGUAGGGCCAGAUCGUAGCUGGGACACCAGCUACUCGUCGUCGUCGAUGUCUACGAAGAACCCUCCAUUNNNNNNNNNNCGCGAAAGAGUUAUAAACUGUCUGGGAACAGGCAGUGCAACUAGAAGGCACAUGCACUGACUAUACUACACAGCCGGAGUAGGGCCAGAUCGUAGCUGGAAAACCAGCUACUCGUCGUCGUCGAUGUCUACGAAGAACCCUCCAUUAGGGUCAUUAGCAACCUCUGCAACAUUUAUUAAGCAAACAUGAGUACGAAGGUACUCAGCAAGACUUUAGGAUAACUAACUACUCAUGCAAGGUAUCAAAAGGGGUAUUGCGGGGUUUCAUGCGUAAAGCCAGCAUUUGACUCGUGGCUAGACAACUUGCAUUUUUAAAUUAUNNNNNNNNNNACAUUUGACUCGUGGCUAGACAACUUGCAUUUUUAAAUAAUUUUGACAACUUGAUUUCUCGCACACGAGUCCGCUAACACCACAACANNNNNNNNNNGAACUAACUACUCAUGCAAGGUAUCAAAAGGUAUUGUGGGGUUUCAUGCGGAAAGCCAGCAUUUGACUCGUGGCUAGACAACUUGCAUUUUUAAAUUAUUUUGACAACUUGAUUUCUCGCACACGAGUCCACUAACACCACAACAAUACACUAUCGUGGAAUCAUUCCGUCUCCAUACGGAAAUGCCGUCCACGACACUCACGCUUAUCUUGGCAAUUUUAUGAGUAGCCAUUGAAGUUAUCUAUGAACAACAUAUGUCUCCAAGUAGUCCAUAUCCGCGGACGCGGCUAUUCGAAUAGAUCAUAACCCUGCUGGGGUGUACUUCGUCACACACGCUCUCGCCACUUAUCGCCAUGUGCACGUGAUGUACCUCGGCAACCUUCAAGCAGAAGCCCAGCGGGGGAGUCGGCCACGACCGUUAACCACACUAGUACCUAGUCCAGAUUUAUCGCCUAUCUGAGAGUAACCCGUACGGAAGUCCGGCCGAGGUUUNNNNNNNNNNCAUGCACCUCGGCAACCUUCAAGAGGAAGCCCAGCGAGGGAGUCGGCCACGACCGUUAACCACACUAGUACCUAGUCCAGGUUUAUCGCCUAUCUGAGAGUAACCCGUACGGAAGUCCGGCCGAGGUUUCCGCCACGGCCUCAAACGAUGCGCGCAGGGUUCCCAAGCCCACCAUCCGGGUGCCACUUGGUACACCAUGCCACUUCCUACCGCAUCACGGCCCACCUCUCAGGUCAGCACCAUGCACGGCCUCCAGCAUUACUAUAAACACUAGAAACUACUUGCAACUCCUGGACCGAGUACUAAGCGAUUAAUAAGUCGAGAGGGUCAAUUAAGUAUCCCAUCGUGUGGUAGUAUCUAGUGUUGCAUUACAUACAUGGAACUCAGUUCCUAAGGACGGUUCCAAUGAAACAACCCGCCAUGUACNNNNNNNNNNCCAUCCGGGUGCCACUUGGUACACCGUGCCACUGCCUACCGCAUCACGGCCCACCUCUCAGGUCAGCACCAUGCACGGCCUCCAGCAUUACUAUAAACACCAGAAACUACUUGCAAUUCCUGGACCGGGUACUACGCGAUUAAUAGGCCGAGCGGGGUCAUAUUUCAGGGCCCAGCAUGUGGUAGUAUCUAGUCUUGGAAUGCAUACACGGAACUCAGUUCCUAAGGACGGUUCCAAUGAAACAACCCGCCAUGUACUCCUACACAGUCUUUCACUGGUACCUUUACCAAAUCAAGUUCAACACACAACCUUUGCUCACCGAACACAUUCCACAUUUCUGUUCAUAUCCCAGAUGACGGACCAUACACAACUCUAAGCAUAGCAUGCAUAGCAGGAUAAGGCACAUCAUAGUUCAAGCAACUACCAGGUAUGCUUGGUUGCAAGGUUCGGCUAUUUACUGUGACAAGGUUAAGUCAUGCAAAGGAAAUGGGUUCAACUAUCGUGGCAAAAGCAGUUGAAGCAUUUGAUCUUAAAUGCAAUAAAUAGGUGCAGGAGCGAGAACAUGGGAUUUAUCGGGAUGAUCAAAAGGGUUGCUUGCCUUGUUGCUCAGAGGAGGAAUGAUAUCCGUCAGACGGAUAUUCGAUGGAAUCCGGGGGUGCGGAGCCUACCGAAAUGAAUGGCAACAUUCAAUAACAAUCAUAUGCACUCAAAAUGAUGCAUGAGCAUGGCAUGAGAAUGCAAGGUGAUAAGUUAUUAUUUUCAACAUGUAUUAGGUUUAGAGUAGAUUUGAAUCACAUUCAAAUAGCAAUUCAAACGGGGUAUUCUCGGAUACCGUUUUAAUUGAUUCGACCUGAUGCUCAGAUCAACUUGAUGUUAGCAUGCAUGAAAUUUCAUGUUAUGGUACUGAUUUGUAAGUAGGACAGUGUGUGAUCAUUGUAUUCAUAAUGAAAUUUGAAUAAUUUUUCAAAUUCCAUUUUAAAAGUAAUUAUAAGAAUUGAAUUAUUCCUUAUUCCACAAUUUAGGGUUCUGUAACUUUUUCAAACAUAGUUGAAAAUAGCAUAAUCAGAAUCUUUGAAUUUUUCUGAUACUUUUNNNNNNNNNNGGUCAUGCAAAGGAAGUGGGUUCAACUAACGUGGUAAAAGCAGUUGAAGCAUUUGAUCCUAAUGCAAUAAAUAAGUGCAGGAGCAAGAACAUGGGAAUUAUCGGGAUGAUCAAAAGGGUUGCUUGCCUUGUUGCUCAGAGGAGGGACAAUAUCCGUCAGACGGAUAUUCGGUGGACUCCGGGGGUGCGGAGCCUACCGAAAUGAAUGGCAACAAUCAAUAACAAUCAUAUGCAAACAAGAUGAUGCAUGAGCAUGGCAUGAGAAUGCAAGGUGAUAAACUAUUAUAAUCAACAUGUAUUAGGUUUGAAAUUGAUUUGAAUCACAUUCAAAUAUCAAUUCAAACGAGGUAUUCUCGGAUACCGAUUUAAUUGAUUCGACCUGAUGCUCAGAUCAACUUGAUGUUAACAUGCAUGAGAUGUCAAGUUAAGGUACUGAUUUGUAAUUAGGACAGUGUGUGAUCAUGUCAUUCAUAAUGAAAUUUGAAUAUUUUUCCAAAUUCCAUUUAUAAAGUAAUUAUAACAAUUGAAUUAUUCAUUAUUCUACAUGUUAGCGUUCUAUAACUUUUUCAAACAUGAUUGAAAAUAGCAUAUUCAGAUUCUUUGAAUUUUUCUGAUACUUUUUCAUAUAUAAAUUAUUUUCAUUGGAGUUACAUAUUAAUUUCUAUGAUUUUUUUAAGUUUUAAACAUUUCUGGAAUUAUUUCUAUACUGGAAAUUCUCUUUAUUGCGUCAGCCUGACAUCAGCAGGUCAGCCGACCUGUUCAGGUCAAACCUGACAGGGGGGACCCACUGGUUAGCCUCUCUGGGGUUAAACCCGCGCUGACCGGCCCCUUAACUAAGUUGACUUGGCCUUGGGCCCACUGUCAGUGAGAGUUUAAGCGUUUUAAUUACUGGAUUAGCUUGACCACGUCGGUCCUCGCCGGAGGCUGGCCCGCGGCGACCAAAACCGCGGCGGAACCUCGCCGGAGACAUGCUGAAUGCGCUGUGGUGCUCGGAACAGGUAGCUGAGAGCACUGGAGUGAUCUCCAGGCUCGACCACAUCCACUGCUAGCUUCAGGGAGGGCUAUAGGUGGCCGGAGUAAGCCGACGACGAGCCGGGGCGGCGGCCGGAGUACGGGUUUGAAGGUCCAGUUGCUAGGGGGCUCGGAUCCGAGGGGAAAGAGAGGGUAAAUGACCGCAUGCUCACGGGGAGUGCAGAGCAGGGCUUAGACGGCUCGGGGAAGGGCUGUUGCCGGCGUUUCACCGUCGAUUUGCCGGCGGCCGAAGGUGGAAGACGUCGGCGUUGGGGCGAUGCAGAGCUCGGGGAGACUUCGGCUUCUGCAGGGAGGACCAGCUCGACGAGGCAAAGCUGUUGGACUACUCGGAGGGAGGUUCCCGUGGCUAGAGGCGCUGCGGCUCGAGCUCGAGCUCGUGGUAAUGGCGGCAGCAGGAGGGAGGAAAGAUCCGAGAGGGGGGGAACUGGUACUGGGGAAAGGAUAGGGUCGGCCUCGGGGAGGAUAACCCCGUUGUCGCGCUGUCCCGGGGGGCUCUGGAGCUCGCCACGACGAAGCAGGAGGUGGAGGGGGCCGCCGUGGUCGAUCUCCCCUCUGCUAGAAGGCAGAGGAAGAAGACGACCCUGCCCCUGGUGGGCUGGGCCUCCUCAGGCGACAGGUAAGGGUUUUCUUUCUCUUCUAUUUUGUUUCUGUUUUGCUAACUAUUGUUUUGCUAUUUAUUUCAGCUCCAAAAUGGUUUGUAAAACUAUUUUAAACACACCUAAAUAUUUGUUGGAAUAUUUCCAACUAUUUUCAAAGUUUUCAACAUUUUUGAAAAUUUAAAGUUUCUGUUUUCAAAUUUAAUACUUGAAACCAGUAGCUUUUGCAUUUAUUUAAAAUGCUUAAAGUGUCAAGAAAAUAGUUUUCUCCAAUGCUCAUUUACUUUCAUGAUUUAUCAGAAAGUUUGAACAUUUCUUGAGGCCAUUUUGGGUUCAUUGAUUUUAACUAGUUUGAGAUUUCCUUUGUUUAAAGAAGUGGCUAGGGUUUGAGUUUUUCCUUCACCUCUUUCUUUAUUCUUGUUGACAAUUUCUCAGAUGCAAAUGCAAAGAAGACAUGAGCACAAGACUAACUUGCUUAAGGUGUCAGGGAUGUGACACCCUUACUUGGGAGGGAUUCAAGACAUGGCAUAUCAUGGCAUGGCAGGCAUAUAUAAUAAUUCUGCCAGCUAACAAAGGUGUCCCUGAUUUAUUUCAACAACACACAAUAAUAGUAGUAGCACGUAGGCCUCACGGGCUACUCCUUAUAGCGGAAGUAACUCGAUGGAUGAUGAUGGAUCAUGGAAGAACAUAGAUUCCAAUGGCAUCAAUUAGAUCCCCAACACGUCCAAAGAAACCGGUGAUAUGGCCACCAUGAGUCACUGGGCCAUGAAAGGAACCCCUUGAACCAGCAAUACCACAUUCUAUAGUCUGUCCAUUGUUUGUAACAAAUUUGAGAGACGUCACUAUUGACGACACACUACCCCAUCUACCAUAGGUUCCUGAAAUUUCAGUCACAUAUUCCAUGUCUUCAAGGUCCAACUGUGUAAAACAACAAUCAAACAUUUUUAUAAUUUACAGUUAGGACUUCAUAUGGUGAUAAGGGUUACUUACAUAUAUAAAUUGUAUAUAUUAGGUAUUUUAUAAGGUUAAGAUGAUUCACACACCGUGUGCUUGUUCCCACUAGGAGCUCCCCAUACACCCUCUACAUGCUGAUCCCCGGCAUGAUCCUCAUAUGUAAACUUGAUGGAGUGGAUUGCGUCUGCACCAGAAAUUUCCACCCGGGCUAGUCGGUGGGGAGCGUGUCUGACGUCACGAGGCUGGCCUCCGACUCCGCCCCAUAGACCAAUCUUCAGAGGCUCGCUCUGCAAACGUCAUCACACAGAUGUAAAAUCACACAAAGUAUGGAAUGUAUACAUACANNNNNNNNNNNNNNNNNNNNNNNNNNNNNNNNNNNNNNNNNNNNNNNNNNNNNNNNNNNNNNNNNNNNNNNNNNNNNNNNNNNNNNNNNNNNNNNNNNNNGUCUCCCGAACCCGUAGGGUCUACACACUUAAGGUUCGAUGACGCUAGGGUUAUAGGGAAUUGUUAUACGAGAUUACCGAAAGUUGUUCGGAGUCCCGGAUGAGAUCCCGGACGUCACGAGGAGCUCCGGAAUGGUCCGGAGGUAAAGAUUGAUAUAUAGGACGGAUGGUUUCGGACACCGGAAGUGUUUCGGGCAUCACCGGUAACGUACCGGGACCACCGGGACCACCGGAGGUGGUCCCGGGGGACCACCGAAGGGGGGCUGCGACCCCAAGAGGUAAGAUGGGCUAUGUGGGGGUGGGAACCAGCCCCUAGUUGGGCUGGUGCGCCUCCCCACUCAGCCCAUGGCGCAGGGGAAAGAAAAAGAGGGGGGGGGGGGCCCCUAACUUAGGUGGGCCUUAGNNNNNNNNNNUGGACCACCGAAGGGGGGCUGCGACCCCAAGAGGUAAGAUGGGCUAAGUGGGGGUGGGAACCAGCCCCUAGUUGGGCUGGUGCGCCUCUCCACUCAGCCCAUGGCGCAGGGGAAAGAAAAAGAGGGGGGAACCCUAACUUAGGUGGGCCUUAGGCCCACCAGAGGGGUGCGCCACCCCCUCCUCCCCAUCUGGCCGCCACACCCCCCAUCUGGGAGGGCUGCCGCACCCCCUAGGGUGGGAACCCUAGGGGUGGCACCCCCUCUCCCCUUCCCCUAUAUAUAGUGGGCACUUUUGGCCUUUGGAGGACACAGUUUUCCUUCUCCCUCGGCGCAACCCCGCACUUCUCCCUCCUCCUCUCUGCCGGCGCUUGGCGAAGCCCUGCCGGGAGACCUCGNNNNNNNNNNGUGCGCCACCCCCUCCUCCCCAUCUGGCCGCCACUCCCCCCAUUUGGGAGGGCUGCCGCACCCCCUUGGGUGGGAACCCUAGGGGUGGCACCCCCUCUCCCCUUCCCCUAUAUAUAGUGGGCACUUUUGGCCUUUGGAGGAUACAGUUUUCCCUCUCCCUCGGCGCAGCCCUGCACUUCUUCCUCCUCCUCUCUGCCGGCGCUUGGCGAAGCCCUGCCGGGAGACCUCGUCUCUCCACCAACACCACGCCGUCGUGUUGCUGGUCUUCUUCCCCAACCUCUCCCUCCUCCUUGCUGGAUCAAGGUGCGGGAGACGUCACCGGGCUGCACGUGUGUUGAACGCGGAGGUGUCGUUGUUCGGCACUAGAUCGGAAUCGCUGCGAGUACGACUCCAUCAACCGCGUUCUAGCAACGCUUCCGCUUAGCGAUCUUCAAAGGUACGAAGAUGCUCUUACCCCUCUCUCGUUGCUGGUCUCUCCAUAGGAAGAUCUGAACAUGCGUAAGAAAUUUUUUGAAUUCAUGCUACGUUUACCAACAAUACUGUUAAUCAAUCACUACUUACAUUUCACCUUCUCUAGAUGCAACUCAUUGCGGUCGCAUUGAAUACUAAUGGGAUUAUCGUUUGCAAAAUGCGCGAUCCUUCUAGUGAAUCGCCAUAUUUGGAUUAAUUAGCCUAUUAGACUAUUGCACACGGGUUACUAACAUGACCGUCCGUAAUAACAGUUAUGGUAUUCUUCGAGUCCUUCCACACAUAAAAAUUAUUCCGGACAUCGAANNNNNNNNNNGGAAAUUUUUUGAAUUUAUGCUACGUUACCCAACAGUAGCGACGGACGUGCUCCUCGCUGACACGGUGACGUACCACCUCCGCGGUGUCUGGAAGCCUCGGCACCCUCACUGGCCCACGCGACCGCCACCAAACAAGGAUCGGGUCAACGAUGGGCUGGCUCCUCACCAACCUACGCCCCCCGGAAGGUAGCACCUCCCAAUACGAGCCGGGCGGAGCCCAGUCCCGGACUGGGCCCCUCUGAUCAAGAAGGUGUCCUCCGCCGAGUCGACGACGAGGAUGCGGGAUAGGCAUCGUAAAAUGAACUAAAAAAAUAAACUAGUUCUAUUAAUGUUCUUGCUAAAAAUAAACUAUUAACACUUAAGCAUAUACCAUAGCAAAAUUAAACUAUUAACACUUAAGCAUAUACAAUAGCAAAAUUAAGCAAUAAUCUAAGAAACACUAUUAGAACUUAAGCAUAUACACUAUACAAUAGCAAAAGUAAAUGACAAAAAAAUUCUUCUUCUUGUAACCCUAAACUAAUUUUUCCUCUUCUUCUAUUUCUCCUCUUCUUCUACUUCUUCUACUUCUACUUCUCCUCUUCUUGUAGUACUUCUCCUCUUCUCUUCUUCUACUUCUCCUCUCCUCUUCUAAUUUUUUAUCUUCUUCUACUUCUCCUCUUCUUCUAUUUUUCCUCUUCUUCUCCUCUCCUCCUCUUCUUAUUCUCCUGUUUCUUCUUUUCUUCUCCUCCUCUUCUUAUUUUCAUUUUUCCUAAUCUUAUUUUCUUAUUUUUGUUCAUAUUUCUUCUUCUUGUAACCCUAACCUAAUUCUAAAUAUUACUAACCCUAAUAAUCUAGCACAAACCUAAUAACAAUAGGAAUUAAAUAACAAAAAAAUCUUUUUCUUUUUCUUCUUUUCUUCUCCUUUUUCUGCUUUUCUUCUCCUUUUUCUUCCUUUCUUCUCCUUUUUCUUCUUCUCUGCUCCUUUUUCUUCUUUUCUUCUACUAGCCGGAGUGUUGGGGAGGAGGGGCGGGGGGCUUACCGGUCGGAGGUGUCGACGGCGCGCGGCGAGGAGGACGGCAGGCGGCGGCGAGCAGGACGUCGGGCAGCCUGACGGCGUCGUCGAGUUCGUCGGUGUGCCGCGCCGGGUAGGAGAACGAGAGGAAGAAGAAGAGAAAUGGACGAUUUGGGUUGGAAUUUUUUGAAGUCCUGCUUAUAUAGGUGGAACUUUAGUCCCGGUGCGUGGCUCGAACCGGGACUAAAGACCCCCUUUAGUCCCGGUUGGAGCCUCGGCCCGGGACUAAAGCCCCUCAUUUCCCGCCUCCUCGCCUGCCGAAAAGGGGUCUUUAGUCCCGGGGCGUGGCUCCAACCGGGACUAAAGGGGGUCUGUAGUCCCGGGGCGUGGCUCCAACCGGGACUAAAGGCGGUCUGUAGUCCCGGGGCGUGGCUCCAACCGGGACUAAAGCCCCUCCUCGGUUGUACGAUAAGUUUAGUCCCACCUCGCCUAGCGAGGGGGACUAACACUUGUUUAUAAGCCCCGUUGCAGCUUCUCCAUCAAGCUCCUCUCUAAAGCAGGCUUACGGGCCUAAACUUACUGAAAAUUGUAACUAUAUUAGAAAUUAUAGGGAAAAUACAAUCUAAAUUCAAAUGAGAAUUUAGAUUGAAUUUUCUCUAUGAUUUCGAAUAUAGUUUCAAUUUUUUCUAUUUUCAUAAUUAAUAAUUUUGACUAUCCAAACUAUUAUCUAUUUUGUUAUUUUCUAUUAAAAACCAUGUUUAUUAAAAAAUUCUUUUUGCAUAUUUGAGAAUUUGACAAAACUAUGAUAAUGAGAAGUGUUUCAAAUUGAAUAAAUAAUGCAAAACUAUUUUUUAUUUUCAUAAUUAAUAAUUUUGACUAUCCAAACUAUUAUCUAUUUUGUUAUUUUCAAUUAAAAACUAUGUUUAUUAAAAAUUAUUUUUGCAUAUUUGAGAAUUUGACAAAACUAUGAUAAUGAAAAGUCUUUCAAAUUGAAUAAAUAAUGCAAACUAUUUUUUAUUUUCAUAAUUAAUAAUUUUGACUAUCCAAACUAUNNNNNNNNNNAAAAAGUGUUUCAAAUUGAAUAAAUAAUGCAAAAAUAUUUUUUAUUUUCAUAAUUAAUAAUUUUGACUAUCCAAACUAUUAUCUAUUUUGUUAUUUUCAAUUAAAAACCAUGUUUAUUAAAAAUUCUUUUUGCAUAUUUGAGAAUUUGACAAAACUAUGAUAAUNNNNNNNNNNNNNNNNNNNNNNCAUCUCUUACAAAGGGAUUUCAGUGUUUUGAACUUAUUUGAACUCCAUACUUUUUGUGUGUUCAAAAUGCACCAUUCAAAGGCACAUCACAAAAUUUCAACAAUUUUGACUUCAUUUGGUAUAUUUCAUGGAUUUACUUAUUUUUUUUGAGCUAGUUGACCCUGAAAUUGAAAAGCACUACAAAUGAACUCUGAAAAUGUUGAAAGUUGGCAUGCUAUCAUCAUUUCACCCACGUAGCAUGUGUUAAAAAGUUGAGAGGGCUACGACAAAAACUGGAUGCAGUUCGUGUACAAAACGGAUAAUCUCUCUCAAAGUAGCAGUGUUUCGAACGAGAACUCAUCUCUUACAAAGGGAUUUCAUUUUUUGAACUUAUUUGAACUCCAUACUUUUUGUGUGUUCAAAAUGCACCAUUCAAAGGCACAUCACAAAAUUUCAACAAUUUUGACUUCAUUUGGUAUAUUUCGUGCAUUUACUUAUUUUUUUGAGCUAGUUGACCCUGAAAUUUAAAAGCACUACAAAUGAAUUCUGAAAAUGUUGAAAGUUGGCAUGCUAUCAUCAUUUCACCCACAUAGCAUGUGUUAAAAAGUUGAGAGGGCUACGACAAAAACUGGAUGCAUUUCGUAUACAAAACGGACAAUCUCUCUCGAAGUAGCAGCGUUUCGAACGAGAACUCAUCUCUUACAAAGGGAUUUCAUUUUUUUGAACUUAUUUCAACUCCAUACUUUUUGUGUGUUCAAAAUGCACCAUUCAAAGGCACAUCACAAAAUUUCAACAAUUUUGACUUCAUUUGGUAUAUUUCAUGCAUUUACUUGUUUUUUGAGCUAGUUGACCCUAAAAUUGAAAAGCACUACAAAUGAACUCUGAAAAUGUUGAAAGUUGGCAUGCUAUCAUCAUUUCACCCACGUAGCAUGUGUUAAAAAUUUGAGAGGGCUACGAAAAAAACUGGAUGCAGUUCGUGUACAAAACGGACAAUCUCUCUCGAAGUNNNNNNNNNNUGCAGUUCGUGUACAAAACGGACAAUCUCUCUCGAAGUAGCAGGGUUUUGAACGAGAACUCAUCUCUUACAAAGGGAUUUCAUUUUUUUGAAAUUAUUUGAACUCCAUAAUUUUUGUGUGUUCAAAAUGCACCAUUCAAAGGCACAUCACAAAAUGGACAAUCUCUCUCGAAGUAGAAGCGACCCCCACAAUAAGAGACGACAUUCUUCUUCUCUCAUAUAUGGUGGACACUAGCUCACCUGAUUUUUCAACCGUCGAUGAUGGUCGCUACUCCUACUUCCCCUAGUGCAUAACCAAUAUCUAGCACAAUAAGAAGAAGGAGAAGCGAUCCCCACAACAAGAGUGGUUCCGCGGCACGCCACGUGGUUCCGCUGCACGCCACGUGGGACUAAUGGUCUUUCAUUUUUAAAUGACUGUUUUAAUCAAAAACAGAUCUGUUACAAAAGGGAUUUCAUUUUUUGAACUUAUUUGAACUGAAGACUUUUUGUAUAUAUAUGUGGUCGAAAUGCAUGAUACCAUGAAGUUAGAAAGGGCUAAACCAUUCAAAAGUAGCAAAUGAAAUUAGAAAGGGCUAAACCAUUCAAAUUUGGAAACUAUAAUGGCACAAACAGAAACUAGACAUAUAUAAAUUGGUCCAAGAAGUACAUGAUACUAGUCCAAACAGUACAUAAUAAUAGCUACCAUAGAUAUAUAUACAAGUGUUCGACGUUCAGAACACUACUCGUCUGAAUCAUCUAAAUCAGAAUGUCCACCUUCCUCGAGGUGACGCUGGCCAUAGUGGACGACUUGAAUCUUGCGGUACAACUCGUAUGAAACGUAUGCAUCUUUUGCUGCAUACUCAAUGUUGAUAUCAUCAAGUGGGCCCUUCUCCCAAAGUUUGUGCUGAGACUUUGGGAAACUGGUCUUCAUAUCAGCAUAUGAAUCGUCGACCAAGGCAACUGCCAUAUGAGCCAUCGAAGUCCUGUCAUGUCGAAGCGUGAAUAUCGUUUGGAGAUCAACGAGGCAACCAGGUGGUAUCUCAAUACCGAAGCUGUGCCUCAUCUUCAGCUUGUCGUUCCUUAUGUCAACGGAAGCAAAAGUGAUGCCGCUGCGAAGGAAGUCCAUGAGUUCUGGACAAUGCUUGUCACUCCUGCAACAGAAAAAAAUUAAAAUGGAACAAAUGUUACAUACUGCUGCAAUAAGGAAACAUGUUUCACUACAACUAAAGAGAAAAUUAUCUUUAGGAUUCAAAUAGAACAUAUGCAAUGGAACCUAGAGAGAUCACUAUAGCUAUCCAAUGGAACCUAGAGAGAUCACUAGCUAUAUGCAAUUUUCAUGACUAUGACAUAUCAUAUUGCUAUCCAAUGGAACCUAGAGAGAUCACUAGCGAUAUUCAAUUUUCAUAACCUUGGAUCAAAGAACACCGCAUAAAAUUGUAUCACUACAACUAUGAUUUCAAUGGAACAUAUUGAACCAAUCAGAUUUUUCAGAUUGUGGAACACUAUUCCAAUCAGAUUGUGUUCCCUUCAACUAAUCAAAAUUGUUUCACUACAACUAUUUGAAGCGAACCAACUAUGAUUCCAAUGGAACAUAUUAAACACUAGUUGAUUCUANNNNNNNNNNCAAUUAGUUUGUGCUCCCCUUCAACUAAUCAAAAUUGUUUCACUACAACUAUUUGAAGGGAACCAACUAUGAUUGAAACAAAUAAACUUACAAUGCCAUUAUCUUGGAUCAAAGAAAGCCUCAAAACUUACCUCGCCCAUUGAAAGAUCAAGACAUGGCGUGCGAAGCAUAGUUGGAUGACGGCAACACCGCGUUGAUCGGUCGUGUACUCCAGAUCAAGCCCCAAGAACUUCUCAUGAUCCACUACGUGGUCCAACCAUCGUUCCUUCAACUGUUGAAGAAAAAAGGCACCUCCCUGCUCAGGUUCGUGUACAUGACACGGAGCUUGGUCGUGCCAUGUGCGAGCACCUCAUGAAAGCUAGUUGGCAUGGUGGAAGAAGAGAAGGGAAGAAGAGAGGAGAAGAACAGAGAGGGCGACGCGAGAGAGAAGAAGAAACAGAGAAAUGGCGACUGUACGCUUCGGUUCGUGCUUUUCAUCGCCCGAAACGACGCGGGAUGCAAACCGUUUGGGCCUUUAGUCCCGGGUUGAGCCACCAACCGGGACUAAAGAGGUAUACCAAACGGUUGCCACCACUACGACAGGGCACGUGUUAGGCCUUUAGUCCCGGGUUGAGCCACCAACCGGGACUAAAGAGGUAUACCAACGGUCUCCACCACUACGGCGGGCCACGUGUUAGUCCUUUAGUCCCGGGUUGAGCCACCGACCGGGACUAAAGGGGGAUACGAACGGUUGCCACCACCACUGCCCACCGCGUAGCCCUUUAGUCCCGGUUUGGGAAACGAACCGGGACUAAAGGCUCCUUACGGGACGGGACUAAAGCCUCGAGGGAGGCAUUGAGAAUUGGGGCGACGUGGCCGGGCCUUUAGUCCGGGCCCAGAGGCAGGCCGGGACUAAAUGGUCCCGGCCAAAGGCCCGUUUUCCACUAGUGUAUACAGUGUAUCCAAUGGUAUGGUAGGCUUCGUCCUUGAGCUGUAAAUUAUCCUCAAUGCAUCUAUGUGUUAACAUUUUCCUCAAUGCAAAUCGAUCUAAGUUGUUAUGAUGUCGCAAUGCAAGAAGAAACCUUUUUGUAUAAGCCAUUGUAACUCAGUCUUACUGGAUAAUUGUCACAAUAUACUAUUUGUUUAUCUCUGUUGUACGUGGAAUUUCAGCAGAGUGUCUCAAUAGUAAUGUCAACCAAACACAAGCUUGAUCAGACCUAAACUUUCCACUCGUCCUUCUCAUGAAAUUUAUUACAUAAAAAAAAACAAUAGCAGGUUGUUUCCAUUUCUAUUUUGCUGUAGACUGUGUUAAAGGAAGACCAUAUAAAAUAUCUCUGAAAUGAUGUUGCUAUUGCAGACGGACUUCAAAGUUUUUGAAGUGCCUUAUAGUGUCUAUCUUUUUCUUUGGUGCCAACUGCAUAACUAAACUGUACUGAACAAAAUUUUAAAUAGAUAGCUACUCUAACCGGCAUUGGUGUGAUUUUCACUCCUUAGUAUUAAGAAUGUGCAAAUUUCCUUCCACCACUGAUUAGAACAUGAAGACCUGAACAACAGCAAGCAAAUUGGGGUAUAAAACUGUGAAGAAAUGGAACCCAAUCAGUACAUGAGUGUGUAUACAGAGAAAUAAAUGAAUACAACACAGUGAUGAAUAAAUACAUCAGGUGGUAUAUAUCAUCAUCCAAGCUCUGCAACUGAUUUGUCACAUGAUAUGAUGGGCAUGGCUGCUGUUAUCAAAAAGAAGAACCCGACUGAACAUACGAAAAAAAUCAAAUCAAAUCAAAUCAUGGAAGAUAUGGGACAAAUAAAUGACAAAUCAAGAAAUUACUUGUUGGUACGGCAUUUCCCAUGUUUCUGUGGCUUUGUCGAAACCCCAUAAAAAUGACGAUCAAGAACAGCCAAUUGGAUGGUCCUCUUCAUGGCAGUUUCUUUCCCGUAAUCUAGCGAGGAACAUCUGUAUUGUGUCAUUGAGGAGAUAGACGGCUGGAUAUAAUAUGAACAAUUUUUUGGCACUUCCACCAAAUACUUCAAUCAGUUUGAAGCAAGGAAAGGGCUAUCAUGCCGAAAACUUGCAUAGUGCUAAUGGUAAGUGCAACAACCUAGGUCCAUAUAGCCUGACAAACCUGUGUAAGAGAAUAAAUUAGUAACAUGCAAGUAUAUUUAUUACUAACAGUUACGAAUAUUCCUCAUUUCCUCUAGUGUACAUGCCUGCACCUGCAGUUUACAACCCUAAAUAAUAGUCUACUGCAUCUGUACUUAUCAGUUUUUGUUACAAAUAAACAUGUACUGCAGUCUCUUUAGUUUACAAAAAUAUUGGAUCCCUAUUUCAGUGGAUGCAGCAAACGCAAGUGUUUGUACCUUAGUAAAAGAUCAAUCUCGUCCUUGGCCAUGUGUUUGCUGAUGAGGUUCAAGCCGUGUUGUUUAUAGGGCAUGCCUAUUGGCCACACAUGUCUUUCUCCCAUGGCCCAGUUUGACCGUUUGAAACCUCUGCAUUAUCCACCAUGGUCCUUUGUCAGCAUCAUCUUUUAUCUCUUCAUCGACGAACUUUCUGUUUCUAGUGUCGGGGUUCAAUUUUUGUUAUGUCGACUAAGGAGAGAAUACACCACACUGAGCGAUGGUUUUGUGGCAUAAAUUACCAUUGCUAUGUAUAUGACCAGCAGGUGGCAGCAUCUAGUCGAGAAAAACAGGAAUCAAACAAAUGUAAGAUAUAUUAACCGAGCAAUCUCUCUUCUCGAGGAGUCUCACAAGAUAUGUAUUCACCUGAAACAAACAUCAGUUUUUAAAUAUGAUUUUGAGAAACUUAGGUAAUCUUGUCUCUAAUUACCUUAAGAAAUAUCAACAAUAAUACGAUAGGAAAUGAGGCAUACUAACUGUUAUUUCUCACUCAUGAACAAAUUGCUCAAUCUGCAGCUAAAGGAUGAAUAACAAAUAAUCUAUGGAUAUGCCUACACUUUAUAUGCGUUUAAGCAUAAUGAAUAUAUAUUCCAGACUUGCAAGAAUAAUAAGAACAUAUUCAACGACACAUACCAUAUACAGAUUGUAUGACAACAAUCAGAUCUUUCACACCUCAACCAAGAAAUAGCCCUCUACUGAAAGAUUAUUUGAUAUACAAAAAGGAGAAAAAUAUUCGCAACCGAUCUCCAUGCCCCCUCCAUAGAUUCAAAAAGAAAAAGAAAAGAAAUCAUAUCAACAUAUAGUUUUGCUAAAUAUGAGAAAUUAGUCGAAAACCUCAUGCAAGAUAGGCAUCAAUGUCUUUCUUUAUGAAAAGGCCGUCGGAGAAAAUAUCGAUUAACGUUAGGAGAAGGGUUACAGCCUUGAAGGUUAUCCCGGAACCCUUGGCAGCAUCCUUGAGAUAGUUGCUUAAUUACUUUAAACCUGAGCUUGAUGCCUCCCGCACUGACGACCACAUGUACAGGUAGAACCACAAGAAUCUUUUCUCUUUCAGUCUGAGAGUUGGCUGGGCAUAUAACUGAGAUCAGGGGCAUAGAGCUUCUGAGUAUAGGUUUCCACAUGUACAGGUUUCCCAUGUGCGGGUGUUAUCACCUUUGUGCGCCUGCAUCCGAGGAUGACAGAUAAGCCGCCAGGUUUGUGUACUUUCAGAUCUGGCGGGGAGAUCAAUCAAGUGUUGAGCCUGUAUACUUCCGUAUCUUGACUGAAGAUCACCGCCAAGAGCAGCGUGAAGAUGGUUGACGGCGUGGAUUUCACUGGAUUCGGCAAGAUGCCUGAAGGUCACCGGCAAGAACAGCGCGAGGAUAGCCGGCGACGUGGGAUUUGAUGGCAUGAGUAUCACUCGAGCAGGAGAGUAUCGUGUGGCGGCGAAUGAGAGAUUAGUAGAAAGUUUUUCUUUUCUUUUCCAAUGAUUAGGGAUAGGGCAGUUUUUCAGGGCAGGUUUAUGAAUAACUCAGAGAUUUAAUGGUCGUGACUUGUAGGUAUUGUUCUUUUUUCCGAGGAUAUGUACGUAUUGUUCAAUGUUUAAUCUUUAUAACUAUUGUUCAAUGGUUUUCAAUCUGAGUCGUUCUAGUUUCGACCCAUAAAAUUGACGGUUGUGAUUUUUUUCUUUUUCUUCAAUUAAUUAGAUUAAAUCUGGCCGUUAUAACUCGGUCCCAUCAAGAUUAACGGCUCCUAUUUACUAAUUAACGUGGUAAUUUCUAGGGAGUCUUUAAUUAGUAUAAGAUAAGAGUAUAGAGUAUAGAUUGUGGUCGUCCUAAUUUGAUGUACUAGUGUUGGACCUUUCCUAUGUGACUCCUGACUAGUAUGAUCAGACAUGAUCAGUACGUUAGUUAUGUGCAGCUUCCGUAUGCUUAAUGUUGGUAAAAUUUGCUGCAGUUUUAUAUCAAGCUCGUUCCUGCAUUUUUAUUUUCGGCUACUGAAUUUUCGCUCCUGGCUAAUCGACAGAGAGGGAAAUAUUCUGUGGUGCACAACUCGCUGCUCAACUAAAACAUUUGUUUAGUUUUGCCAUCUCGAAUUGUUACUUGUUGUUCCGUAGCUGAAUUCGGAAGGAGUAAAAGCAAUCUGUAUUUGUGUUAUCUCUUGUCUCAAAUUCAGAGCUUGAAACUUAAGUUUGUGAUUCACCAGUUUCUGGCCUUGGAGCCGGGGAAAUACACUUGACUUACUUUUGUACUAUAGUAUAUAAAUUUUCAAUAAAUAAACCAACAUUGACUUUACAGCGAAAAAGACAAAAAACAUUUGUUACUAGUCGUCAACCCGUGUAUCCACUAGUAGAAAAAGGCUGAUUUGUUCCAGUUUCAGAGACCCAUUAGCCCCGGUUUUUGAACCGAGACUAAAGGGUCGGGACUAAAGGCCCAAACCUUUAGUCCCGGUUGGCUUAUGGACCGGGCCUAAAGAAGCUUCACGUGGCCGCUGCGGGGAGCCUAGGCAGGAGGAACUUUAGUCCCGGUAGGUCACACCAACCGGGACCAAAUUGGGGGGGGNNNNNNNNNNNNNNNNNNNNNNNNNNNNNNNNNNNNNNNNNNNNNNNNNNNNNNNNNNNNNNNNNNNNNNNNNNNNNNNNNNNNNNNNNNNNNNNNNNNNCGUUUGGACACCGUUUAAAAUCCUCCUCUGAAAAGGGUCAAAAACACGGAAAAAACAGGAAGUGGCACUUGGCACUAAGUUUAUAAGUUAGUCCCAAAAAAGAUAUAAAAGGCAUACAAAACAUCCAAAGUUUAACAAGAUAAUAGCACGGAACCAUAAAAAAUUAUAGAUACGUUGGAGACGUAUCAGAGUUGGAUGCCUACCUUGGAGCAAUAGAGCCCCAGAGCGCCCUUGGCGAAGUUAGUGUUGUUGUCGGUGAUGAUGCUGUGGGGGACGCCAUAUCGAACAGAGAUGUCUGUGAUGAACCUGACAGCCAUGGAGCCAUCAAGCUUCUUGAUGGGCCUAACUUCAAUCCACUUGGUGAAUUUGUCGACGGCCACCAAGAGGUCAGUCAUGCCACCACGAGCCGUCUUGAAAGGCCCCACCAUGUCCAGCCCCCAGACAGCGAAAGGCCAUGACAAGGGGAUGGUCUUGAGGGCCGAAGGAGGCAUGCGGCUCUGCGUGCCAAAGAAUUGGCAGCCCUCGCAUUUGUUGACCAAGUCCACGGCCUCCUCGAGGGCCGUGGGCCAGUAGAAUCCAUGGCGGAAUGCCUUGGCCACUGACGCCAGCUGUGCUUCCCUGGCAAUGGCGCCAGAAAAGUGUUGAUCCUGCAAUCUCUAGUGUUAGCUAGACGAAUGCUUAUGACAACGAACCUUCUCCUGCAAUGGCACCAGAAGAAUGCUACUAGCACUCCCCAACAAUGAAACUGGAAGAAUGUUGUUGAUGGCCCACCAGCGCGUGGGUUCGCAACAGUUUUCGAGGGUAGAGUAUUCAACCCAAUUUAUUGGUUUGCACAUCGGGAGGUGAGAGUAUACUCUCAACUAUUAGCAACUGAAUUUGUCGGAUUCAACCACACUUGAAAGAUUAGUAUCUGCAAGCACAGUAGUAACAGCAGAGUAAUAUGAUAACAACGGUGUCAAAAACGAUCUGUUGACAGCAGACUAUUCCUAACAAUUGUAUCAAUGGGGCCUUCGUUGCCGCGUUGACGGAAGUUGUCAAUUCCCGUCAACGGUAGGUAAACCAACAGUGUAGCAGGUAGUAGCAGUGUAACGAGCAAUAGCAGUGGCAAGGAACAGCAGUAGUAACAACAGUAGCAAGUAGCAACAGUAGCAAGCGACAAUAGUAGCAACAAUAGCGGCAGAGCAAGACAAGUAACAGCAGUAGCAACAGUAGCAGCAGCAGCAGAGCAAGACAAGUAACAUUAGUAGCAACAGUAGGACAAACUCGUAGGCAAUGGGUCGGUGAUUUGUUUGGAUGAUAUUCAUCAUGCAACAGCUAUAACACGGAGAGAUAUGUGGCUAGCUCACGUUCGUCAAUGUGAUGUAGGCAUGCAUUCCAUGUGUCGACAUACGUGCUUAGGGAAAAGAACUUGCAUGACAUCUAUUGUCCAUCCCUCCCGUGGCAGCGGGGUCCAAAAGAAAACUAUGGGAUAUUAAGGUUCUCCUUUUAAUAAAGAACCGGACCAACGCAUUAGCACUUGGUGAACACAUGAACUCCUCAAACUAUGGUUAUCACCGGGAGUGGUUCCGGUUAUUGUCACUCCGGGGUUGCUGGAUCAUAACACAUAGUAGGUAACUACAACUUGCAAGAUCGGAUCUACAACACACAUAUAUUGGUGACAACAUAAUAAUUUCAGAUCUGAAAUCAUGGCACUAGGGCCCUAGUGACAAGCAUUAAGCAUGGCAAAGUAGUAGCAACAUCAAAUCUCAGAACAUAGUGGAUACUAGGGAUCAACCGCCAUCAAAACUAACUCGAUUACAUGAUAGAUCUCAUCCUACUCAUCACCGCCAGCGAGCCUNNNNNNNNNNNNNNNNNNNNNNNNNNNNNNNNNNNNNNNNNNNNNNNNNNNNNNNNNNNNNNNNNNNNNNNNNNNNNNNNNNNNNNNNNNNNNNNNNNNNUCUAUAUAUGAUAUAAAGUAUAAUAAUUGGGCACAUGAUUCUUCAAAGAAACAAAUUUGAUUUCUCUCGGCUAGGUAGAUUCAAAUCCCGAGAGACAGACUUAAUGGAUAUGUUGGAUGUUUAUCUUUUCCAAACUUUAACAAAUAAACUCAUCCUGAGUGUACCACUAAAGAAUCAUGAAAAUCUUUUCGUGCGUACUUUUUAUUUUACAUUGCAUAUGCAUGUAUUUUCUUUCUCACACGUUUGUUAAAGACAAACUAACUGAUGGUUGUGUUUCAUGAAGUUAAUGGCUCAUGCAUUCAGUCAUGAGUUUUUACUGUUGGGACUCAUGAAUCAUAUAUUUUUCACCUUUUUCUAUUGAUGAUAACGAGAGAUGUAUUUUUAAGGUCAUAAGUGUCAACCCUUGCAUGUUCACCCUUAAUGUCCUACUAGUCAACUAAUGUUUUAUAGUACAAUGCCGGCCUCUUAUAAUGGUAAUCAAUCACUACUUACAUUUCACCUUCUCUGGAUGCAACUCACUGCGGUCGCAUUGACUACUAAUGGGAUUAUCGUUUGCAAAAUAUGUGAUCCUUUUAGUGAAUCGCCAUUUUUGGAUUAAUUAUCCUAUUAGACUAUUGCACGCGGGUAACUAACAUGACCGUGUGUAAUAACAGCGAUGGUAUUCUUCGAGUCCUUCCACACAUAAAAUUAUUCCGGACAUCGAAAUCUAAAUAUUUGAUGCCCCGCCCCCUACAAAAUAGGGCAAAAGGAAAAAAAAUAUUUUUUUCAAAAGAAUGUACAGAAUACAUGGCAUAGACGAAUGGGGAUAUUUCCAUCAUAUGUGUAUGGAAAUCCACAAAACCGAAUGGGCACGCAAACUGGAAUAACAGAAGUAUGGUACUUUUUAGUUCGACAUAUCUUAUUGCUAAUGAGAGGUAAUCAUAUCUUGUUGUCAUGCAUGGGGGCUCAUAGAAUGUCUAUACGUGCACACAUCAUUAUUGAAUUUAUGUCCUACAAAAUUUAUCUCAACCUUUUUUUAUAGAUGCACGAUAUAGAUAGAAAAUUUUUGUCAUGUAAACAAUGUGAGCUCACCAGAUGUCCACGUGUAACAACUCCAAUUGUCAACCGGUGUGAUCGCUAACUAACCCACUCUUAAAGAAUUUGGCAUGCUAUAUCUCGUCUUUGGAAUUCACACUUCGCCUUGUGUUAUUAUUUACUAAAACUAGCUAGCAUGCAAUUGUUAACCACAUCCCCUGAGUUGUUCUCUAGGGAAUCCUAUUUUUGUCUUGUGAAAAAGGUCCAUUUUUCACAUUGUACAACAAAAACUUCUUUAUGUGAUAUAAAGUAUAAGAAAUGGGUGCUGGAUUCUUCAAAUAAAGAAAUUCAUUUUUUUCUUGACUAGGUAGAUUCUAGAUCCGAAAGACGGACUUAAUGGAUAUGUUGGAUGUUUGUCUUGUUCUGCAAAUAAACUCGUCCUGAGUGUACCACUAAAAAAUCAUGAAAAUAUUUUUUUGCGUACUUUUUUGUUUUGUCAUUGCAUAUGCAUGUAAUUUGUUUUCACGCAUCGUAUGUUAAAGACAAACUAACAUAUGGUUGUGUUUCAUGAAGUUAAGGGCUCGUGCAUUCAGUCAUGAUUCUUUAAUGUUGGGACUCGUGAAUCAUAUAUUCCAUUCCCAACUGCACGUACAUACCAUCUACAAGAUGCUCAUGAUUUGACAUGUCUUUCGGAUGCAAGAUCGGUAAGAUGACCCAUCCAUGAUGUUCAUUGUGCGGGUUGUGUAAAAUCGAUACCGUCACGGGUGUAUCCCUAGAGAAUAUGUUUUUUCAUGUAAUCGUUUUGAGUGUGGUUAGAUUUGAAUUUAUUUUUUUUUCUUUCACAUAUGCCACACCGACACAAAAUGAUUUGCACUUUNNNNNNNNNNNNNNNNNNNNNNNNNNNNNNNNNNNNNNNNNNNNNNNNNNNNNNNNNNNNNNNNNNNNNNNNNNNNNNNNNNNNNNNNNNNNNNNNNNNNAUAACACAAGUAUACGAAGUAUACAGAUUGCUACAGACUGGUCUGUUUUUGACAGAUUCUAUUUUUGUUGAGUUGGUUGCUUGUUUUGAUGAAACUAUGGAUAGUAUCAGGGGGUAUUAGCCAUGUAAAAGUGAGAAUAUGGUAAUCUAACACCAAUAUAAAUAGAAAUCAAGAUUCCUACAGUACCUAAAGAGGUGGUAGCUUGUUUUCUUGUGCUAAUGAUAUCACGAGUUUUUGUUUAAGUUUUGUGUUGUGAAGUUUUCAAGUUUUGGGUGAUGUACUCAUGGACAAAGAGAUAAGGAAUGUAAAGAGCUCAAGCAUGGGGAUGCCCAAGGCAUCCCAAGCCAAAUUCAAGGACACCAAAAAGCCUAAGUUUGGGGAUGCCCCGGGAAGGCAUCCCCUCUUUCGUCUUCAAUCCAUCGGUAACAUUACUUGGAGCUAUAUUUUUAUUCACCACAUGAUAUGUGUUUUGCUUGGAGCGUCUUGUAUCGUAGGAGUAUUUUCUUUUUGUUGUGUCACAAUAAUCCUUGCUGCACACCUUUUGAGAGAUACAUGCACUCAUCGUGAUUUUGCUAGAAUGCUCACCGUGCUUCACUUAUAUCUUUUGAGCUAGAUAAUUUUGCUCUAUGUGCUUCACAUAGAUCUUUUAGAGCACGGCGGUGCGUGACUUGGUAGUUGGCUUGUGCUAUGGAAGUAGUCCCGAAGGUGAUAGGUACCCAAAGAGGAUACAAAAACCUCCAUCUUCAUGUGCAUUGAGUAGAAAGAGAAGUUUUGGUUCCUCUCAAUUAGUUUUGAGACGUGGAUUUGGUAACAUUAAGAGUUAUGUUAGUAGGGUGUUGUGAAUCUAGAAAUACUUGUGUUGAAGUUAGUGAUUCCCAUAACAUGCCUUGUGUUGAAGUUAGUGAUUCCCGUAACAUGCACGUAUGGUGAACCGUUAUGUUAGGAAGUCGGAGCAUAAUUGAUCUAUUGAUUGUCAUCCUUUGUGUUGCGGUCGGGAACGCGCGAUGGUUAACACCUACCAACCCUUCCCCUAGGAGUAUGCGCUUAGCACUUUGUUUCGAUUACUAAUAAAAACUUUUGCAACAAGUAUGUGAGUUCUUCAUGACUAAUGUGAGUCCAUGGUAUAGAUGCACUUUCACCUUCCACCAUUUCUAGCCUCUCUAGUGCCGCGUAAUUUUCGCCGGUGCACAAACCGACCAUAUGCCUUGCUCAAAACAGCCACAAUACCUAUCUAGUAUGGCAUUUUCAUAGCCAUUCCGAGAUAUAUUGCCAUGCAAAUCCCACCGUUACGUCUCAUGACUUGUGCCGUCCUCUCAUAUUGCCAUUGCAUGAUCGUAAGAUAACUAGCGAGAUGUUUCAACGUCAUACGCCAAGCUAGAUCGUUGCACAUGAGGGUACACUGCCGGAGGCAUUUCCUAUAGAGUCAUCAUCGUUCUAAGCUUUGAGUUGUGAGUAAAUAAAAGUGUGAUGAUCNNNNNNNNNNNNNNNNNNNNNNNNNNNNNNNNNNNNNNNNNNNNNNNNNNNNNNNNNNNNNNNNNNNNNNNNNNNNNNNNNNNNNNNNNNNNNNNNNNNNAAUAGCAUGAAACCAUCAAAAAUUAUAGAUACGUUGGAGACGUAUCACCCCACUACCAAAAAAUGUUUUAUGGUGUUUACCUUGCUGCAAAGAAGUUGAAGCAAUACUUCCAAGAGCAUGCUAUCACCAUGGUGAGCACUGCCCGCUUUCAGAAAUCAUGGGCAACCGUGAUGCAACUGGCAGGAUUGCCAAGUGGUCCAUCGCCAUGGUGGAUCACAAUAUCCGCUACGAGCCUCGCACCGCCAUCAAAUCUCAGGUGGUGGCCGACUUCUUGGUCGAAUGGGGUGAAACCCAUUUCGAGCCACCACCUCCAGACUCUACGCAUUGGCGGAUGCACUUCGACGGCUCAAAGAUGCGGACUGGUCUGGGAUCCAGCAUCGUCUUGACGUCUCCGAAAGGAUACCAGCUCAAGUAUGCUCUCCAGAUCCACUUCGCCACCUCCAACAACGUCGCCGAGUACGAAGCACUCGCUCAUGGCCUCCGGCUCGCCAAGGAGAUUGGCAUCCGUCGGCUCAUCUGCUUCGGCGACUCAGACCUGGUGGUGCAGCAAGUUUCUGGCGAAUGGGACGCCAAGGACGCCAACAUGGCGAGCUACCGCUUCCUCAUCCAGCAGCUUAGCGGCCCCUUCGAGGGUUGCGAGUUCCACCAUGUUCCCAGGGCACACAACGAGGCGGCUGAUACAUUGGCCAAGAUUGGCUCCAUGAGGCAGGCUAUCCCAGCCGGGGUCUCCUUCGAGCAGCUCCACAAGCCGUCUAUCAGGCCGUCUCCAGAGUCGGCAUCGAUCUUCGUGCCGGCUGAUUCUUCAGUGCAAGCGAUGUCGGCUCCACCAGCUACACCGGCUAUAGCUCCUGUGCCGGCUACACUGGCUCUGCUGACUCCAAUUGCGGCACCGGCUGAAUCUUCGGUGCAAGCGCCGUCGGCUCCACCAGCUACACCAGCUACAACUCCUGUGCCGGCUACGCUGGCUCUGCUGACUCCAAUUGCGGCACGGGCUGAAUCUUUNNNNNNNNNNNNNNNNNNNNNNNNNNNNNNNNNNNNNNNNNNNNNNNNNNNNNNNNNNNNNNNNNNNNNNNNNNNNNNNNNNNNNNNNNNNNNNNNNNNNNNNNNNNNNNNNNNNNNNNNNNNNNNNNNNNNNNNNNNNNNNNNNNNNNNNNNNNNNNNNNNNNNNNNNNNNNNNAGGGGGUGGACGUCAUGGGGGUAGACGGCGAGCUAGCCGCCACGACGGCAUCAGAGACACCUUGUCUCGAGCCCAUGACUACUGCUUCAUAGAGCGCGGGGGCUACAAAAGCCCCUGACAGUGAGGUCGAGACGGAGCCAGCCCUUGUGUCGGCUCCGUCAUGGGCUCAACCCAUCCUGGCCUUCCUCCUUCGCGGCGAACUUCCUCAAGACGAGGCGGAGGCAAGGCAGAUCCAGCGCAGAUCUGCAGCCUACGCCAUCAUCAAUCGCGAGCUUGUUCGGCGUAGCGUGACUGGCGUAUUCCAGCGCUGCGUUGAAUCAGAAAAGGGACAGGAGAUCCUCAGAGACAUUCACCAGGUGGAGUGUGGGCAUCAUGCCGCCUCUAGAACCCUGGUGGCUGAUACGUCGCCAUCGUAUCUACUUUUCCAAACUCUUUUGCCCUUGUUUUGGACUCUAAUUUGCAUGAUUGGAAUGGAACUAACCUUGACUAACGUUGUUUUCAGCAGAAUUGCCUUGGUGUUAUUUUUGUGCAGAAAUCAAAGUUCUCCAAACAUGCUAAAAAUUUACGGGGAGCAGUUUUGGAAAAUAAGAAAAANNNNNNNNNNNNNNNNNNNNNNNNNNNNNNNNNNNNNNNNNNNNNNNNNNNNNNNNNNNNNNNNNNNNNNNNNNNNNNNNNNNNNNNNNNNNNNNNNNNNGCUUACUAUAGUUGUUUCCGACGAUAGUUGACGGUAGACGGAGUAUUCGGUGUUGGAGCGGAAGACCUCGAAGACCCCGAGAACUUACGUGAGCAAGGCAAGCAGCCCUGUGACCAUGACUUGAGCACAUACAUUGAUGCAGGCUAGACNNNNNNNNNNNNNNNNNNNNNNNNNNNNNNNNNNNNNNNNNNNNNNNNNNNNNNNNNNNNNNNNNNNNNNNNNNNNNNNNNNNNNNNNNNNNNNNNNNNNNNNNNNNNNNNNNNNNNNNNNNNNNNNNNNNNNNNNNNNNNNNNNNNNNNNNNNNNNNNNNNNNNNGCUUGACCCUACCAUCUAUGAGGAUCAUGCUACUGUCAUGUUGACUAGUAAAGUUAUAGGAUCAUUGCACUGAGCUUGACCCUACCCCUUGAGGGUCAUGCUAAUACCAUGUUGACAAGUAAAGAUAGAGCAUAUUAUCAUGAGCAUAAUGAUGAUUUCAAAUAAAAGUUUAUGAACACCCCGUCGGGUGCCACUAAUGCCCGAGGGUGAUGAUGAGUUGGUGAUCACUUUUGGUGAAGUGAUGCACAGGUGUUUUUGUGUGAGUAUGGUUUUGGAAAUGGGAUUAGAUUUCUGAUGUGUCGACCGUCCCAACCUUACCAGUACGACCUCGAUACCCCUUUAUGGGACGGGGCUUUGUUGAUUACUCUGGCCGGUGCUAGCAAAGAGCCACAUUACUAGUGGAGGGAGUGAUUGUCGUCACUCUUGUGAUGGGGUCGUGCCAGGUAGGACGACUAUGCCAUUAUUAUGAGUUCCAGGCACACCGUUGGUCCCCGCAUGGUUGAUACUUUCCAGAGUCGGUGCUCGUAAGACGUACAACAUGUGGGCUGGGUACCAAUCGAGUGGACCUCUUUGUCUAGUAUCGUCAGGGGAAAGAUGAUGAUCGGGUACUUACCUCAGGUAUAUGUGAUAUACCGCGAGUCGUGGAUGACACGGAAGUUAUUCGAAUAAUCGUGUCCACGGUCAAGGACAGUUGGGUGGUGCUGCUUAAACUACGUCCUGAUAUUUCCACAUAAACCAAGUGUGUGUGGUGUUAAAAAGGUAUUGUUAUAAUCAUAAUAAUAUGAGCAAGUUCGGUGACUUGGCAUAUAGGGUAAACCCGGAUGGUUUAGCCCUCAGUUGAUACAUUGAGGUUAUGACAAGUCCGAUGACUUGGCAUAUAGGGUGAACCCGGAUGGUUCAACCCUUAGCAGAUAUGUUGAUAUCUGUAACCUGUUCUUCAAUAGUAAUUCUUUAACUUGAUGCAUAUCCACGAUCAUUCCACCCAGAUGAGUUAUACUAGAAAUGCAUGAUAUUGUUAUCCUUCACUUUCGUUGAUUACAUCAUGGGCUGUUUGCGAGUACUUUCAAAGUACUCAUUAGCUUGCCACUGGUUAUUUCAUUGACCAGGUGUGGAAGACAGGAUAUGGUGGAGAUUAACUCGGUGACGUUCUUGCGAGCUAGGAUGCUUCCGAGUCAGAAUACCUGUAGGUUAAGGCUGAUGGCAUGGGUUAACGCUUUCAACCAAUAAUUCAGCUAUUGGUCUAGNNNNNNNNNNNNNNNNNNNNNNNNNNNNNNNNNNNNNNNNNNNNNNNNNNNNNNNNNNNNNNNNNNNNNNNNNNNNNNNNNNNNNNNNNNNNNNNNNNNNGGAGAGGAUCAUAUCAACCUUGGAAACACUUCCAACACCUAUCGUCACCUCGCCUUUAGCUAGUCUCCGUUUAUGCCGUAGCUUUCAUUUCGCGUUACUAAUCACUUAGCAACCGAACCAGUAUCCAAUACCCUCGUGCUACUAGGAGUACUAGUAAAGUACACAUCAACAUUAUGUAUAUCAAAUAUACUUCUCUCGACUUUUGCCAGCCUUCUUAUCUACCAAGUAUCUAGAGUUGCUCCGCCUCAGUGACUGUUCCCCUUAUUACAGAAGCACUUAGUCUCGGGUUUGGGUUUAAUCUUGGGUCUCUUCAUUAGUGCAGCAACUGUUUUGCCGUUUCACGAAGUAUCCCUUCUAGCCCUCGCCUUUCUUGAAACUUAGUGGUUUUUCAAACCAUCAACUAUUGAUGCUCCUUCUUGAUUUCUACUUUCGCAGUGUCAAACGUCGCGAAUCUCUCAAAGAUCAUUGUAUCUAUCCUUGAUAUGUUAUAGUUCAUCACGAAGCUCUCAAAGCUUGGUGGCAGUGACUUUUGGAGAACCAUCACUAUCUCAUCUGGAAGAUUAGCUCCCACUUGAUUCAAGUGAUUGUCGUACUCAGACAAUCUGAGCACACGCUCAACGAUUGAGCUUUUCUCCUUUACUUUGUGGUCAAAGAAUUUUGUUGGAGGUCUCGUACCUCUUAACAAGGGCACAAGCAUGAAAUCACAAUUUCAUUUCUUUAGAACACCACUUAUGUUCCGUGACGUUUAAAACGUUUUCGGUGCCUUGCUUCUAAGCCAUUAAGUACUUUGCACUGAACUAUCGUGUAGUCAUCAGAAACGUGUAUGUCGGAUGUUCACAGCAUCCACAGACGACGCUCGAGGUGCAGCACACCGAGUGGUGCAUUAAGGACAUAAGCCUUCUGCGCAGCAACGAGGACAAUCCUCGGUUUUACAGACUCAGUCUGCAAAGUUUGCUACUAUCAAUUUUCAACUAAAUUUUCUCUAGGAGCAUAAAAAAACAGUAGAGCUAUAGCGCAAGCUACAUCGUAAUUCGCAAAGACCAUUAGACUAUGUUCAUGACAAUUAGUUCAAUUAAUCAUAUUACUUAAGAACUCCCACUCAAAAAGUACAUCUCUCUAGUCAUUUGAGUGGUACAUGAUCCAAAUCCACUAUCUCAAGUCCGAUCAUCACGUGAGUCGAGAAUAGUUUCAGUGGUAAGCAUCCCUAUGCUAAUCAUAUCAACUAUACGAUUCAUGCUCGACCUUUCGGUCUCAUGUGUUCCGAGGCCAUGUCUGCACAUGCUAGGCUCGUCAAGCUUAACCCGAGUGUUCUGCGUGUGCAACUGUUUUGCACCCGUUGUAUGUGAACGUUGAGUCUAUCACACCCGAUCAUCACGUGGUGUCUCGAAACGAAGAACUGUGGCAACGGUGCACAGUCGGGGAGAACACAAUUUCGUCUUGAAAUUUUAGUGAGAGAUCACCUCAUAAUGCUACCGUCGUUCUAAGCAAAAUAAGGUGCAUAAAAGGAUUAACAUCACAUGCAAUUCAUAAGUGACAUGAUAUGGCCAUCGUCACGUGCUUCUUGAUCUCCAUCACCAAAGCACCGGCACGAUCUUCUUGUCACCGGCGCCACACCAUGAUCAUCCAUCAACGUGUUGCCAUCGGGGUUGUCGUGCUACUUAUGCUAUUACUACUAAAGCUACAUCCUAGCAAAAUAGUAAACGCAUCUGCAAGCACCAACGUUAGUAUAAAGACAACCCUAUGGCUCCUGCCGGUUGCCGUACCAUCGACGUGCAAGUCGAUAUUUCUAUUACAACAUGAUCAUCUCAUACAUCCAAUAUAUCACAUCACAUCGUUGGCCAUAUCACAUCACAAUCAUACCCUGCAAAAACAAGUUAGACGUCCUCUAAUUUUGUUGUUGCAUGUUUUACGUGGUGACCGAGGGUAUCUAGUAGGAUCGCAUCUUACUUACGCAAACACCACAACGGAGAUAUAUGAGUUGCUAUUUAACCUCAUCCAAGGACCGCCUCGGUCAAAUCCGAUUCAACUAAAGUUGGAGAAACAGUCACUUGCCAGUCAUCUUUGAGCAAAGGGGGUUACUCGUAACGAUGAAACCAGUCUCUCGUAAGCGUACGAGUAAUGUAGGUCCAAGCCGCUUCAAUCCAACAAUACCGCGGAAUCAAGAAAAGACUAAGGAGGGCAGCAAAACGCACAUCACCGCCCACAAAAACUUUUGUGUUCUACUCGAGAAGACAUCUACGCAUGAACCUAGCUCAUGAUGCCACUGUUGGGGAACGUAGCAUGGGAAACAAAAAUUUUCCUACGCGCACGAAGACCUAUCAUGGUGAUGUCCAUCUACGAGAGGGGAUGAGUGAUCUACGUACCCUUGUAGAUCGUACAACAGAAGCGUUAGUGAACGCGGUUGAUGUAGUGGAACGUCCUCACGUCCCUCGAUCCGCCCCGCGAACAAUCCUGCGAUCAGUCCCACGAUCUAGUACCGAACGGACGGCACCUCCGCGUUCAGCACACGUACAGCUCGACGAUGAUCUCGGCCUUCUUGAUCCAGCAAGAGAGACAGAGAGGUAGAAGAGUUCUCCGGCAGCGUGACGGCGCUCCGGAGGUUGGUGAUGACCUUGUCUCAGCAGGGCUCCGCCCGAGCUCCGCAGAAACGCGAUCUAGAGGAAAAACCGUGGAGGUAUGUGGUCGGGCUGCUGUGGAAAAGUCGUCUCAAAUCAGCCCUAAAACCUCCGUAUAUAUAGGUGGGAGGGAGGGGGGGAGGCAGCCUCAAAACCUAAAGGUUUGGCCGAAAUUGGAGGUGGAGGAGUCCUACUCCAAUCCUACUUGGAGUAGGAUUCCACCUUCCCACUUGGAAACUCUUUCCACCUUGUGUUUUUUCCUUCUCAAACCUUAUGGGCCUUAGUGGGAACUUAUUCCAGCCCACUAGGGGCUGGUUUAUCUCUUCCCAUAGCCCAUGAGACCCCUUGGGGCGUGACACCCCUCCCGAUGGUCCCCGGCACCCCUCCCGGCACUCCCGGUACACUACCGAUGAGCCCGAAACUUUUCCGGUAAUGCACGAAAACCUUCCGGUAACCAAAUGAGGUCAUCCUAUAUAUCAAUCUUCGUUUACGGACCAUUCCGGAAACCCUCGUGACGUCCGUGAUCUCAUCCGGGACUCUGAACAACAUUCGGUAACCAACCAUAUAACUCAAAUACGCAUAAAACAACGUCGAACCUUAAGUGUGCAGACCCUGCGGGUUCGAGAACUAUGUAGACAUGACCCGAGAGACUCCUCGGUCAAUAUCCAAUAGCGGGACCUGGAUGCCCAUAUUGGAUCCUACAUAUUCUACGAAGAUCUUAUCGUUUGAACCUCAGUGCCAAGGAUUCAUAUAAUCCCGUAUGUCAUUCCCUUUGUCCUUCGGUAUGUUACUUGCCCGAGAUUCGAUCGUCAGUAUCCGUAUACCUAUUUCAUUCUCGUUUACUGGCAAGUCUCUUUACUCGUUCCGUAAUACAAGAUCCCGCAACUUACACUAAGUUACAUUGCUUGCAAGGCUUGUGUGUGAUGUUGUAUUACCGAGUGGGCCCCAAGAUACCUCUCCGUUCACACGGAGUGACAAAUCCCAGUCUUGAUCCAUACUAACUCAACUAACACCUUCGGAGAUACAUGUAGAGCAUCUUUAUAGUCACCCAGUUACGUUGCGACGGUUGAUACACACAAAGCAUUCCUCCGGUGUCAGUGAGUUAUAUGAUCUCAUGGUCAUAGGAAUAAAUACUUGACACGCAGAAAACAGUAGCAACAAAAUGACACGAUCAACAUGCUACGUCUAUUAGUUUGGGUCUAGUCCAUCACAUGAUUCUCCUAAUGAUGUGAUCCCGUUAUCAAGUGACAACACUUGCCUAUGGCCAGGAAACCUUGACCAUCUUUGAUUAACGAGCUAGUCAACUAGAGGCUUACUAGGGACAGUGUUUUGUCUAUGUAUCCACACAAGUAUUGUGUUUCCAAUCAAUACAAUUAUAGCAUGGAUAAUAAACGAUUAUCAUGAACUAAGAAAUAUAAUAAUAACUAAUUUAUUAUUGCCUCUAGGGCAUAUUUCCAACAUCACAUUCUUGACAUCAGAAAAUGCUUCUAUCUAUAUCAUGCAUCUAUAAAAAAGGGAUUAUAUCGUUACAAAGCCACGAUGAAAAGUAUUAAAACCCCAUUUUACCCCCGAAAGCCUCCUAUCCCUAGUCUAUAUUUCCUCAUGGAACUCAACUUGGUAAAUGCUUGUAGAAGCAUUGCGAUAGAAAUUUGUCCUCACAAGUAAUGCCAACCGAAAGAUGAUAGAUUCUCCAAGUGAGCAAGAAUGGAAGAAGACAUGAGUUAUUUGUGAGUUUCUAAAAGCUUUUGAAGAGCUUACCUUAAUUGUUUCAACUCAAAGGAAGCCAACUGCACAUUAAUUUCUGCCGGUUUUGCUUGUAUUCACCAUCUGGUAUUAUAUCCAGCAAAAGAGAUAAACAUACACCACCAACUUCUUUGAACCAUUCAAUGGUGUUUUCUUUAUCUGUGUGUCAAUACUUGUGUUUGUGUGAUAUAAACUACUGAAAGCUCUAACUUUAUUCCCGCCAUAAGAUCGCAUGAUCUUGUUAAAUGCUUUAAUUUUUACGAUUUCUGUUCACAUUGGAUCGUGAACCAUGUCAUUUCGUCCCUUUAAACUGCUACAUAUACAUUAGUGUGCUCAAAACUUGUCCGCUAAAUCUGAUUAGUGGCUUGUAUAUAUUUGUUGUUUUGUUCAUUCUACCAGGCUGGUAUGAAGCAUUCUGAAAGGAGGUUGAUGGUGUGAAGCAGGUUUGGAAGAACGAGAAGGAGCGGAAGGUGGAGGAUCAAUCAGAAUUAGUUGUCAACAAGCAAAAGGACACCUGCGUUGCAACGGGAGAAAAAAUCAUAAUAUUCAAUGUUCAAGACCAUAUUUUGCUGCAUCAUCGAGAUACACUAUGACCCUCAUUUUUGUGGGAUCGUGACAAUUUUUGCAAAUCAUGAAAAAAACUCAUGAACAUAUUUGAAAUCGUGAAGUUUUUCAAAUUCUUGAACAUUUUUACAGAUUUUUUAAACUUUUCUGAAAUGAUGAAAAUUUUAUACUAUUUGCAGACUUUUGUUUUAAAAUUGUGAUCAUUUCUUUAAAAAGAAAACAUGAAUCAGAGACAUUUCUAGAAUCAGCGAACCAUUUGUAAAUCAUGAUUUUUUGCAAAUCCAUGUACAUUUUUCAAAUCAGUGAAGAUUUAAUGAAUUAAUAAACUAUUUUGUAAGUCAUGACCAAUUUUCAAAAUUUUAUGAUUUUUGUGAUUCAUGAACAUCUUUUGAAUUGGCAAAAUUUUGCUCAAUUUCAUUAUUUUUUUAAUACCCUAACUUUUACAAGUCAUGAACGUUAUUUUACUUCUGGAAUAUCACUUUUCAAAUUUGCAAACAUUUUCUGAAUAUGCGAAUAUUAUUUUGAAAAUAGCGAACAUUUUAUAACCCACAAACAUUUAUGAGUUGUUGAAUAUUUUAUUUUCAAAUUAUCAUUUUUUUAUUAUGAAGAGAUUUUUUGAAUUCUCAAAUAUUUAAAGUAGCUAACAACGAAGGAUGAAAAAGAAAAACAAAAAAUGAAAAACGAAAAAUAAAGGCCGCCCAGACAUGGGCUGGCCGGAACAGGAGUGUUGUGUCUUGUCUUAGCAUGCGGAGCGCAGUAUAGGACAUCUACUGUAUGGGCCGGCCCAGCCGGGGAUUCUUCGUUGUGAAUUAUUUGUUUCCACUUACCGAUGGCAUGAGUGGAUAAUUAUCAAUAAUUCUAAGGAUAAUUUAAUAACGGAAGACCAGAAACAGUCAGUGCUUUAUUUUUUACAUACUACUAGCAAAAGGUCCCGUGCGUUGCAACGGGAGAAAAAACUACCAUCUUUAAUGGAGAAAAAACUCAUCGCAUGAUUUCGAAAAUUUAUUCACAAAUGCAAGAAAAUAUUUCUUCUUUUAAUUUUAUUCACAACUCACAAGUUGAAACAAUGUUCAUAUUUUUUUUAAAUAUCAUGGUUGUCCAAAAACUUGGUAACUCAAAGAAUUGUUCUGAAUUUCAAGAAACAUUUUUAAAAAUAAACUAUAAUAUUCGGAUCCAUCCUCACAAUUAAUUCUUCAAAAUUCACUCCGGUAUAUAAUCAGAAAGAGUCAAAAGCAUUACUGUUUAAGUGCAUACAUUCAAUCAUUCGUGAACAUCUUUACAAAUUUGAGAACAUUUUUAAAAUCGAGAAUUUUUCUUACUAUAUAUAUAUAUAUUUUAAAAUUCCAAGCAAUAUGUUAUAUCACGAACUGUUUUCAAGUAUUUUCUUUUGAAUUGGGGAAUAAUUCAAUUUUUGAAUUAUCAAACAUUUUUUAAUUGCAUUAAAGGAAUUUCUCAAAACGAUGGACUUUUUUUAUUCACGAAUGUUUUAUCCAAAAUUACGAUUAAUGUAAUAUGCAAACAUUUUUACAAAGAACCUAAACAAUUUUUGAAUACGCAAACAUUUUAUGUUUUAUGAAACAUUUAUGUAAAUAUAUUUUUUGGAAUUGCGGAAGGUUUUUUUGGUUUAUUUAAAUUAGAAAAAAUAAAAAGGAACAGAUAAAUAAUAAUAAAAAAAUAAAAAAACAGACCCCGUCCAUGGGCUGGCCCAAAUGGCGUGCUGUUUAUUUUCGAGCGAGCAGAGCAUAGUAUAGGUGGUCCUUAUGUUUUGGCCGGCCCAUGUGAGGAUUCCCUACAAAACGUUUUCUAUAAUUUAUAGGUGGCAUUGGUGGGUAAUCUGGCUGGUCUUUCUUCAACAGACCUGCACACUUUUGUAACUAAAGGUAGGAGUGAGACUCUCUGCUUUGGGUGGAUGGUGCUCACAAGUCACAACUUAGUCAUGCACAGAGUACUCAUUGUCCAAACAGUUAGCAGCUUGCUUUGCUACUGAUAGUAGGCGAAGCACAGCAAACCAUCUAGAAACAAAAUUAUGUGAAUUUUAUCUACCGGGAGUUCACAUGAUGUUCUAACGGUUUUUUUAGCUUUAAAAGCAGCAUGUAGUUUCCUGUGUGUUUUUCAAAUAGCUCAUCAAACUGAACUCAUUUGACAUCUCCCACAGGAACCCCCUAUGAAGAAUCAACCAUUGUAAGUUGCUUUCAUAUUUGGAAUAAGUAAAAUAUGUAAAAUUCAUAUGUUUUCUGCAAACAAAUAUGAUGAAUUAUUCAUGUUUGGAAUAAACCACUGGUUGCUGGCUAAUGAUGAUUACAUGCCAAGAACAGGUUUGUGUAACUGAUGCGAGCAACAGUAACAGAUGCGUUCUUCUUCUGUUCAUCCCUGGAGUGAAGAACCGCACAUUCAAAUUGUCAGUAACUUGUUGCGAGGAUAGACGUCUUCGCUCAACACUUGUUAGCAGGAGGUACAUGGCAUUGGAUCGACCACGUGCUGUCAGUACAGAACAUCGAAUGUGCAGGCAAGAUUAUUCGCUCAUUUCUUCCACUAGGGCAGCCGUUGGACGACGACCUGCAAGAAGAACCACAAUUUUUUUCAAGAAGACAAUGGUGGUCAUGACAAGAAAGCCGGAGACGAUGCGUGAGGCUUAGUGAGAUUAUGCCUUGCCGGAGUUCUCCUUGUUUCCGACGAUCGUCUGGCAGGUCAGUCUCCACGACUCCGGUUUCUCGCAAAGGCAACGAGAUGCAGAGUGCACAGUUAACUCGCAGCUCCUCUCCUUGUGAGCCACAGUGGAGACAGCAGCAGAGAAUUUCAGAACGAACUGCCGCAUACCUUCUUCAGGUAACGAUUCUCGGCGUCCGUCCUCGGGCUCAGGAACUCCUUCCCGUCGAUUAUCUGCGCCACAAAGGUUCACACUCUGGUGGCAUCAGUUACAGUUCAGAGCAGCCAUUGUGCACGACGAGAUAGCGUGCUAUUUUCAGUUGUAGUGCUGCAAAUGAUGCUGCAAAUGGUGCACCUCGACGAUGCAGGUGUCGCCGCCGCCGCAGUUCAUUAGCUUCCCUUGCAGCGCGCGCCCCAGGAACCAUUAUUUAACAGAUAGUGGAAGAGGAAAAUCCGCAGAGGAAUUGAGCUAGAGAAGGUGCGGAGGGUAGUGAGGGAGGGUGGCUCACAUAGAGCUCGAUCUUGUUCUCGACCAUGACGUCCCGGAGGAGCUUGUCGCCGCUGACCGCCGCUGACCUGUCCACCGGGUACGACCCGUCGGCGCCCGGCUUGGGCUGCACGCACGACACAGAAAAUCAAAUAAACACUCGCCGCCCGGAGGCCGGAGGUAGCGUAGGCCGUUGAGGGCUUACCCCGAGGAACUCGAGCUCGAUUUGGGGCCUGGGCGGCGCUGGCGUUCGUCCGUGAGGAUCUCCUCCACCACCAGAUGCUCCGCCCAAUCCCUCCUCCCUAGCGUCGCCCCGCCGUUCAAGCUCUCACGCCGCCGCCGCCCCGCCGGCCGUUCCCCCGGCCAGAAACGCCAAGCCGAAGCCCCCAUGCCCAGCCGUCGUGCCACCCGUCGCCAGCUGCGUCGCGCGCCGCCGCCGAUUGGAUCUGACGAGCGCGCCGUCUGCUGCCGCCAUGCCUCCUCGCUUUGAAAAACAUAGGGUCUUAUUCAUAAAAGUGAAACGUUUUCCUGACUAAAGAAAGGACUGCAGGUUUAUUAACUGAAAACGGAGGGGCCUUUUUGUAAAAAUGCCACGACAAACGACAAGAAACAGUAUUUGCUUUAUUAUUAUUAGGGAGAGAUGAAAUAUGAUCGAGCAUUACAAUGGGAGAAAAAAUAUUAUGUUGUAGCCAAAUAAAUAUAGCUUAAUACCCCGACAUAUGAGCUUCCUCUAUUUUUCUAUUUAACACGAUGACCCAUCAUAUUACCACUUAUCUUUUCUCCCAUUCUUGUUAAUGAUGGUUACGUUAUUCAUGUGAUCAAAUUUUAUGGAUUGAUGUCCACUUAUAUUUUUUGUGAAAUGCAUGGACAGUUUUUUCUCAGGGAACAAUUCUUGAGUUGAUGAUUAUUUUUGAAAAUGAGGAACAAAUUUUGAAAUUCGUGAUUUGUUUAGUUUUUCUCAACAUUUUUUGAAAUUUCAUAAACAUUUUAUUUAAAUUCACGGAUAUGUUUUGAAUAAAUGAUCAUUUUCAAAAUCAUGAACAUUUUAUAUUUGCUGAAUAAGUUUUUUAAAAUUGUGAAUUCUUUUAUAAUAUGCGAACAAUUUUUUAAAUUCAUCAUUUUUUUUGAAUCCAUGAAAAUUUUAUUAUUUUCUGAUCCUAUGUUUCAAUUCCCAAACAUUCUAUAAUUUUAUAAACAUUUUUUUUGCAAAAUUUAAAAAUUUGGAAUUUUGAAACAUAUAGAAUUAAUUUAAAGAAGAAAACAAUAAAUUGAAUUAAUAAAACAUGGGCUGCCCAUGAGCUCGUGUUUGCUGCUAUAAGAAGAGAAAAGCACUGCUUGUGUAAUCAAGUUUUGUUAUUGAUGUUGAUUUAUCUUUUUUUCUUUUGAAAUGUAUGUUUGAAGAGAAAACUUUUUGUUUUUGCCAUUCUUGUUUUUGUCAACUUUGCUUAUGGCACUUUAGAAUUUGACAUCUCAUUUUUACGACUCUUUGCUUGUGAUAAUAUAUCACAAAUGCCAUUCUGUUAGACAUCCAUGAGUUGACCGUUGUUCUAAAUAGUUGAUCAAGAAAAGAGUUGUUAGUAUUUCUAGAAAUACCACAAUUUGCCCCUACUAACUUGUCCCCCCGCCUGUCGCCGCCGCGUCCACCCUUCAUCGUCUGCUCUAGCUCUACCGCCGCGCCCCCUCCUCUGGCCUCGCCGACGGAUCACGCGUCUCGGGUCACCCCUCCGUGGCGUCCUGCUCUGACCUCGCUGAUGCGCCGUGCAUCUUCGUCGUCCCGUCCCCGGCGCCCUACUCCAGCCUCCCUCCCCGACGCGAUCCGUGCCAGUGACCUCUGCUCCUCCGCUCCGGCCUCCCUCCCCGUCGCGGUCCGCGCCAGUAAAGUGGAAGUCAGAUGGAUCUUUUUCACAAGACAAAAAACAAUAUUCUCUUGAGAACAACUAUAGGGGAUGUGGUUACUUAUUCAUAAGUCGUGCUUAUUAGCACGAGAUAUUACAAGCGACAUAGAUUUUCACACAAAUGACAUACUCGUACAUUCCUUACUUGAGAGGGAUUCAAGACAUGGCAUAUCAUGGCAUGGCAGGCAUAUAUAAUAAUUCUGCCAGCUAACAAAGGUGUCCCUGAUUUAUUUCAACAACACACAAUAAUAGUAGUAGCACGUAGGCCUCACGGCCUACUCCUUAUAGCAGAAGUAACUCGAUGGAUGAUGAUGAAUCAUGGAAGAACAUAGAUUCCAAUGGCAUCAAUUAGAUCCCCAACACGUCCAAAGAAACCGGUGAUCUGGCCGCCAUGAGUCACUGGGACAUGAAAGGAACCCCCGGAACCAGCAAUACCAC